UUCCGCUCGAUCCAAUUAUCAGCCGUCCCUUCAUCUCUAGGGUCCACAGUCGACGGUUCCAGUUCACGGUUCCCCUUCUUGAUCAAUUCACGAAGCUCGUUGUUAUCGUUCUCGUCUUCACUACACGAAUCAUCAUCUUCUUCCUCCUGUUCCAUCUUCACGGAGCUCUUGAGAAGGCGAUUGUUAAUGUUGGAAUUGGGGAAGUUGCAUCCACGAACGGGGGAGUCGGACCGGUGGUUGGGACCGGAUUUGAAGGAGCGAACGACGCCAUUAAGCGGUGGCUGGAGAGAGCCAAAUUGGCGGUUGUCGACAGAAGCCGCCAUGGGAGAUUAUUUGUUUAGAAAAGAAAUGAAAUAAUUCUCCUGAUUUUGCCCUCCACCACCUUUGUUGUGAUAUGAUGUUGUAGUUUGAAUUGAAGUUUUGGUGGUGGGAAAAAGUAGGGAGGAGAAGGUGUGAUUAUAUAGGAAAUGUAUGUGAAGAAAAAGCCGAAAGUGAGGGCCCAACCUAUUGGACAGGAAAUUUCGAUGGGCUGGGGGAGCUGUUAGUUCAAAAUGACGCCGUUUCGGGAGUGGGGGGCGUGCCAAUAGGGCGAGCCUGACGAAGUACUUACAAAUCAGAACUAUGAAUCUGUGGUGGGUGUGAGCCCUUGGGUUCAUACCGGUCUCAGCCACACGAUGAAUUCAAACAUUUCUCUUCAAAUCAACAAGAUAUCCUCCACAUCUUUUAUUUCCAUAGCUUUUUCUUCUUACUUAUUUUAAUUGCCUUUCUUCUCCCCCACUUCUUAAUUGCACUAUUAAUUUUCUCAAAAUACACACAAAACAAUAAUAAUAAUAAUAAAUAAAUCUCUGCCCACAACCCUUACUUUCAAUUUUCUUUUAAAUUAUUGUCCUUCAAACUACUAUUAAUAACCAUGGCUCUAUGAUUCAAAUUUCUGUUCAAAUCACUCAUUCUAUUUACUUUAAAUAUAGUUUGUUAAACUUUCAAAAAACAUGUGAUUAUAAAUCUUUCUAAAAUGUGCAUUUAUAAUUUCUUUUGUUUAACUCGAACAUAGCUUAAAUAGUAAGAGAUUCAAAAUCUUCAUAAAAACAAAAGAGAAAAAAAAAUAAAUACUUGAUCUAUAUUUUUGGAGACAAGCUUUUGCUAACUUCUGUGUUUUCUUUAUACAAAAAUUGUGUUCUUAGAGGAGUUAAUUUAAUCUUAGGAGAUUCCAUGCAUGUAUGAGUUUUUAUUUAUUAGUUUUGAAAUUUUGCUUUGACAAAAAUGUACCUGUGUACUAAAUGUUUGAAAAUAAAAAUGUAUUAAAUCAAAUAUGAAGGAGAAAGCAAAUAUUUCCACACAUAAUGAAUAGAAAAAAAGACGAUCUUACCUUACCUUACGCAUGCAAAGACAAACAAGUGUAUGUAUAUAUAUUAUUGAUAGAGAUUUGUUGAAUUAAUUAAAAUUUAACAAUAUAUCUUCUUAUCUUAUAAACUAUAUAUAUAAUUAAUUAAUGUAAAAAUAUCUUCUUCAAAUAGUCACCAAGAUAUUUUUGCUGACAUACCAAAUUAAGACGAUAAUAUUACUUUCUUCCAUUCUUUUUAUAAGACGUCUCACUCUCAAUGAAAAAAAAAGUGUAAAGUUUCUAUAAAAAAGGAAAAAGAGAAAAAAAGCGUAAAGCCAAGCAUUUAAAAAGUGAAAUGAUUCUUUAAAAUACUAAUGAAAUAUUUGUGUUUUUGAAAAUUACUUUUUUGGCCAUUACUAUGUGCCAAAUAGUUUUUCUACCAACAAUAAAAUAAAGGGGCAGUUUUUCGUAACGAAUAUUUUAUAUAAUUGAGCUGUUUUAUAAAUAUUGAUUACUUAGGUAUGUAUAUCUUUGCCAAAAUAUAUUUAAUGGGAUUUUAAGUAUGUAUUCAACUAUCAACCUAGAUUAUUAUUAUUAUUGUUAUUAUUUUACCAUAUAUAAGGUAGGAGUAGAACCUUUGAGUGUGAAAUAAUUGAAUAGAAAAUAAAUAACUAUGAUAUAGAAUAACUUUAAACUAUAUAUAUAUGUGUAUGUAUGUACAUUUGCAUAUAUGUAUGUAUUGAAAUAAAAUCUCUAAUUUGGAGUUGAUAACGAUAUGCAAAAUCCAAACCCGAAAAGGAGAAGGGCUGGUUAUGGACAUUUGGGGAAGUUCAAGUGAGGAGGCAGAAGAAGGACGAGAGGAUGGGAGGAAGAAGUUUUUCAAAAAAUUAGUUAAAUGAGGCCAAUUAAAAAAGAAAAAUAAAAUCUAACGUACUUAGGAUGACUCAAUUAAUAGGAUACACAUCUCUAUCUCCGAUCAUGGGCUCUAAACCCUUAAUUGAUACACAAGAGUUUAGGGUUUAAAUUAAUCUAAAUAUUACUUUAUAGUUUAGAUUGAAUAUGAUCCCUAGUUGAGAAGAUGAUUGAUGUCAACCUAGUUUAAAUUGAAUAUGAUGGAGUGCUAAGUUUGUGCUAACCUAGUUAGGAUGAUUUGAUGUCCUUUGUGACCCAUAACUUCAUCUAAGAAAAGAAAAUUGAACAUGUCUCUAAAUUUAGAGAUAUAAAUAGAUAUUUUUCCUAAAGUUAUAAAUUAUUAAAGCGUUAUUUUUAACUAAUUGAAAAGUUUAAAUACUAAGUUGGGUUGCAUUGAUACCAUACUAAAUUAUCACUCAACCUAACUCAAAAGUAGAAUGUAUUGAUAGGUUACGGUAAAUAUAGAAAUUUUCGAGAAGUAGAAAUGGAAUUCUCUCAUCCCAAAAUGGUUGAAACUAGUUUUAGAAAAUUUCUUUUAAGCAAUGAAUAUUUGAUGUUUUUAAUUAAUAUAUAAUAUGAACAAUUAGGGAUUGAUUCCCAUGAAAAGUUAAAUUUAUUUUCAAAUUUAAAAUGGAAAUAGAGUUUUUGAUGUUAUGGUUGAAACAUAUGUUGGAGUAUUCAACAUGACAAAUGAUUCAUUAACUUGGCAACUAGCUAAAAAUAGAAUCCUCACUUUUACAAUAAUAAUCAUGUAAUAUAAUUAAAAAAAAAGAAAAAUUAACUCAUUCCUCUCUCUUUCUCAUUUUCCCUAAACAUUACAUAAAUGGUAUUGCACUAUUACUUCAAACACUUUUAUUAGAAAAGAAAUGGGAUUUAUAAUUUUAUAGAAUUAAUCAUCCAUUUAGAAUGUCUUUUUAAAUGUUUCAUUUCAACAUGGCCAAAAAAUUGAUUUUGUUAUAAAUAUUAGUAAAAUAGUUAGAUGGUCCAUUAUAUUAUGGGUUAAUUGUCAUGUGUCACUUUCUCUCCAUUUCACUAUAUUGUCAUGUGUCAUUUUCUUCAACAUCUAACACAUUUGUCAUGUAUUGAAGAUAUCAGACCCUUGGAGGCCAUGUAAUUAAUUCGUCUCAUGCUUACCAAAUUGCCUAUAAAUAAUGUCAUUUGGACAUGGAUCUUGUAGGACACACAUGUUGGUAAAAUUUUCAAAUAAAUAGGAGAAAGUUGAAUUUUUUGAAAUUUUUAAAUUUAAUUUAAUUUAAUUUAUUUUAAUAUUAUAUUUUCUUGAUUUUCGUAUUUUCGUUGUGUCUCAUUUUUACGCUGGAGCUCCAAUUGCCUCCUUCGUCCAAGCAUGAGCUCCAACCAUCUUCUAUACUAAAGGUUGGUUGAUUUUUCACCCACUUUAUUAUAAUUAAUAAAAUGAAUGUUAUUUUGCAUAUUGAAUGUAUAUUAAAUUUCUAAUAUAAUUACAAUAUUUUGUAUAUUAUCUUGAAGAUAUUACAAAAUUACAAUUUCUAGUAUUUGAUAUUAAUAGUAAUAAUUAUUUAUCAUGAAUGUUUGAUACAAAAAUACACCUAGAUGUAAUUAAAAAUAUGAUCGUCAGAAAGCAAUUAUUCUUCCUAAAGCUCGUUAUAAAUGAAUACAGUUGAGGCUCCAAAUUUCUAAAUAAAUAUGUUAGAGAAGAAUUUUUCUACGUUUUGGAUAUGCUUCAUGCAAUAGCUUUUGCAUAAUAUCUUCUCAUGAAUGAAAUAACGAGUUAUUGAUUGAAAGACCAUGAAUAUCAAUCAACUACUAUAGAACCAACAUUUGCUAAAGUGAAUGUUGUAAAUUUUAAUAAUGGUGGAUUAAAAAUUAUGAUUCUUAAUCUUAUUAUCUAAAAUGAAUGUUGUGAGUUUAACAAUUUUAAUGGAGGUUAUAACUACAAUAAAUGAAGAAAUAAUUAUUCAUUGCGGCUGAUUGUUAUAAUUAUCCAAAUUUUAAAAGAACCACAUGAAAUGAUGGUCAUAAUAAAUGGAAAGCACCUCGAAAAAAAUAGAAAAAUGUGAAAUGACAUUUUGCAUAUAUGAUUAAUAAUAUAUAUAUUUGACCUAUCCAAUAUGACAAAUUUGGAUACGGUAGAGUUUUGAAUCUCUAGAAAAUUGACAUAUUCGAAAAAACAAGUAUUUCUUUUGUGAUUAUAUAAUAGUUAAUGUUUUUUUAUCUCUCAUAUUAUAUAUAUAUAUAUUCCAAGUUUUGUUUUUUUUUUUUUUCAAGUUUAAAUUAAUUUGUUUAACGAGGAAGCACAAAAAAUUUUCUUAUAUUUAAAUAACUAAAAAUGUUUUGAGUUUUUUAUCUUUUUGAUUAUAUUAUAUUCAUAUAAGAGUAAUUAAAACAUAUACAACUAUUAACCUAGAUUUCAUGAAUCUAGACAUAUUUACAAUUGAAAUAAUCGAUUGGAUCAUCCAGGAUCUAUAAUGAUGAGAAAAAUUAUUGAAAAUUCACAUAUGGACAUCCAUUGAAGAGCCAGAAAAGAUUCUUCAAUCUAAUGAACUAUUAUAUGAUGCUUACUCUCAAAGCAAAUUAAUAAUUAGAACAUUACUAGCUAAAUUGGGAAUUGAAUCAUCUGUAUUUUAAGAAUGAAUUCAUGGUGAUAUAUGUGGAUCUAUUAGCUCACCACGUGGACUAUUUAAGUAUUUCAUGGUAUUAAUAGAUGAAUCUAGUAGAUGGUCACAUGUGUGCUUAUUAUCAAGUUGAAAUCUUGCAUUUGUAAAAUUACUUGCUCAAAUAAUGAAGUUAAAAGCAUUGUUUCCUGAUUAUACAAUUAAGAAAACAUUCAGCUUGAUAAUGUUGGUGAAAUUACAUACCACGAUUUUAAUAAUUAUUGUAUGUCAAUUGAAAUAAAUGUUGAACAUCAUGUAGCUCAAUGGUUUAGUAGGAUCAUUAAUAAAACGUUUGCAAUUACUUUCUUUACCACUACUUAUGAGAUCUAAGCUUCCUACAUCUGUAUGCAGACAUGUUAUUUUGCAUGCUGCAUCAUUUGUGUGUAUUAAGCUAGCAACUUAUCACAAUUACUCACCAUUAGAAUUAGUAUAUGACCAUAAGUCAAAUAUUUCUCAUUUGAGAAUUUUGUGAUGUGCAAUAUAUGUUCCAAUUGCUCUACCACAACGUAUUAAGAUGAGUCCUUAAAAAAGGCUAAGAAAAUAUGUCGAAUUUGAUUUCUCAUCAAUUAUUAAAUAACUUGAACCCUUGGAGAUGAUAUAUUUAUUGUAUGAUUUAUUGAUUGUCAUUUUAACGAGACAAAUUUUUCAACAUAGUGGAGGAAUCCAGAAGUUGAAAAAAAGAAACUACAUAGUUACAUGGAAUAUGUCCUUUUUAUCUCAUUUUAGAUCAUCGUGCAUAAUCAAUGUGAAGUACUUGACGUUCAAAAAAUAAUUUAUUUGCAAAAUAUAACAAAUCACUUAUCCGAUGCAUUUAUAAAUACAAAGAAAGUAAUUAAGUCAUAUAUAGCAACUGCAAAUGUCCCAUAAAAGGUUUGAUAUUCCAGUGCAACAAGCUAUUCUUAAUUAAUGAAUCUGGAGCAUGCCUAGACCAAAUAUAUAUAAGAAUAUGGAUAUAGAUGUUCCAUGAGAAAGGGAGUCCAUAACUCGGUUAUAGAUAUAGAUGUUCCAUAAGAAAUUAAAAAUUGACCAUAGAUAAGAAUAUCAAAGAAGAUAAAACAACUUAGGAUAAGAAUGAGAUUUUUAUAAAUUAUAUCAUGAAAGGAAAAAAAAUGGAAGCAAAGUAAUAUAGUUGUUGACAAUAUUUUUGUAUAUAAUGUUAAUUUUGAUAUUAUAUCUGAAAAUGAGGAUCCAGAAACAAAAUUUGUUGAAGAAUGUUGAUAGAGAAAAAUUGGCUUUCGUGAAAAAAAGUAAUUGAGACAAAAUUAAACUCACUUUCAAAACAUCAAGUUUUUGGACAAGUAUUUAUGAGAAAAAGAAACUAUGAUAAUGAAAUCACAAGAUAUAAAGUAAGACUAGUUACACAAGUUUUUUUUUUUUUUUUAAUAAAAACCUGAUAUUGAUUACGAAGAGAUAUAUUCUCCGGUGGUGAUUGCAAUCACACAUUGAGUUUUUUAAUUGACAUGAUUGUGUGUGUGAAAAAAAUCUAGACAUACAUCUUAUGAAUGUAGAUACAACAUAUUUAUAUGGAUCUCUUGAUAAUGAUAUUUAUAUGAAAGUGUCAAAAGGAUUUAAGAUACCUAAAACGUACAUAUAAAUCAAGUUGUUGGAAAUUAUAUCCAAUAAAGUUACAGAGAUUACCAUAUAGAUUAAAACAAUCAAGAUGGAUGUGGUAUAAUUGUCUGAAUGGAUAUUUGUUGAAAAAAGAUAUCAAAAUAAUCUAAUAUGUUCAAGCUCUCUUUUACAUAUAUAAAAAAAAGCAUAGUCAUGAUUUGCUAUUAUAACUGUAUAUGUUGAUCAUUUAAAUAUAAUUGAAACUCUUGAAGACUUUUCAAAGACAAUAGAAUAUCUUAGGAAAAAUUCGAGAUUAAAGAUCUUGGAAAAACGAAAAUUUUUCUUGGCUUGCAAAUUGAGUAUUUAGCAUUUGUCAUAUUUGUUCAUCAGUCAACUUAUACAAAAAAAAAUUUGAAAAGAUUUUAUAUAGACAAAACAUACAUCCAUUAAACAUACAAAUGUAAAUUUAUUUAAGUAGACAUGAAGAAAAAGAUAUUUCAACCUUGAAGGAUAAUGAAGAACUUCUUGGUCCAAAAGUAUCAUAUCUUAGUGCAAUUGGUGCACUUAUGCAUCUGGAAAAUUAUACAAAACCAUAUAUUGCAUUUUCAAUAAAUUUAUUAACUAGAUACAUUUCCUCUCCAAUAAAAAGACAUUGGAAUAGAAUUAUGGAUAUACCUAGUUAUCUUCGAGGAACAAUUGAUAUAGGUUAUCUAUUCACAUAUGAAGGAUUUGCUAUAUCAUGACGAUCAGUGAAACAUACUAUAAUAACUACCUCCUUAAAUCAUGUUGAAGUUCCCGCAAUGCACAAGGCAGUCGAAAUGUGUAUGGCUAAGAUUAAUGACCUAGCACAUUCGUGGAACAUGUUGUUCAUCUUAUAAUAAAAAUCUUCUAAUGAUACUAUACAAAGACAACAUGUGAUGUAUAGCUCAAAUCAAAUAAAAUUAUAUUAAAGGCGAUAAAACAAAGAAUAUUUUAUGGAAGCUUUUCUACACUUAUGAUCUUGAAGAAAUUGACGACAUCAUAGUACAACAAAUUUUUUCAAAUGAUAACUUGAUAGACUUAUUUACAAAAUCCUUAACUACCACAAUUUUUAAAAAAUUGGUGUGCACAACAUUGAAAUGCAGAGACUCAAAUAUCUCAAGUGAUGUUUCCAUGAUGAGGAGUAAAUUGUAUUUUUGUAAGCUUAUAAAUUAUAUGAAAUAUGUACUUUUUUUUCUUCACUAGAAUUUUUUUCCAUUGGUUUUUUUCUAGUAAGGUUUUAACGAGAUGCAUAUUUCAUAUAUGUAAAUAGGCAUCUAAGAGGGAGUAUUAUAAAUAUUAGUAAAAUAGAUCAUGUCCUAUUAUACUCGGUGUUCAUUGCCAAGUGUAACUCCUUCCACAUUCCACUACAUUGUCAUGUGUCAUUUUCCUUCACAUGCAACACCUUUGACAUGUGUCUUAAAGAUAUCAACUCUUAGUGGUCAUGUAAUCCAUCUUAUGAUUAUCAAAUUGCCUAUAAAUAGUGACAUUUGGUGUGUCAUGUAUGAAAUGCAUAUUUAUGAAAUUUUCAAACAAAUGGGAGAAAGUGAUUUUUUUUUUUAUUUUCUAAUUUCUUAAUUUAAUUUAAUUUAUAUAUUAUAUAUUAUUAUAUUUUAAUAUUAUAUUUUCUUGAUUUCAUUGUUCUCGCUGUCUCAUUUUUACAACAUGUUUAAUCGCCAGAAAUAUAGGGGCAUCUCAAAAUCCACAUCGCUCACUUUUAGUCACCACUCCCACUUGUGAACCUAAAUCUUAUAGAUCUGCCCUUAAGAUUUUCCACUCGUAUAAUGCCAUGAAAGAAGAAAUGGACGUUCUCCACAAAAACCAUACUUGGGAUCUAGUUCCCCGUCCAACAUACACCAAUAUUAUAGAAUCCAAAUGGGUCCUCAAAAUCAAACUUAGAGAUCAAGAUGGCUCAAUAGAUAGAUAUAAAGCUCGUUUAGUUGCUCCAGGAUACUCUCAAAUAGAGGAAAUUGACUAUGGUGAAACAUUUAGUUCUGUUGUCAAACCUCCUACAUCCUCAUUAGGAUAAACUUACCUUUUCAGGGGUAUUUAACAAAUGUCAUAGAUAAGCAUUCUCAAAUAAGUUGUAUAUUAUAGUAUGAUGCAACCAUUAGGUUUCCAAGAUAUUCAUCACCCAAACCAUGUUUGCAAACUUAACAAGUCCCUUUAUGACCUAAAACAUGCUCCUCGUGCUUGGUUUGAUAGACUUUUCAACUAUCUUAUGACAUUAGGAUUUAAUUGUUGCCACUCUGAUCCAUCCUUAUUUAUUCUUCAACACCCCAAUGUCACACUCAUUAUGCUUAUCUACGUUGAUGACAUAAUUAUCACCAGAAAUUACCCUGAAGCAAUACAACAACUCAUUACCACCAUCGGUAAUGAAUUUGCUCUUAAAUACUUAAGGCCUCUACAAUACUUCUUGGGAAUUGAGGUGAUGUCCACUCUUCAUGGUCUUUUCCUAUGUCAAAGCAAAUAUGCAAAAGAAAUCCUCAUUAAAGGACACAUGCUUGACGCUUCCAAAAUCAAUACUCCCAUGACUGUCACCACCUCAGAUCAUCUUUGGACAAUGACCCAAUCGAUGCCCAAGCCUACCGUAGUCUCAUUGGGUCCCUCCAAUACCUCACUUUUAUGCAUCAUAAUCUCUCCCAUGUUGUUCAUCGUGUUUGUCAACAACUUCAAAAUCCAACAAAAAAAGGCCUUUGAGCUGGGAAACGGAUCCUUCGCUACAAUAAAGGGACUAUAAACUAUGGUUUACCUAUUUUUAAGCAAAAGUACAUAUAACCUUUAUGUGUUUUGUGGUGCAGAUUGGGCUGAAUGCACUACAAUCAGGUGUAAUACAACAUGUUUUUGUGUCUAUCUUGGUGCAAAUUACAUUUCAUGGUCUUCGAAAAAGAAAAUCAUUAUAGCUAGAUCAAGCGCUAAAACUAAAUAUCGUGUCAUGGCUAGUGCCACAACUGAACUUACUUAGAUCACUUUCCUCUUUAUAGAUCUUUUUAUACUCCUCAACCAAACACCUCAACUCUUUUGUGACAAACUUGGUGCAUUAUAAAUGAUGGUCAAUCCAGUAUUUCAUGCUCGAACCAAACAUAUCGAGCUCGAUUAUCCCUUUGUUCGAGAAAAAGUGACCAAUGGCUCACUCAUCACUCGCUUUGUCCCUUCUCAUAAACAACUAGGUGACAUAUUCACCAAGCCCUUACCAAAAGCACACUUUAUUGAGUUACGAAACAAACUUAGAGUUCAAGCAAUGCAACACUCCAGUUUGAAGAAGGAUAUAAGAGAUCAGGCAUCUCAAAAUCAAAUUGACACCAAAUAUGAAUUAAUCAAAUUACCUCAAAAUCCGGAUAAUUAGCCUUUGACAUAAAUGUUGUCCAAAUUCACCAUGAUUAUUUUGCCUUACUUGAAUGAAAAAUAUGACCCUUGCUCAGUUCUCCUUUUUGACCUCCACAAAUCCUCCACAAAUUUAUUUUUUCAAUCACAAAUUUAUUCAUUCCAUGUUUGUAGCUUAUUCAAUUUGUGUAUAAAUAUCCAUCAUGUGUUUAUCAAGAAUAUUAGUUUCUCCUUUGAUUGAGGUUUUAGUUUCUUUAGGUAUAAGAUACCUUAUUCUUGUUGUAUGAUCUAGAAUAUGAUGUCAUAUAAUUGUUUUGUGAUAUGGUAUGAGAUGCUCUUUUCUUGAAGUGUGAUUUGGCACUGGAGGACGGAUUAUGCAUGAUGAAAUUGAUGGUGAAUUGCUGAUUGUGUUGAAUUGCUGAUUGUGUUGAGGUUGCUUUGUAUAGCCACAACCUAGCAAAAGAGUGUGAUAAAUGCUUGAGUUGAGAAAAGGGUACAAAGAUGUAAUUGAACACGUACAGCAGUUGUGUGAUGUGACUUAAUGAUGCAUUAUGCGAGAUGUAUGCUUAUGAGAUAUGAGUGGUUAUAAAUGAUUUGAAAAGAAAUGUUUUCCAUUUAUGAUUAAUAAAUAUUUGUUAAUGAAAUUUGGAUUGUGUUGAUCGUGUAACGCGUUGAGAUGAUUUGAUUUGGACUCGAUAUUUUAUUUUUGAAACACAUAACUAUUUAUAUUACAUGAUUUGGCAAAAUGAGUUGUAACACGUUAGGAUAGAAUUUGACUUAGUGUUGGUAAAAGACUCACACUCACUAGACAUUCUUGUCUAACUUUCAAAUGUCUUGAUUUACUCCCCCCCUCUAUGGUAACAGAGGACAACCAACGUUUGACUUGCUAUCUUUAUCGUCUCUUUUGCCAUAUACUCAAUUCACAUCAUCUUUGGUAGUGUCAUUGUGUCAACUCACACAACAUGUGUAGAAGCUAGGUGAGGAGAGUCCAACUAUUGUUUUGAGAUUAUAUAUAUUUUUUGUUAGAAGGAACUUCGUACUUGUGUUAAAUAUAUUCUUUUAACCACUAUGAAUGAAGUAUUUGUGUUAUCAAUUGAGUUCUCAGUUUGUGUUAAGAUUGUGGAUUGUGUUUGUUCCGCUUACUAGGUGUUCUACGUGCUAUUUGCGAAAAGAUUCACGUAGAAUGUGUAGGUGGUCAAGUCUCCACCUGGUCGCAUAGAGUGACUUUUGGAAUGGGGUGGGACAUGUAUAUAGCAAUUAAGAAUUGUAAUUUUUAAUAAUGGCUAAAAUAUAGCAAUUUUAGGAUUUUUAAUGGCUAUAUAUUUGUAAUUUUCAAAAGAUUUCUAUAUAAUUUUGAAUGUAAUGGCUAUAUAUAUAUAUAUGCCACUAUCCCUAAAAAGUUUAUAAAAAAAAUCUAAGUUUGUGAUUAAUCUGAUGAUGAAUAUCUAAGAAAGGAAAAGGAGAUAGAAACUAUUAUCUUCUUCUUGUGUGUCUCUAUAGUGUUGUGUGUUAAACCAAAAACUGAAACCACACAGCAUUUAUGACAAAGAAGAAAAGUAGGUGAAAAUGAUUGACGUUUGGGAAGAGAAUUAUCAAACAAAAUCCUUCAACUGUGACCUUUUUCAAUUUACAACCACAGAAUCUUUGCUAAAAUCCAUUUCAUAAACAUAGAUAUGCAAACUGUAUCCAUCCAUUUGAUACUUACAAAUCAUCUGCCCAUCAAAUUUUAGUUUCACAUCUCAAAUUCCAUACAUAUUCCUUAAUUGAUCUAACACAUAAAAACUUAUAUAUCUUCUGUCAACAACAGCUUAAAGCUAAACCAAUAUUCAAAUUUAGCUUAACUCGACUCAUUACAAGAUUUGAGUUUCAAAUUUCUCUCCCCCAAUCAUUGUACUAAAAAAAGCUUUCAUAUCUGUCAAUAUUUUUAAAACUACAUGAGAUGGUAUAACUUUAAAUUCACAUCUAAUUUAUUUUAAUCACUGAAUCAUGGUUGUAAAACAGCACACAUAGUAGUGGUUAAUCUCCAAAUUAAUUAGUUGGUCCACUAACUUUUAGAGUAUGAUAUUUAAAGACUUCCCAAACUUUGAAUUCAAAAAGUGCAGUCUGUAAUCUAUAUAUAGUGGGAUUAGAAGAUAUAGAAGCGUAUCAAUAAAGUGAACACAAUAAUUAUAUAGAAGGGGAAAAAAAACCUUAAAAAUGCUAUUGAGAUUGCACUUAUUUUUGUCCAUUCAAAAACUAACAACAACAUUUUAACAUUAAAAAAAAAAAAAAAAAGGAAAGUUAAAUAGUUGUAUUUCCCCACUGUGUAAUGAAUGGACGAUUAUAUAUAAAAUAUGUGUAAUCUAAAUUGUACCUACUAAUUUUCCAUAUAUAGAAAUGGAAAUGGAAAAUGGAAAAUGGAAAAUGGAAAAUGGAAAUGCAUGGGUGCCAUGUAGCUACCUCCAUGGAGCAGCAGGUGGUAAAUGUAGUAAAACAAAAAGGGGGAUUAGAGAGAACAUACAAUAGCAUAUAAAUGAAGAAAGAUGAAUAAAAUUAAUGAAAAAAAAGGAUGAUAAGCUAUAGUUUUACGAAAAAGAAAAAGAAUAAAGAAUAAGGACAAAAGAAAAGAAAAUGUUGGAAGAGUCAAAGAGGCAAUAAAAGAGAAGAAGUAGGGUUUUAAUUUUAAUUUGUAUUGAGAGUUGUGAAGCGGCGCAUGGGAAGGGGCAAUAGCCAUACCAAAAUGGUGAGGGUAUGGCUCAUAACCACAAAACCAUACAAACCAAUUAGGGUCCCCAAAAGAGAGAAGUGGCUAAUUGGAAACUCUGAAAGGUUAUAUUUAUCAUUUUUUUUUUUUAGAAACUUGGCUUUUGGGUGAACUCUAAAGUCAUCUUCUUCCUUUCCUCCUUCUUUCUAAUUUCUCUGUCCAUGGUCAGAAAGAAAAAGGCUGUCAAAGUUUUAUUUCUCUUUUUUUCUUUUUUCUUUUUUUUUUUUGUGGGAUCCAUAGAUUUUAAGGGGACCAGAAACUAAUGGAAUUAUAUAUAACAGUUUGUUUUUCUAAAUUGAACCACAAAUUUCACUAUUUAUUAAAAAUAUAUCAAUAUUAAUGUUUGUCUAAUAUCAUCCUCAUAAAUCUGUUCUACAAAUCUUUACCACUAAAUAUACAACUACUACUACUACUACCUCCUUUCUUUUUUUUUUUUUGUUUAUUUGUUUUGGGGAAUAUUAAUUAUGGCUCUAUUUAUUGCAUUUGUUUCUAUCUCUUAUUCAAUACUUCAAUUUAAAUAUGCGUUAAAAUAGACUAAUGAGCAACUUUUUGGAAAAUGUACAAAAUAAAUAAUAGCCUGGCACCUACCUAGCUGGUUGUUAUGUUAUUAGGAAUUUAGGAUAGGGAAGAAUAUUAAUUAAACACGAUUUUAUUUACUUUCAUCUUAGGGUGGUAUCAACCACUUUUCUUGGGGAAUAUUUUACACCUUUUUUUUUCUUUUCUUUUUCUUUAAUAAAAUCUUUACUUGAUCUCACAUAUGUAUGUUUAGUUUCAUUUCAAUUUUGUAAAAGUAACUUUUAUAAAAUCAUUGGAGAUGGAUGUUUCUAAGCAGAUUAUACAAAUAUAUAUAUAUAUAAUAUAUAUAUAUAUAUAACAUCUUAUUUAUAUUAAAAAAUAUUUUUAUUUUUAUUUUUUUAACUAGUUAAAAGGUUUAAUAUUUGGAUUAGGUUUACAUUACUUCUUAUUUUAAUUUUUAUAUUUUAAAAUUUGUUUUAGUGAUUCUCUCGUGAUAAUUUGAAGCCGAGGAAAAUAUCGUUAAAAUCUAUAAAAAUGACUUUUAUUUAUUAUUCGAUUCUAAACUCAAAUCUCAAACAUGAUAAUUUAAUCUUUCGCUGCUUUAAUUAUAAUUUAGAGACAGAGAAUUGAUAUAUUAUAUCAAUGUUAGAUAGAUAAACCAUCAAAUGCAUAUAAAAAAGAUUGUAGAAAAGACAAAAGAGUUUUGAAGACGUUGUUGAUAGAUCCUACUAAAGAAAAUAAUUUACGAUUGAAUAAAGAUGGAUAAGAUUUUACUCGAGAGAAGAGAAAUUUAUAAAUGAAAAGAAAUUACGAUUUUAGUUUUAAUAGGUAUGUUUUAUCUUUAUACUUUCAAAAUGUAAUAUUUUAGUUAUUCUAACAUUUUAAAAUUAGUUAUUUAAAGUAUCAUAUAAUAGGUUAAAAAAAUCAUAAUGAUUUUUUAUUAUUUUAAAUUGAAAUUUUAACUUUUAAAAAAUCAUAUUUCUCUGUGAAAUUCCUUUUAAAAACUUUUGUUCCAAUUUAAAAUCUCAUAUAACUUUAUAAAAAAAAGAAAGAAAAGAAAUACAAUUAAAGUGAUUUUUAAAGCGCCAUAAAAAGAUAUAUUUUAAGAAUUUAGAGACUUAAGAUGCAUAUUCUAAAAAGAAUACAUGAGUUGAAAAAAUGUAUAGUGUUUGAUAAAACAUAAACCAAAUGCAUCAAUUCUUCAAAACUCGGAUGGACUAAAAACGAUAGUUUUAUAUAUGAAUAAAUAUAAUAAGAAGAAGGAUGAAAGAGAAUGGAGAAUCUUAUUUAUAUUCCUUUGAACAUAGGUUCGACGAGAACAUGUUUCCCAAGCAUGCAUGCUCCAUGUGAAUAGAAUAUGUGGUUUGUAUGGUUAGUAAUUAAUAAUUAAUAAGUUGUUUUGAGAUUGAUUUAAAAAUGAUUAACCUAAAGUAAACCCAAUAAUUAAGCAACAAAACAAAACACAGAGAUUAAAGACUACAUAAUAUAAUUAUUAAUAUAUAUAUAUAUAUUCCAUUGACAGAAUCCCCAUGCAUUUGUUUCUUGAUUCCAUUACAUUUGAUUCCUCCUUCAAGGAGAGAAUAAUCAAUGAACCUAAAGAAAUGGACCAGGAAAAAUAGUUGUGAUCGAUCAGAUGCAGCUUUUAAACUCAUAAAAAUCCGACAUUGAUUUUAGUACCAAAAUUAAAACCUUUCAAAUACGAAUCUGUCAAAAUGUAUAAUUUAUAUAUGUAAACCAAUAGAUUUUUUGUUUCUCUUUCAGUUUGUUUUUGCUAAGAACACAAUAUAUAUAUAGUACUAAGGAAAACGAAAGAGACUUGUUGUUGUUUUCUGUCCUGUCAUGCAAUAGCCUUUUCUUAAGUGUUUAUGUCCUCGAAUUCAUAAGUGUUUCUAUCAAUUAGGCCAUCAACAGAUAAUUUUGUGAGUGUGGACUGUAUCCAUUUACAUGUAUUGGGUGAAAACUUGUACUUCCUCAAAACAAAUAGAAAUCAAAAUCUCUAAUACGGAAAAACUCUCUUAUAUAUAAUUCUACAAAUGUUGUUAUUAAUUGCCAAGUAAACUAAUAUAAUGUGUUAUAAAUUUUAUGUUACAUUGUUUUCCCAAAAUUAAAGAAUGUUUGCUAUAAAAAUGGGCAUUUGAAAGCUGUAAAAAAUGCAAAAAUAUGCUUAUAAAUAUAUAGAUUGUGGAGUUUGGGAUUCAAAUUUUCUGACAUUAGAAACACAAAUUACUAAUACUGAAUUAUUUUUCUUAGUGAUGAAUUAAAAUACAUACUGCAUCUUUUGGUUGGAGUUAUUUUUUUUCUUUUUAAAAUGUUGUAUUACAAAAAUGAGAUGAGAGCUAGCAUUAGCGUUUUAUAUUUAUUAGAGUUUCAAAUUUUAAAAUUCUUAUUUUUAAAAAAAAAUAGAGAAGUUUUUUAAAUUAUAAAUUUGACAAAUAGAAACCAUGCUCCUAUUAAUCCGAUUGAUAGUCAAUAAUAGAAGUUUAAGGAUGUCUUCAAAAAAUAAUAAAAUAAAAAAUUAAUUAAUUUAAAUAUUACUGAAAUUUAAGGGAAAAAAAAAAAAAAGAGAAAAUGGUACAAUUUGAAUCUUAAUUAAUAUUAAGGAAAGGAAAAAUACUAAAACUAUUUGGAUUUGGAGUAUUUGUUUGAGUGUUAGGUUUUUGGUUCAAUAUUGGCAUAGAUAAUGCUUUCUUUUCCAAAUAAAGGCCUAACAAAAUAAAUUGCAAAAUAAAACGUUUCAUUUUAACAAAUAUCAAAAUAAAAUUUAAAUUAGAAGAAUGGUAAAAUGGUUUAUAGAGUUAUUAAGUACAAAUUAAUAAUUUACCAAAAUAUCCCAAACUUCAAAUCCUUAACAACUCAGAUUUAUUGUAAUUAAAAAUCCAAUAAUUUAAAAUUCUCUUAAAAUAGUGACUAACCAAUUUGUAAAAAAAUUCAAACCGUAACAUCAAAUCUUAUCUAUAUUCAUGAAUAUAUUAUUAAAAAAGAUCCAUUACAAUAAAAAGAAAUAUAUUUUGUAGGACUUUUUCAAAAAUAGAAAAAAAAAUUAUUUAUCAUAUCUAAAAAACACUAAAAACAAAAUUUAUUACACUUGAUUUUUUAAUUUUGUAUCGUUCAAUUGUAAUUCAUAGAAACUAGGCAACUAAUUUUAACUUAAUCAACAUGUUCACCAUAAAAUAUACUUUAUAUUGUACUAUCUUACAUUGUGUUAAAAAUAGCUACUAGUUAUAGAUCAAGAACACAUACAUUAUAUUGAAAGAAAUAGCUAAGUACACUAUUUUCAGAAGAUGGUGCAUUUGAAAGAAAAAAAGUUUGACUAAGUAAUAUAAAGAAUAAAGGUAGGAUAACAUUUUUUUUUGGAACCCUCAAUUCAAAAGACAAACUCUAAAAAGCUUGAAUAGUGAUAAGCUGCUUGGUGGAGCAAGAAAGAUAACAGAAUAAAAAUUUCUAAAUUGGAACAAAUUUGAAAUUUUAUGGUUUUCGAGUCAGUCCCAACAUAAAUGAAUUGGUAAUAUUGUAGAAGCUUCACAUUUCUUAAUCGUCAUCUUGCUUUCUUCUUCAAAUAUUCACUCACAAUUGAACUUGCACAUAGAUUUUAUACGGCAAUUGAUACUUCUUAAUUUUUGCGUACCACGUGAAGAUGAACUCAUAUCUUGUCUCAAUCCAAAACGUUUCAAUUUUCAACCAAUAAGUUUACACACUCACAUUUAUGUGUAUACCUUUAUUCCUAUUUUUUCUUUCAGUUAGUUGGAUAUCCCAUUCAAUCCAUGAAACUAUAGUCACAACGUCUCUAUCUCAAUCACCUCAUUAAGAUCAUUUGCAAACACAACACGAACUUACCCAUAAAAGAAUUUAUUAAUUCCUCAAUUUAAUAUUUCACCAAGUUUUUUAUUCAAUAUCCCUACACUUUCCACGACUAUCUUCAAGUGCCUUUUGAGCCCAUCAAAUUCUCACUUCAUUGAUUUAUACAGAAAAAAAAUGAAUAGAUAAUAAUUAAUAAAUAUAAUGAAAAUAGUUUGAAUUUUAAAAUUUGAAUUCAAUAAAAUUUAUAGAGAUUUAGUUAUAAAGUAGAUGGUGAUACGUUUAAUCUCUCGAAAUUUUCAAUUCUAAUAUUAAAAAUUGCAUUUGAGGGUGAAAAUGAUUGGAUUUGAACAACCUAAAUACUCUAACAAAAACCCCACUCCUACCAUUAAAGACUUUUUUUUUUCAUAAACAACCAUCCUUGUUGUUGAAUUAAAAAGAAAAAGUACAUAUUGAAUCACACUAUGGUGCUCAAACUAUAAAUUUCAUUAAUUUUUUUUUAGGUUUUAACUGCUAUCACUUAAAAUUGUAUACUAUAUUAUAAGAUAAGACUUAAAUUUUAUAAACUUUUCAUAAAUAUACUUGUGGAAGGAUAUGCUGAAGAAUAUUCCCUCAUUUUGUUUAUUGACCAAAGUUGUGUAUUUAUACAAGGGUAAUUACCCAAAUUAACUAAGCCUACUUUAUUUACAUUAACAUCAUUACCCAAAUUAACUAAGCCUAAUUUAUUUACAUUAAUACCCUCCCUCAAACUCAAGGUGGUAGAGUAGCGAUCAACUUGAGUUUGGUAAGUAAGUGACAAAAUCGAUUAGAUGGCAAGGCUUUGGUGAAGAUAUCCGCAGGUUGUUCAAUAGUAGAAACAGAACGUAAGAGGAGGGUGUUGCUUAAGAGGUGGUGACGAACAAAGUGACAGUCAUUUUCAAUGUGUUUUGUACGUUCAUGAAACACAUCAUUGUGAGCAAUCUGAAUGGCACUACGAUUGUCACAAUGGAGGAGGGUAGGACCCUGUUGAGGGACACCCAUAUCGGCAAGGAGCCACCGAAGCCAUAUAAGUUCAGCUGUAGCAUCAGCCAGAGCACGAUAUUCAGAUUCCGUACUGGAACGAGAUAUAACACUUUGUUUCUUACUACGCCAUGAGAUGAGAGAAUCACCUAAGUAAAAACAGUAUCCUGUAGUGGAUCGUCGAUCAGUAGGAUCCCCCGCCCAAUCAGCAUCAGAAUAUCCCGACAACACAAGGGAAGACUGAGAUGAGAAUUGAAGACCAUGUCCCAAGGUGCCUUUGACAUAGCGAAGUAUGCGUAGAACAGCAGUGAAAUGAAUUGUUCGAGGAGCAGCCAUAAAUUGACUGACAAUAUGAACAGCAUAUGCAAUAUCUGGGCGAGUUACUGUUAGGUAUAUAAGACUGCCAACAAGUUGCCGAUACAAGCUUGCAUCGUCAAGAGGAACACCAUCAAACGGAGUUAGAUGGACAUGAGGAUCUAACGGUGUUGAAGAUGUGGUGGAGUCUGUAAUUCCUGAGCGUGCUAUUAGAUCAGAUGCAUAUUUCGCUUGAGAUAACAGAUAACCAUCUGAACGGUGAGAGACUUCAAGACCGAGAAAGUAAUUGAGAGAUCCAAGGUCUUUCAUCUCAAAAUGUUGACCAAGAUAUUGUUGUAGGUCGGAUAUGGCCUGUUGAUCAUUACCAGUAAUAAUCAUAUCAUCAACAUAAAGAAGGAGAAGAACAAUACCAUGAGUUGUCUGUCGUGUAAAAAGGGCAUUGUCGUGAGAGCUGGAGGUAAAUCCAAGUUGAGUAAUGGUGGAGCUAAACGUGGCAAACCAAGCUCGUGGAGCCUGUUUUAGACCGUAUAGAGCGCGACGAAGGAGACACACCUUGUUGGGAGGAGGAGAAGUUCCCUGAGGUGGCUUCAUAUACACUUCUUCAGAUAGGUUGCCGUUAAGAAAUGCAUUUUUGACAUCCAUCUGAAAAAGAGGCCACUGUUUGGCAGCAGCAACAGCUAACAAGCUGCGAACAGAUGUCAUCCGGGCAACAGGGGCAAAUGUUUCUUCAUAGUCAAUCCCAUAUUCUUGUGAGUAUCCUUUUGCAACAAGCCGAGCUUUAUAACGUUCAAUAGUUCCAUCAGAGUGAGUUUUGAUUUUGUAAAUCCAUUUGCAACCAAUGGGUCUUUUACCGGGAGGUAAAUCAACAUAGUCCCAAGUGUGCGUCUUUUCAAGAGCCUGUAAUUCUUCAUCCAUUGCUUUCUGCCAUACUGGGUUAAUACUGGCCUCUUGAUAAGAGGUGGGUUCAACAAGGGAAACAAUGGUAGAAAAACAAUGGUAAUCAGUGAGAUGAGGGGGAGGUUCUCUUACCCGGGUAGAGCGACGAAGAGGAGUAGCAGGUGGCGAUUCAGGAACAUCAUCGGAGACAGACGGUGGAUCCAGAUUUGCAGUAGCAGGUGAAGAUUGUGCAAGCUCAGUAUCCAAGGUGGGUUCAGAGAGAGGAAAAAGGUCAACAGAUGUGUUUGUAAAGAAAGAUUGAGGACUAGAGAAGGAGGUGUGGAAGGAGGACAAACGAGAGAACAUAGUGUGUUCCCAAAAAGUGACAUGCCGAGAUAUCCGGAGUCGGUUGGAAAGAGGGUCCCAACAACGAAAUCCUUUGUGUUCGGUGCCAUAGCCAAGGAAGCAACAGAGACGGGCACGUGGUUCAAGUUUAUUGUGUUCAUGAGGAUGUAACAGAACGAAGCAGGCACUACCAAAAACUUUGAGUUUAGAAUAGUCGGGAGAAAUACCAUAUAGUUUUUCGAACGGAGAGGUAUUUUGAAGGACAGAGGAAGGGAGACGAUUGAUUGUAUAUACUGAUGUAAGGGCAGCUUCACCCCAGAAUUUUUCUGGACAAGAGGCAGAAAGAAGGAGGGCACGUACUGAGUCAAGAAUGUGACGAUGUUUGCGCUCAGCACGUCCAUUUUGUUGAGAGGUAUGAGGGCAAGAGCGCUGAACAAUAGUGCCCUGUUGGGAAAGAAAAGAAAGAAGGAUGGAAUCUUUAUAUUCCAAAGCAUUAUCAGUGCGAAGAAUUUUGAUGGGAGAGGAAAAUUGAGUGCGAAUCAUGUUAGCAAACUCAAUAUAUGUGCGAGAUAAUUCAGAACGAUGUUUUAGAAAGUAAAUCCAUGUAAAUCGAGAGUAGUCAUCAAUGAAUAAAACAUAGUAGCGAUAACCAUGAACAGUAGUAAUUGGGGCAGGACCCCAAAUAUCAGAAUGCACUAAAUCAAAAGGUUUAUCACAAUUAGAGAUGGAUUGAGAAAAAGAUAAGGCAGGUUGUUUAGCAAGUUUGCAAUUCAAACAAUUAAAAGGAACAAAUUUAGUAAGAUUAGUCAAAUUGUUAACAGAAAUUAAAUGACGAAGUUUUUCAGAGGAAGCAUGACCAAGACGAAGAUGCCACUGAUAUGUGUCAGAAUCAGUGACCGAAGCAGAGAUGGAAGAAGGAGAUGAAAUCCGAAGUGAUGUGAGCUCAAACAAUCUUCCCACUUUGCGACCCGUUCCAAUCGUCUGUCCCGUCUGCGGAUCCUGAACCUGACAACCAUUGGGAGAAAAUGAAACAUUUAAGCCCAGAUCACAUAAUUGACCAACAGACACUAGAUUAAAGGUCAGGUUAGGAACACAGUAAGUAUGGGGAAGAUGUACACUGGGAGUAUCAAUGGUACCAGUAUGAGAGAUGUUCAUACAAUUACCAUCAGCAGCAUAAAUAGGAGGUAAAGAUUUUGUAGGGCUAGAAGUAGACAUAAGAGAAGAGUCAGAGGUCAUAUGAUUACAACAGGCAGAAUCAAGAAGCCAUCGAUUACCUGAUGAAACAGCCAGAGCGGAGGAUGAUGAAAUUAGUUGAUUCAAUAAGCUCUGAAGAUCACUUAUCUGAAUGAGGGAUGAAUCAUCCGAGGUCGCAGCAACAACAGAUGAGGAACCAUGUUUGGUAAAAAUUUUCUCUUUUGUGGAAGUGCUAGGAGGUCGGGGUGGUCUGGUAGGGCAGUUAUCCAGAAUGUGGCCAUGUUUAUGGCAGUACCUGCACUCUAUUUUAGGACAGUUACUAAAUUUGUGACCAGAGAGCUUACAAUUCUUACAAAACAUAUUUGCGGCUCUGUUGGGAGUGUAUGUGCUAGCAAGGACAACAUCAGAUUGUUUAGUAGAGUUGAUGCCAAGACGCUUUUCUUCAAACAGAAUUUCUUGAAUAGCUGCAUCUAAUGAGGGUAAGGGAUUCCGGUGUAGUAAAGCAGCUCUAACAGAUUCAUAUUCUGGACGUAAUCCCAUAAGGACUUUAAUAAGGCGAAGAUGAUCUUUGCUGAUGUUCGCUUGGUCAAGUUGAGUCCAAAUGGGUUGAAGAACUGCCAAAUAUUCAUUAACAGACUGACCAGAAUCUUGAUUUAGAUUUACAAGUGUACUGUGCAGUUGGUAAUAAUGGGCUAAACCAAUAGACUUGAAGCGUGUAGACAAAAAAUCCCAUAAUAUUUUAGCAUCAUCAAAGGCAUCAAACUGUGCAUGUAUAGCGGGAAUAGAGGUGUUACCAAGCCAGGUGAUAAUUUGAUGAUUUUUACUGUCCCAAUCUUCGAGACGUUCAAUGAAUGUGUUAUCCCCUUCCUUUGCAGUUGGUUUGGUGAUGUCGCCAGUUACAAUGCGCCAUAGUUUUCUUCCAAUAAGAAAACUUUUCAUUUGAUUUGCCCAUGUGAUAUAAUUUGUACCAUCAAGUAUGGUAGAAAUUGGUCUAAAGAUAUGGUCUCUCUCCAUUUUGAUUUGGGGUUAACAAUGCGGAUUUUCGGCCAAGUUUUGACGGAUUUUCGUCAGAUCUGGGUUUCACUGUAUUUGGCGACUGGAUUCAGGGGUGCACGGCUGGGUUGCGGCGACUGGAUUCAGGGGUGCACGGCUGGGAACGGAGACAAAAAAAAAAAAACUUGAAGACAAACGGCUGAAAGAUUCGUCAGAUCUGAAGACAAACGGCUGAAGGAUUCGUCAUAUCUGGUGGGCGGCGUCGGACGGUAGACGUCGUCUUGCACUCACGGCUGGAAGAGAAGUCGCGUGCGGCUUGGAACGACAGAGGAAGACUGGUGCUUCGCGGAUGGAGACGAAUCGGAGCGGAAACGGACACCUGCGAUGCCGAGGCUGCGACUAAUCGGCGCGACGCCGACGCUGUGGUGGAAUGGCUGGAGACAGAUCGGAGCUGUCUGCGAGGCGCGCCACGUCGAUGCUGUGGUGGAAGGGUUGGAGACAGAUCGGAGCUGUCUGCGAGGCGCGAGGCGCGAUGAGGAUGACGAUGACGGAACGGCUGCGAGGCGCGAUGAGGAUGACGGAGACGGUUCGAGACGUCUGUGAUGCGCGAUGAGGAUUCGGGAUGGAGACUUUCACGGGUGGUUGGCGGCGGCGGCGGCGGCUGAGAUGAAGUCUGAAAACCCUAGCUCUGAUACCAUGUGGAAGGAUAUGCUGAAGAAUAUUCCCUCAUUUUGUUUAUUGACCAAAGUUGUGUAUUUAUACAAGGGUAAUUACCCAAAUUAACUAAGCCUACUUUAUUUACAUUAACAUCAUUACCCAAAUUAACUAAGCCUAAUUUAUUUACAUUAAUAAUACUAAUGGCUAAUAUUUUACACAAACAUAGGGUCAGAAUGACAAAUUUAUUCAUAUUUAUCAUUAAUAAUAUAUUAAAAAAUAAAAAAGAAAAUAAGGAAAGUGAACCAUGAUUAAGAUUUACAUUUAUUAGAUAUUGUACGUAAAUAUGAUAAGUGAUUAAUUAUAUUAUGAUAAUAUUAUAAUCAAAAUUACCCAUUAAUUAUUUUUCUUUCGGUGAUUUUGUUACAAAAUUAUUCUCUCUCGAUCUCUCUCUCACUUCCCAAUCUCUUUCCAUCCAUUCUUUCUUUCGUUUUGUAUAUAUAUUUCAUGUAAUUAUAUAUUGAAUAAUACGGUGUAUAUUUUAUGAAUGAAAGGUUUUGAUAUCAAUAUGUUUAUGUAUUUUAUUUAAAAUGUUCAUAUCUUACAUAGUAAAUAAUACAUUAUUUUUGUAAGAAUAGUAAUUAUGUAUAAAAGUUGUUUAUGUUUACAAGAACAUGGAUGAGAAGAAAUUAUGAUGAAUAUAUGCUAUUAAAAUAUUAGUUGUUCUCUAGUAUAUAACGUGGAGGAAAACUGAAUAUGUUUGCGAUGUAGAGAUUUUGAUGAAAAAAUUGAAGAUCCAGGAAUUGUAUGAAGUGUUUGAAUGUGGAGGAUAUGUUAAAUUGGUUUAUAUGAAUAAUAUAUAUGAAAUAAUAUAUUGUGUAUUUUAUGAAUGAAAUGUUAUGUUAUCAUUUUGUUAAAUUGGUUUUAUGUAUUUUAUUUCAAAUAAUAAGUUAUAUUUGAAACAAUAGUGAUUAUGUAUGAAAGGUAGUAUAUUAAAUAUAAUAAAUUGAAAAACUUUAAUUAGUAUUGUAGAUGAAAAUUUAUGAAAAAAAUAUGAAAAUAAAAUAAUUGAAAUAAAAACUGGAAUAUGAAAUAUUUCAAAUAAAAGUCUGAAAUAACAUACUAAAAGUUUAAUAAUAAGAAAAAACUAGUUCAAUAAAAAAAAAAUUGUAUCUUUUUCUUAGAUAUGGUCAACACGUCCACAACAGCCACAUUGAAUGCGUCUCUUGUGUUGGUUUUUUGGCCCUUAAUCUUAAAUUAAUUUAUUUUAAUUAUUUAAUUAAUUUAUGUUUUGAUGAUAACAAAUCUGAUUUUUUUAUUAAAAUUUUUAUUAAUUUGAAUAGACCAUAUCGUAGAGCUUGGAAAAAUGAUUUUAACGCCUCUUGAAUCACCCAAAUCGAAGUUCAAACGAAGAAAAUAUUGCUAAAAAAAGGUUAACGGAAAAAUACCCAAGAUGGUGACGUGGCGACCAAGCAUUCAAUUUGAACCAAUUAGAGAAAGUGGUUAUGUUUUAUUGGCUUUUAUAAAGAAAAUGACUUUAAUAUUAUUAUUUUUCCUUGUGUCUAACAGUUAGUUUUUUUAAAAGAUGGUGCAGUUGUUUUAUUGGUUUUUUUUUUAAACAAAGUAUUUUGAAAAGAGACUAAUUGAGUUUAAAUCUCAACCAUUCAUUUUUCUUUUACUUAUAUCUAAUGACUCAAAAUGAUUUUAAAUUUAUCUUUCCUCCCUUUUUAAAUACUUCACUUUUCCCAAAUUUUAAAGAGACUAGAUUAUUAAAACUUUACAAUCCUCAAAAAGUGUAAAAAGCCAAUAUUGUUAUUCUCUCUAAAGCUUCCAAUUUUUAUUCUUUUCAUCUUAUUCUUGAGAGCUUCUUAUUGUAUUGUAAGGAUUAAAUUUGUAAGCUUCAAAUUAUAUACUUACUCUUUUAGAGAGUUUUAUUUUGUGUGAUUUAAAAACUUCAACAUAUUGUAACGGUUGGAUACUAACGCGUGGAAAGGAUCGGGUUUGCUCUUCAAUCCGAAAAAGGAGCAAGAAUCGGUUCGACUCAAAUCCGUGGAAAGAGUUAAAAGAAGAUUUUCAAUCAAAAUCCCAAGAGGUGCUUGGGAAAGUGGAUGUAGUUGAGUUUAACAGAACCAUUAUAAAAUUACGAUGUCUUCUUCUCUAACUCUUUUCUAAUUAUUUUUUAAUUUAAUUUUAGUUACAUAUUCUUAUUGGUUGAGUUUGAUUACAUACUUCCAUUCAUAUCUUUUUAUCAAUCUUGAUAUUUAACAAAGUUUACAAAGUUCUCUAUUUAAAUUAAAAAAUAUCUAAUUAGUUGAAUUUACUUUUUAUUUGUCAAAAAGUUUAUUUAAACCUUAUUCACCCUUUAGGGUUGUCAUACCGAUCAACAUCUUGAACACCAAUUUAGAAGAAAUUCUAAUCUUUUUUGGUAGACCAAUGGAAAAUUUUACAUUCAAUGGGAGGAUGACAAGUACUUCAAAUUUUGUAUUAUUGAAUAUAUAAAGUAUUAUAUAUGUAACAAAUCACAGAACAUAAAUGUUUUAUGUAGUAGUAUAUAUAAGAAAUCAAAGAAAAUACUGAUAAGAUAGAGAAAAAAAUAAAGAAAAUGAUACAAAACAGGAAGGAAAAAAAAUUGAACUAAGUACGUCUUACUGUAUAUAUACAAUUGUAUAUAAUGAUGAAAUGAUUUAUGUAUGAUCAAAUAUAUGAGGUAGUAUAUAUGUAGCAAAUCACAUAAGAUGUGUAUAUAGUGGUAUAUAAAUUAAGUGUUAAGUUACAGAUCUAAAAAAAAUUGUGAACGUAUUAUCCAAUAUAUGUAGAAGUAUAUAUGUAACAUAACACAAAAAAUUACAUCAAAAGAUACAGUACCAUAUGUAUAAAAAAAAAAAAAAUACAUAACGCAUAUUCUAUAAUCAAUGUAUACUGAACAUGACAAGAAGAUGAAUUGAAAAAGAAAUAACAAUUUUCUUGAGGAAAAAAACUAUAUGCUAGGAAACUAAAAUUAAAAUGUUAUAUGAAAAGAAGAAUGAAAAAAAAAACUAACCAAUUUAAAAUCGCCAAAUCGGAAGGAAAGAAGAAAGAACAAAUUUAAUUUUCUAUAGGAAUCAAAAAAAAAAAAAAAAAAGCAACACGUUGAUGAUGGAAUAAAAAAAUGAUUUUGGUUUAUGAUUUAAAUUGAAAAUAACUAUUACCAUAUAAUUACCAUAUAAAGAUAUAUAAUUUAUACCAUAUUUAAAUUAUAAAAAAAUAAUAAAAUAUUACAUUAAUAAAAAAAAUAUAUAUAUAAUAUAAUAAUUAAGGAAAUUACAAUUAUAUAAUAAAUUAUGUGGUUGAUAAUUAAGGAAAAAAACUAUUUGAGAUUUUCAAAAAUAUUAAAAAAUUAUUUAAGAUUUACGGAUAUAAUUUUAUUUUUAAAUAAUUAAAUGAUGGAUAAAAUUAUCCUAAAAUACCACGAUUUCCUAGUUUAAAUAAUAAUUGAAAAUUUAUUAUAUUUGUGAAAUUUCUUGGAUAAUUUUGGUGUUUCCUCUAAAUCUUUCAUAUAUUUGUUUUAACAUAUUUUCAAAUGCGACUCUAAAAGUUACUAUAUGUGUUUAACUUAGUUCGUUUUGGGUUUCAGUCCAAAAGUCUAAGGGCUGACAAGAAGAAUGACAAAUUAAGAGGUUUACUUUGGUUUCUUCAUGAUUUAGUUUUCCUAAACAUAAUAUGUUUGUUUUUCAACAUGAUUAACUCAAUAGUUCAACUUUUAGCUUCUGAAAAACUUAAUGGCGAUCAUUAUGCGGCAUGGAAAUUAAAUCUUAACACAAUACUAGUGGUUGGCGAUUUAAGAUUUUUAUUAACGGAGGAAUUUCCUUAAAACCCUGCCUCUAAUGGUAAUCGAACUAGUCGGAAAGCAUAUGAUUGAUGGAUCAAAACUAAUGAAAAAGCUAGUGUCUACAUUCUUGCCAGCAUGUCUGAUGUUUUGGCAAAGAAACAUAAAUCCUUAGCCACGACUAAAGAGAUUAUGAUUCAUUAAAGAGAAUUUUUGAGCAACCAGAAUGAUCCUUAAGACACAAGGCGGUAAAAUACAUUUACACUAAUUAAGCGUAUGAAGGAAGGGACCUCUGUUAGAGAACAUGUCAUGGACAUCAUGAUGCACUUCAACAUCGCCGAAGUAAAUGGUGGUCCCAUCUAAGAGGUUAAUCAAGUUAGCUUUAUCUUAGAGUCUCUUCCAAAGAGCUUCAUUCAUUUUCAAACGAAUGCAUCUUUGAACAAGAUAGAGUUUGAUCUGACAACCCUUCUAAACGAGCUCCAACGAUUCCAAAACCUUACCAUGGGUAAGGAAAAACAAGUGGAAGCAAAUGUUGCUACCAUAAAAACAAAAUUUUCAAGAGGAUCGUCCUCUAAAGCCAAAGUUGGACCCUCAAAACCUAAUACUCAGUUUAAAAAGAAGAGAAAAUGGAAGACUCUCAAACAGAACAAGGGAAAGAAAGUUGGAGAAAAAGGUAAGUGUUACCAAUGUGACUUGGGUUUAGGGUUUAGGAACUGCCCAAAGUACCUUGCAGAAAAAAAGGCAGAGAAGGAAACACAAGGUAAAUAUGAUUUACUAGUUGUAGAAAUUACAUGCUUACUAGAAUAUGAAAAUUCUACCUAGAUACUAGAUUCAGGAGCCACUAACCAUAUUUGCUUCUCAUUUCAGGAAAAUAGUUCUUGGAAAAAGCUUUCAGAAGGUAAGCUCACUCUCAAGGUUGGAACAUGAAAUAUGGUCUCAGCUGAAGGAGUGGGAGAUUUAAAGUUGUAUUUUAAAAAUAGAUAUGUCAUACUUAAGAAUGUCUUGUAUGUACCUCAAAUGCAAAAAAAAAUUAAUAUCAAUCUCUUGUAUUUUGGAACAAAUGUAUAGACUAUAUUUUGAAAUUAAUGAAGCGUUCAUUUUUUAUAAAGAUACUCUAGUUUGUUUUGCCAUGCUUGAAGACAACUUAUAUAAGUUAAAACCAACCAAAGAAAAUUUUGCUUUAAAUAUUAAAAUAUUCAGAACAGUUGAAAUUCAUAAUAAAAGACAAAAAGUUUCUUCCAACGCCUAUUUCUGGAACUUAAAACUUGGUCACGUAAAUCUCAAUAGGAUUGAGAGAUUGGUUAAAAGUGGGCUUCUAAGUCAUUUAGAAGAUAACUCUUUUUCUCUUGUGAAUCUUGUCUUGAAGGAAAAAUGACAAAGAGCCAAAGGACCUUUAGAACUCAUUCAUUCGAACCUUUGUGGACCUAUGAAUGUCAAAGCUCGAGGUGGGUAUGAAUAUUUCAUUAGUUUCAUUGAUGAUUAUUGAAGGUAUGUUAAUAUUUACCUAAUACAUCAUAAGUUUGAUUAUCUUGAAGUUCAAAGAAUAUAAGGAUGAAGUCGAAAAUGAAUUAGGUAAAACAAUAAAGAUACUUCGAUCAAAUCGAGGUGGAGAGUAUAUGGACUUACGAUUGCAAGAUUAGUUGAUAGAAAAUGAAUUCAGUUAUAACUCUCUACACUUAGUACGCCUCAACAGAACAGUGUAUCAGAAAGAAGAAAUCGAACCUUGUUGGACAUGGUUCACUCCAUGAUGAGCUUUGCUCAGUUGCUAGAUUUUUUUGGGGGAUAUGCUUUAGAAACAACUGUUUAUAUUUUGAAUAAUGUUCAUUCUAAAAGUGUUUUCAAAAACACCUUAUGAGCUUUAGAAAGGACAUAAAUGAAGUUUACGUGAUUUUAGAAUUUGGGGUUGUCCAGCACACGUGUUGGUGCAAAAUCCUAAGAAAUUAGAACAUCGUUCAAAAUUAUGUUUUUUCAUAGGUUAUCCAAAAGAAUCAAGAGGUGGUUUGUUUUACGAUCCUCAAGAAAAUGAUGUAUUUGUAUCAACCAAUGCCACAUUCUUAGAGAAAGACCACAUCAGAGAUCAUCAACCACGUAGUAAACUAGUAUUAAAUGAAAAUUUCAAAAGUGCUAUAGAUAAACCUAGUUCAUCCACUAAAGCAGUUGAUAAAACUAGGAAAUCUGGUCAAUCACAUAAUUCUCAAGAGUUAAAAGAGCCUCGACGUAGUGGGAGUGUAAACCCGAAAUUUUCUUGGUCAAUUUUAUUUUAUUUAAUAUAUGUGAAAAGAAUAAAAGAAAAUUGGAAAUUAAGUGUGUAUAUAUAUAUAUUCAAUUGUUUUUAUUAAGUAAAAUAAAGAGAAAAGAAAAGAAAGAAGGAAGGAGGAAAUAAAAGAGCUCAUUCGAUGCAAUUUUCUCCUAUUAUAAACCCAUCCACCGCCAUAGCAUUCUUCCACAUCUUCUCAUCAAUUGUUUUUUGAAAAAUCAAAGGGGAGGCUGCGAAAGGAAGAAGAAAGAGGUUUCUGAAGAUUUCAGGGUAGAAGAUAGGAAGGGCAUUGCAAGCAAAGCUUCAUCCUUGGCAAAAGUUGAUUCACACAGCACACCUUUGAUGUUUUAUUGACUGCAAGCUACACAAACAGAAUUAAGAGGUGAGGUUUAAAUUUACGGAAAUCUAAUUCAUUUUCAAACAAGUUUUAUGAAGGAAUCUUGAGCAAAUUCUGAUGUUCAUUGGGUGAAUUUUGACAAAGAAAACAGGGCAGGUGGUUUUCUCGUGAAAUCAGAAGGUCUCUGGUUUUUUUGUAUUUCAGGGUGUACCGAUGGCAUUAGGAUCUCUAUUUAGUAUGGUCGGAAAGAUUAUUCAAUUUACUACAACUUUUAUGAAGAAAUUGUGAAUAAAAAACGACUAAAAGUAAGUUAAAUUGUAGGGACAAGUUAAAGGGGUCGUGGUACGCAUGAUUGUUGGUUGUUGGAAGUUUGAUGUACGAAAUAUUAUAUACUAGACCUGGCAUUUGCUACUCACUAACGAUGGUCAGUAGGUAUCAGUCCAAUUCAGGACAUCAUUGGACAGCCGUUAAGAAUAUCCUAAAAUAUCUUAGAAGAACAAAAGACAAUGUGCUCGUGUAUGUUACAAAGUAUUUGAUCCUUACUGGAUACACUGAUUCUGAUUUCCAAACUGAUAAAGAUGCUAUAAAGUCUACAUUAGUAUUAGUAUUCACUCUAAAUGGAGGAGUAGUAGUUUGGAAAGCAUAAAACAAACCUGUAUAGCUAAUUCCACAAUGGAAUCUGAAUACGUAACGACUUGUGAAGCAGCAAAAGAAGCAAUAUGGCUAAGAAAAUUAUUGACAAAUCUGAAAGUCGUUCCAAAUAUGCAUCUACCAAUCACUUUAUACUAUGACAACAAUGGUGUAGUUGCAAAUUCAAAAGAACCUAGAAGCUGUAAAUGGUGAAAGCAUAUUGAACGCAAGUACCAUCUUAUCAGGGAAAUUGUACAUCGUGGUGACAUUGUAGUAACCUAGAUUUCUUCUGAACAAAGCAUUGCUGAUCCUUUUACAAAAGCCCUCACGGCUAAAGUGUUUGAGGGUCACCUAUACAGUUUAAGUCUACAAUGUUUGUAAACUAGGACAAGUGAUAGACUUAUUGGGCAUGUGUCAUAGUUUUAUAUGUGUUUAUUAUACUCAUAUAUAUAUUAUUCUCUCUCAUAGUUAAAUUCAACAUUGUUUUAUCCCACUAGAAGUUUUAGUCCAAGUGGGAGUUUAUUGAGAUUUUAUGUCCUAAAACUCGUAGUUUGUAAUCAUAUUCUAUUCAAUAAAAUCGUUAUUGAGAAAUUAAAAAUUACAAUCAUAAAUCCAAUAAACUAAGUCAUAAGGCUAUUUUUAGUAAACUUGAAUACUAUGUAGAGACAUAAACGUGGAUCAAGUUCAAGUAUACAGCCUAAAUAAUAUAUAGUAUAUAAAUAAAGGUUGGACACCUUAUGAAGAGAAACUAUGGAUGUGGCCCGCUUUGUAGUUAGUACAAACGAGGUGAUCCUGAAUCGUUUAUGUAGAGACAUGAAAGUGGGGGCAUCCUAUGUAAAUUACUUACAUAAGACUGAACCACGAAAUAGUCACAUUUAAGUUAUAACACCGUUUACUGUUUAAAACUGGCUAUCUCGUUUAUUGAUGACCUAGGUAACUUAAUCUUAAUCCUGAGCAAACUAUGAACUCAUGUUCACACGAGCUUAUCUUUAGAUGUGCAUAGGUGAGAGCAGCUCAUCAGCGUUGGCUCAAUAAGCCUUCCAUUUUAGGGGUAAGAUCGGGUGGAUAGAUGGGGGCAUAGGAUGCAAGAUGGAAUUCACUCCUACUCGCUUUAGGGUUAGUAGAUAGGUUGUUUUUUUAAGCAUUAAAUCCAAGUCUUGAACAAGGGGCCUCACCCUCUCAUUGGCCUGAGAGAGAUUAAGUUUAGACCUUAAACCAAUUGUUCAAUGGUGGAUCAGUGGGACUUAAGGAGCAAGAUGUAGUCUCCAGGGUAAAACGAUAUUUUGACCCAGCCGAGGUUACGAAUAACAUGUGAAGGAUUAAUUUACUAAUCAUGGUUUUAUCAAAUGGACACAAAUAUAUCUAUAGUGAGGGGAGUGCAACGGCGGGACUUUAGUAGAAUGACCCAUUAGUUGACGAAUGUUGAUUAACUCUAUCUAAAAGAGUUUAGUCAGUUAAAAAUGAAUCGUUGGAGGCCAUGAUCUAUAGGUCAAUUAGGUUCUUCUGCUAGCUCAUAUGGAAUAAACUUAGAAUAGUGUGAUGGAUUAAGUCGAAUUGUUCAAGUUGGAAGAAGAGAGAAAAACCGACAAGUAUAUGUGAUAUAGCCGUCAGAUUUCAUAUUAGAAAUAGAGCUUUAUGUUUAAAUAGGAUUUAAAUAUUAUAAAUUUGAAUAUGGAUUCAUAUUUGGAAGCUCGAAAAUGAUGGAAAUAAUCAAAGUUGUAAAAAAUCAAAAUGUUGACUUUUGACUUUGAAAAGUCAAACACUUUGAUCGUCUAUAGAUUCAAAUGUGAUUUGAAAUUUGAAAAAAUGAAUGCAGAUUCAUGCUUGGAAGGUUGAAUUUAGUCAAGACGGUUAAAAUUGCAAAAAGUCAAACUUUAACUUUUAAUAAUCAAAGUUGUAAAAAAUCAAAAUGUUGACUUUUGACUUUGAAAAGUCAAACACUUUGAUCGUCUAUAGAUUCAAAUGUGAUUUGAAAUUUGAAAAAAUGAAUGCAGAUUCAUGCUCGGAAGGUUGAAUUUAGUCAAGACGGUUAAAAUUGCAAAAAGUCAAAAUGUUAACUUUUAACUUAGAAAAGUUAAAGUUUGACUUUGACUUUAAUGGUCAAAUGACCAUUUUACCCAUUGACUAAAGUUAGUGGGAAAAUCCAACAUUUUGUUGGAUAAUUCCACUAACUCUUAGUGGGCUAUGUGGAGGCUCAUGGUGAUAACACCAAGUCCACUUGGAAUGGUGAAUUAAAUUGCAUGCAUUUUGCAUGUAAUUUCUUUAUGAAUUAGUUUUGAAUCUUUGGUUUUAAAAUUUUUUGGAAUUUUGUUAAAAAUUUCAAAAUUUUAUCUUUUACUAAAUGAUUAUUCUUCACCUCUUUCACACCAAAAAGAAAAAAAAAAAAAAAAAAAAUUCUUCCUUCCAAAUUUAAUAUAUCUCUAAAAUUCUCUAUCUUGAUUCCUUCUUCAAUCGGGUCCCACAACCCGAUUCUUCGUCCAGAGGAUAGUAGGUGACUACUAGUGGUGGUCCAUUCGAUUUAGUGAAAGGUAUAGACUUUCAUAUUCGAAUAGCUACAAAGGUAUAAUAUUUCCUAAACCCUAAUUCUUUUAAUUUAGGGUUGCAUGUUAAAUAUGUGCAAUUAGGACAAUUUUUUUAUUCAUUUUUUCCGCUGCGCAUAAUUCUUUUUAUCAAGUUGACUAAAUCCAUUGCAUUCGCAAUAUUCUGAUCUUUUCUUUGUAAGUCUUGAGAUAAGUCAUUUGUGAUUCCCAAAAUAUUUUUCAUGAGAUGCAUAUUGAAAAUAAAGUCAACUGACAAUAUUGAAUUCAUUAGAAUCUGUGAAUCAAAUUUUUGUUCUGAAUUUGAUCCAUUGUGCACAAUUGUCUCAAGCACAUCAACUAUUGAAGAGAACAUUGUAACUAAAUUCGUUAAAGUGUUGUAAUGUGAUCCCCAUUGAGUAUCUCCUGAUCUUUUAAUCAUUAUCUCUUGAUUUAAUCCUUGUCCACUUGGUAUUUCACGAUUAUUUAAAGCUUAAAAAGAAUUUCAUACUAUGUUUCUUUUGUAGAAUAUCCCGAUGUUUCAUUGAUGCUCUAAUAACGUUCUCUACAUUUGUAGCAAUAAAGAAAAGACAAAAAUUUUCACAUUAUUUUUUGCAGUAUUUAGAAUAGGUAAUUAAAGUUGAGGAGCAAAACAAUGAAUUUAAAAAGCACUUUCAUUUUCAUUUAAAAUAAGUGCUUUCAAGCCAUGGAACUCACCUUGCAUAUUACUUGCUCCAUCAUAUCCUUGUCCUCGCAAAUUAGCAAUAUUUAACCCAUGUUGAGAAAAAAAAAACCCAUCAAUAGCUUCCUUAUGUGAUAGUGCACUUGUAUUAUUGACAUGGAUGAUUCCAACAAAUCGUUCAAUCACAUGACCUUCAUCCACAUAUCGUUAUACAACUGGCAUCUGCUCAUUUUAAGAUAUAUCUUUUGAUUCGUCUAUCAAAAUAGAAAAUUGUUUGUCACUCACAUCUCUUAUAGCUAUGUUAACAAUUUUUGUUGCAAUGCAGUUCACUAUAUCUUUUCUAAUACCAGGUGCAAUCAAUUUCAAAUUAUUUGGAGCAUUUUUCAAAGUCACGCCUUCAAUAUCCUUGUUAUGGUUGCACAACAAUCGUAAUAGCUCAAGAAAGUGACCUUGAUUCUUUGAAUCAUUAGUCUCAUCAUGUCCACGGAAUGCAAGACCUUGUCGUAAUAAAAAUUGAGUACAAUCAAUUGAUACGCCUAAUCAAGUUCAAUACUCAGCUCGUGCUUGGUCAGACAUCAUAUUUAAAAGUCUCAAUAUGUUUCUUUUGUUUUUAAAAAGCCUCCCAUUUUCUCCAAGCUUGAUUAUGUGCACUAUUAGGACCAUUGACAUGAGUUUCCAAUCUCUCGUGUUUCUUCCAAUUAGAAAAUCCUUCACGAACAAAACAUUUCCUUCCUAAUUCUUCACUUACUUUUGGUUUGAACAAGUAGCAACAGAACCAAAUUUCUUGAAUGAAAAAGUAUAAUUUUUAAAUGUAUUAAAAUUUAGAUAGAAAUUUGAUAUUUGGGGAAAGAAAAUUAUUGAUAUUUGGAAUAAAAUCAAUUUUGUGACACUUGUCAAGGAAAUCAUUGAAAUUUAGGAAGAAUUUGAUAUUUGGGAAAAUAAAAUUAUUGAUGUUUGGAAUAAAAUCUAUUUUGUGACAAUUUAGGAAGAAAUUUGAUAUUUAGGGAAAGAAAAUUAUUGAUAUUUGAAAUAAAAACUAUUUUGUGAAAAUAGUUGCAAAAUGUAAGAUUUUUACACCUAACUCGGUGGUUAUUUGGAAUAAAAACUACCAAGUAUUUCGGAACCCAUUAACCCACCAAGUACGCCAUUUAAGUAUUUAAUGGUAUUAAUAGACAUAUCCAGUAGAUGGUUUCAUGUGUGCUUACUAUCAAGUUGAAAUCUUGCAUUUGCAAAAGUACUUGUAAUAAUUAAUCUAAAAGCAUAGUUUUCUAAUUAUACAAUUAAAAACAUUUGACUUGAUAAUGCUGGUGAGUUUACAUUCUAAAUAUUUGAUCAUUAUUGUAUGUCUAAUGGGAUAAGUGUUAAAUAUUAUGUAGCUCAUGUUCAUACACAAAAUGGCUUAGCAUAAUCAUUUAUAAAAUAUUUCCAAUUAAUUGCUAGAUCAUUACUUAUAAGAGUUAAACUUCCUACAUCUGUAUGGAGAAUUUUUAUUUUGCAAGUUGCAUCAUUUGUGCAUAUUAGGUCAACAACUUAUCACAAGUGCUCGUCAUUACAAUUAGCAUAUAAUCAUGAGCCAAAUAUUUCUUAUUUGAGAAUUUUUGGAUGUACAGUAUAUGUUCCAAUUGCUCCACCACAAUGUACUAAGAUGGGUUCUCAAAGGAGGUGAGGUAUAUAUGUUGGAUUUAAUUCUCCAUCAAUUAUUAAAUAUCUUGAACCUCUGACCGGUGAUGUAUUUACUGCAAGAUUUGUUGAUUGUCAUUUUAAUAAGAUAAAAUUUCCAACAUUAGGGGGGAGAAAUUAAAAAGUUGGAAAAAGAAAUUGCAUCAAAUGUAUCAUUAUUGUCUCAUAAUUAGAUCAUGAUAAAUGUGAACUUGAAAUUUAGGAAAUAAUUCAUUUUUAAAAUAUAGCAAAUCAUUUACUAGAUGAAUUUGUAGAUGCAAAGAAAGGGUAACUAAAUCACAUAUAGCAGCUGUAAAUGUUCCAUAAAAAAUUGAUAUCCUAACACAAGUUGUCAUCAAUGAAUGUGCAACAUGCUAGAAGCGUUGUAGAUAUGUAGGUUCUGUCGAUGUGAGAUCCAUUUCUAAUUAGGUAAGGAAGUAAAAUUCGACUAUGUAUGAAGAAGUUAGCGUUUGAACAGAUCUGUGAAAAUGAUUAAAUGGUACGAGGUAGUAGGCGUCGUCCAUCACUCCUAUUGUCUUUGUCAUGGUGGGUCUCUCUCAUCACCUUCGAUAGCAUCAUUGUGACGUAGCUAAACUUCCACAUGAACAAUGAAACAUAACCUAUGUGCACACAAUAUCAGACAACCUCAGGCUCAAUAUCUCAAUCAUGUAGUUAGUAGAAAACUCAUAAUAUUUCAUGAAAACAUUUAAGCAUGUUUGCUUAACCUUUUCUCGCAUAAAACUUAAGGCUACAUAACUUCUACAUGGAAAACUGAAAGAUUUAAACAAUACUUGCUAAAACAUGUUUUGCUUAAAAUAUUAUCGUUUCAAUUACUUUUCAGAAGCUCGAGGUCCACAUGUUAACUCAUUAACAAAUAUAAACUCAAAACUCAUGCUUAAUAAAUCAGAUGCUAAGAAAAACAUAUUCUCAACUCAGCAUGUCUAAACUUCUCUUGCAUAAGUAAAACUAUAAACUUUUCAAUUAGGCUUUGCCAAAACAUUUCUCAUUUCAUAUCCUCUUUAGCCUACCAUAACAUGCUUUAUAAAUUUCAAUAAUAAAUUCAACAACAUGCUCAAUCUUAUCUAACAUUUUUAAAUUCCAAACUCAUGAUUUAUAAACAUUUGUAUAAUAGAAGUAAAUAUCAAACACUUUUACUCAAAGCAUGGUGAAAUGUAAACGAGUAAAGCAUGUUGGAAAUCAAGAUUUAAACUCAUUUUAUCGCUCACAAUCUUAAGUUAAUUCCUCGGUUGGUACAUUCGACCCAUUUCCUCUCUGCCUAUCAAACGAAUCACAAUUGAGUAUGAGUAUCCUAAGCAUUCUUAUUAUUCUAUAAUAAGCUUAAGAUAACACACAAAUAAUGCACUUACGAAUUCCAACUUUAGAACAAAAUCUCAAUUAACAAUUUCUUAAAAUUUUCUAAAUCAAACACCCUAACUUCAAACCCUCGUAACUCUCCAAAAACUUAUUCAAAAUUAUCAUACUUUAUAUUAAACUCUACCUUUUAAGUCCCUCUAAAACUUACUUGAAGGAAUAAAAACAAGAUUCCCAACGUAUUGAGAACUUGCCCAAAACAUAGGUAUUCCAAGUUUGUGUCUUCUGCGAACCUCUAAUUUUCUCUUGAAAUGAAACCUACUUGCAGUCCUUUUUUGCUCACAAAUUCUCCAUGGAAGUUAUAAGAAAUUUAAUAAUCUUUCUAAUCAUACCAAAUAAAGCUACUAACUUAAUUUGUACACUCCAGGCUACUCAAAACACAACAAAAAUCACGAAUCCAACUAAAAAUUUGUAACCUAUUUUUCUGUUCGAAAAUAUCACUUGAUAGUGGCCACUGUCAAUUUUCAUAGCAUGUAGAGCUAGAUAACAAGAGUCUUAAUUGUUGUCUUAAAAUCGUGUACUCUUGAAGUUUUGAAGAGACUUGUACUCAUGCUUAAUGUACUUUUGAUCCAGUAUUAAUGAAGUCUUGGUUAUUUAUAAUAGGUCCUCAUCUCACGUUUAAAUUUGUUGUACAUUCAUUCUACUUACUAGAUAUUCUAUGUAUUAUCUCAUGAAAAGCUUCAUGUAGAAUGUCUAAACAGUCCUGUUUCCCCUUAAUCGCAUUGAGUGAUAGUGGGGAUAGAGUGUGACAAGUUGGUAUCAGAGCAUAAAGUUCUUGGGAAAGAGUAUUAGAAUUAUACAUUUAGAGUUACAUGAUAGCAAUGAAUGUUCCAGCUACUAGGAGCACUAAUAGAGUACAAGGAUCAGAUGAGAUGUCUAGUAACCCACUUAAAACUAUGGGGAAAACGUGAAGGCGAGCAUGUUUAAUCGCUUUGCUCAAAGAGUACCUGAUCAUUUUAUGCCUACAAACCCUACUUUAGAUAAGAGGUUUAAUAUUGAAAGGUUGAAAGCGUUAGGAGCAACAACCUUCAAAGGAACCACUCAUCCAGCUGACCUGGAAAAGUGGUUAAGUUUGAUAGAAAAGGGUUUUAAGAGUGCCCCAAAGAGAAAAAAAGUUAAAUUAGCAACGUUCUUGUUAUAAGGCAGCGUUAAGGAUUGGUGGACUCUCCACAUGACGAGAGCAGGCGAAAGAUGCUAUUUACGUGGGAGGAGUUCAAAAAAGCGUUUACGGAUCAGAUUUAUCCUCAUUUUUUUUGUGACACGAAGAGGAAGGAAUUUAUGAGUUUAGCCCAAGGAGACAUAAUUGUUGUAGAAAAUGAGAAAAGAUUUACGAAGCUAAGUAAAUUUGUUGUAGCCUUUGUGAUUGAUGAAAUUGAUAAGUGCAAGCAGUUUGAGGAAGGCUUGUGGACAGAAAAUAGAGCACCAAUAACGACCACUAUGAACUAGUCAAAUUUUUUCAAAUUGGUGGAAGUUGUUAUGAGAGUGGGGAAGUGCCUGGUGGAUGAAAAGAACAAAGUUUUGAAGGAGGACCCAGGUGGCCAAGGUUUUAGUGUACGAGUUGGCGAACGACACACUAGAUUUCAAAACUCCUCUCAUAAUCCAUCCGAACUUAGAGUGAAUUAUGGAGGAGGUUUUUCAAGGCAAAGUAGAGGUUAAGGAAGAGGAAGUACCUCACUUUGGACAAAGAAUGUUCCUCAUAAGAGACAAACACCUAGACCGAGUUCAAAUUUUGAGGAGAAUGUUGGCUUCCAGAAGGCGUGCUUUAAUUGUAGCCAAUCGAGACACUUUGCUAGAAAGUGUCCUAACUUGGGAAUUCAAUAUAGUUUGCCAAUCAUAUCACAAUUCGUCAAUCAGCCUCACCACCAGAGAAACUGAAGCUGGACCUAGUGGAGUUAGAGGACCUGGAAGUCCUAAGACACAAGGAAAGAUUUGUGUUAUGAAAAAAGAUGAGGCCAAAAAUAACUCUCAUGUGAUCACAGGUUAGUUGAUGAUCUGUAAUUCUCUUGCUAUUGUAUUAUUUGAUUAUAGAGCCACACAUUCUUUUAUUUUAUUAUUGUAUUUUAAGUCCUUGAACCAAAAAAUAAAACCCAUAGAAAGUAGAUUUUUAAUUAGCACACCUUCAAGCAAAGUGUUUUUAAUAGAAUCAAUGUAUAAAGAUUAUGAAGUGAAAAUUGCAAUUGUCGCGUUGAAAGCUGACUUCCUUACUUAAUACCAUGCAAAAUUAGAUUGAUCCAAUAAGGAGGUAGUACUAAAGGAGCCUGGAAAAUUUGAAAUCAAAUUUCUAGGCUAGAAGAAAGCUGAAUUGGCAGGAAUUAUAUAUGUACUUAAGGCGAGGAAGUUACUAAGAAGGAGCAUGCCUGUAAUGACCCAACUUUUCUAGGUAAGUCGAGGUCGUUAAUUUUUGACAAAAGACUUUGGUUGAUACAAAAUGAAACGUAAGUCAAUUUAAAAACAAUUUAUGUCAGGCCUGAUUUUCAAAUGUUCAAGAAAACUUAAAAAUAACACUAUUUACAAAUAAAAGUUUGUAAACUAAGUUUUAGUACAUCUUAAACCUCAAAAGAAACCAUAAGCGGAAGCAAAAUGACACAUUUCCUAUGGCAAUCACGCUUCCUUCCUGCCCCUCGCCGAUUUGCCACCUUUAUUUCCUUUGCCUGAAAAUUAAACAUAAGAAGGGUGAGUAUAACAAUACUCAGUAAGAGACCCUCUACUGGUCUCGUCAGGGGAAAAUAAAUUGUUAAAGUUCUAUUGGGACACCCUGUACAGUCGCAGUCUUGUGAUCCCGUAGGAUACACAUCUCAGUCUAACGCCCUGAGGGACGUACACAUCAGUCUAACGACCCGAGGGACGUACAUAUCAGUCUAACGUCCCGAGGGACGUACAUAUCAGUCUAGUGUUCUGCAGAAACACAUAUCAGUCAAAUGCUCCCGAAGGUGCACAAUAAAUUGGUGAUCCCGUGGGACACCUACAAGGUAAACAUCCCAAUACAAUCUAACAAUUUAUCCCCUCAUUCCAUUCAACCCAUCUUUCAGUUACUUCAAGUCACAAAGUUCUUUCUUUCAACAUCCUAACAGUCAACUUAUUUUACUACAGUCAUAUGUCUGUCAAUAAUAUGCUAAUACAUCAGUCAAUCCACUAUACAGUCAAUGCACCCCUCAGUUCUCCAGCACACAGUCAUACUUUAGCAUAAUCAUACACCCAAUCUAAACGAGAAUCACAAGUUCAUAUCUACAUCUCAUACCAACACAAUCUACAAUCUUCGUCCUGUCCACAUACACACACUUAUAUAUAUGUUCCAUGACAAUCACGAUAUACAUUCGACGUUAAGUCAACUUCAAUUCAUAUGCAUUCAUAUAUAUUUUCAGUCAAACCACAGUAUACAUUCAACACACAUACAGUUCACAAUCACAAUUGAGUCCAGUAGAAAAUCCCUUACCUCGAUUUCUAUGCAAAUUCUUCAAUCUACUAAAUCCAAUGAAUCAAAUCCUAAACAUAAUCAAUCAUAAAAUCAACAUCGUUCUAAAUAGUUUCAACCUUUCAAAUUACUCCAUAUGUAAAUUCCACAACUUACCGAAAUACUGGCGAACUGAACCCUCAACAAUUCACAAAUUGGUUGUGAAUUUAAGUGAUCCAAAGUUACCUUUCACACCUUCAAGAAUAAUUUAUCAAAUUAGUCAAUUAACUCAUCCGUAACGUUUGAACACCUUGAAAACAUCACAACCCAUACUUAAAUUGUUUUGGAAACGACUACAAUUUCAUAACUUCAAUCUUACCAACAAAACUUCGACGGAGACAGAGACGAUUAGGACGGGGCACGGCGACGCAGAUCUGGGUAACGGCGCGGAGACAGAGGUCGCGCGGCGGUGGGUAGAGGGUCACACGGCGCUGGGCGGAGGGUCACGCGGUGCUGGGCAGAGAACAGAGGAGAAAGGAGAGGGGAAGACAGCCGGCGGUUACAUGUUCACGCGACGACCUUACUUGAACAGUGAUGGCGGCCGACGGUUGCAGCGGCGGUUUUGGCUUCAACGGACGGAAGGGAAAAGAUGAAGAAGAAAAGAGGGAUGGGUUUUCGUUUUCGGCUUGGUCUAACCGUCAACGUCGAACGAAAGAGGAAGAAAAGAGAAGAAGGGGCGGCAGUUGCUGGCUGCGAACGGAAGGAGAAGAGAGGGAUGGGCGGCGGUUGCUGGCUGCGAACGGAAGGAGAACGGAAGGAAGAAGAGAAAAGAGAAAGGAAAAGAGAAGAGAACGGGGGGGGGGGGGGGGGGGGAGGGGCGCGAGGGAGAGAAAAAGAGAUUUUUUUCUUUUUUUUUUUCUUCUUUCUUUCUUUAUUUUUUCUUUUUCCUUUUUAUUUAAAUUAAAUAUAAAUAAAUAAAUAAAUAUAUAUAUAUAUAAAAUAAAAAACAAAAUAUAUAUAUAUAUAUACCUUUGGGGCAUUACAAUGCCGCCUACUUGGCACAUGUGAUAGAUAGCCAAGCAGCGAAAAGUGAUCCAAGUAAGGCCUAUAGUCUAUGAAUAUUUGGAUGUAUUUUUAGAGGAAAUGAAUGGUUUACUUCCAAAGAUAGAGAUUUUAAGGAAUCAAAGUCUAUAGCAGAAGAUUUUACAAAAUCAUCCCUCAAUUUAAUUUAAUCAAAUAUUAUCAAGGAAUGGUGGACAACCAUUGCACCAAAAAUAUGUAUUGGUAGUUUCCACACGCGCAAAAAGUUAUAUAUUUCUUUUCAAUUUUCCUUUUUUUUUAAAUGUAUCUUCACAGUAACUCUUGCCAUCGAACAACACGAACUUACACACUCGAUUACAAGAUUAAAAUGUCGAAAAGAACAUGCCUUUACAUCAAUCAAAUUAAUGAAAAACUGUAAUAUAAGGUACCAAAAUCGAAAACAUUUAUUUUGCAAACCACAUUCAUAAUAAAAAAAAAAUCACCUAACUAAUGCAAAUUUUAAAUUUGGCAAUUAAAAUUUGAAAUGACUCUAAUACCAAUUGAAAGGAUAAAAGCUCAUGAUAGAGGAAGAUUUUACAGAACUAUCCAUCUGCUACAUCGUACUUCCUCCCCUGGCGUUUGAUUCACCAAUCACCACUGUUGCUACUGCUAAGAAGGCGUGUCUUAUGAAGUAUUCGGUUUGUAAUCCUCGAUUCCUGACGAGGUAAGUUGAUUUAUCGUUGAAUGAACAAUUCCUUCAUUUGUAAGAUUUGUAAGAUUUUCAUUCGAAACAGCUCGUCAAUUUUUGUUGGCUUUUUGGCCCUUAAUCUCAAAUUAAUUUAUUUUAAUUAUUCAAUUAAUUUAUGUUUUGAUGAUAACAAAUCUGAUUUUUUUUAUUGACAAUUUUAUUAAUUUGAAUAGACCAUAUCGUAGAGCUUAGAAAAAUGAUUCUAACGCCUCUUGAAUCACCUAAAUCGAAGUUCAAAUGAAGAAAAUAUUGCUAAAAGAAGCUUAACGAAAAAAUACCCGAGAUGGUGACGUGGCGACCAAGCAUUCAAUUUGAACCAAUUAGAGAAAGCCACUUGGAGCAAUGAAGAAGUAACAAAUGUGGCUUUUUGUUAUGUUUUAUUGGCUUUUAUAAAGAAAAUGAAUUUAAAAGGAAAAUGAUAUUAAUAUUAUUAUUUUUUCUUGUGUCUAACGGCUAGUUUUUUUAAAAGAGGGUGGAGUUGCUUUAUUAAUUUCUUUUUAAACAAAGUAUUUUGAAAAGAUAUAUUAUUAUAUUAUUAUUUGUAUUGUGUCUAACGGCUAAUUAAGUUUAAAUCUCAACCAUUCAUUUUUCUUUUACUUAUAUCUAAUGACCCAAAUGAUUUUGAAUUUAUCUUUCCUCUCUUUUUAAAUACUUCACAUUUACACAAGAUCACAACAUCUUUACAAUCCUCAAGCAAAAAGCCAACAUUGUUAUUCUCUCUAAAGCUUCCAAUUUUUAUUCUUUUUCAUCUUAUUCUUGAGAGCUUCUUAUUGUAUUGUGAGGAUUAAAUUUGUGAGCUUCAAAUUGUAUACUCACUCUUUUAGAAAGUUUUCUUUUGUGUGAUUUAAAAACUUCAACAUAUUUGUAACGGUUGGAUCCUAACCCGUGGAAAGGAUCGGGUUUGCUCUUGAACCCGAAAAAGGAGCAAGAAUCGGUUCGGCUCAAAUCCGUGGAAAGAGUCUAAAGAAGAUUUUCAAUCAAAAUCCCAAGAGGUGCUUGAGAAAGUGGAUGUAGGUUGAGUUUAACCGAACCACUAAAAAAUUACGGUGUCUUCUUCUCUAACUCUUUUCUAAUUAUUUUUUAAUUUAAUUUUAGUUACAUAUUCUUAUUGGUUGAGUUUGAUUGCAUACUUCCAUUCAUAUCUUUUUAUCAAUCUUGUUAUUUAACAAAGUUUACAAAGUUCUUUAUUUAAAUAUUAAAAAAAUAUCUAAUUAGUUUAUUUUACUUUUUAUUUGUCAAAAAGUUUAUUUAAACCCUAUUUACCCCCCUCUAGGGUUGCCAUACCGAUCCAACAAUUUUUUCAAUAAUUCAAUAUAACAUAACGAAUGUUUGUAGGUGAGAUUAAUAUGGUAAGAUUGGGAAUUUGCAGAAUGGUAUAUGACAAUAAUUUAAGUGGUUCAAUUCCAAGGGAGUUGGGGAUAUUAACAAAUUUGAAAUGUUUGUUUCUAUACAAUAACUACUUAUCUGGGCCUUUACCAUCUCUAUUGGGAAAUUUGAGUUCUUUGUUAUUCAUGUAAGUACUUUUAAAAAAUGGUAAUUUUUUUAGGUUGAAAACACAAAGGGCUUUUAACUUUAUGUAAUUAUAUGCCUUCAAUUUUAAUAUCAGUGAAGCACAAGGCAACAAUUUUAGUGGGAUAUUCCAACAUCGUUUGGGGCUUUGACAUCUUUGAAGAGAUUGUAAGUCUUUGUAUUUUCUUAAUUAAGUUUAAAAUUCAAUUAAACCAAACUCUUUCUUCCCUAAUUCGUUGAUCAACUUAAUUAAUUAAUUAUAAGUUUUACAGAAGAUUAGACAAUAACAAUCUUAGUGGUAACAUCUCUUUCACUGUUCUAACACUAGUUGAGUUUGUCAAUCUUCAGCUUUUGUUAGUUUCCUUAAUUCUCAUUUACUUUCUUCAAGGAACUAAAAUAAAUCAAAUAUGUUAAAUAACCAAGCAACUAUCACAUGUUGUUGUUCAUUUCAAAAUUGGUGGAUAGUGUGGCAACAUGUCUCCUAGGUCAUCAUCAACACAUUUACUUUUUGUGAUGGCAUAACAACAACCGACCAUCGUGCAUCAACAUGAUAUGUCACACAGAAUACUUGUCUCCCAUGCGUGGUAAUAAUGAAUGAAUUUGAAGUGUGUCUGAUUCAGCUACGGUUAACCCGCGUAUAAUUAAAAUCGUCCCUUCAAACACCAGUCUUAUUUUCAACCUAAUUGUAUAUGAAAAGUACAACAUUAAACGUAUUGUAGCUGAGUUCCCAAAUCUCUUGAAUCGUCCUAUAGAAAGAUAUGUCACCAACAAUCGGAUUUUUAUCCUUUGCACUAGACACUUGCAUUGGCGUUGCGACUAACAUAACUUCAAUGUUUUGAACAGCUUGAUAGUCAUCACGGGACUUCGGUUUGGUAACAAGUUCCAUUAAUCAUAUACCCCUCAUACGUCAUUAAACUAGGGUGUGGCCCAUGUGCAAGCCAACGUAUUGUGUUUUAGACAAUCUUUUCUUCUUGUAAAUCACUCAUAACCUAUUGAAGAAGAGGAUAGUCAGUCGUUCUAACUGUUCAUCAAUAAGAAGAAAACAUAAAUGCAAUUCGAUAUUUCAGUUACCUAAUCUCGUAUCCAUGCACCGAAGGAUCAAUUAUGUUCAAGUUGCAGCCACUGUUCAUUUUUUGCUCUUCUUUGGUUUUCUAUUUUCAACUGGUUUAAAUGUUGUCUACAAAAUAUGUCAUACAUUAACUUCAUGCCUUGUGAGGGGUAAAUUAAGGGCAAUGUAUAAUCAAAGGAACGCCUACGCUAAGUAUGGGUGAACUUCUUCGGUGUUCUGUAAAAUAUGAAGAUGUGUUUACUUCAAUUGUUGCACAUCUGGUCGAACGUACGAUCAUACUGACAGUGGCCUACCGCUAUGUCUGUCUUCCAUUGAAUUGAGUGACCCAAAACCAAUAGGAUCUAAUCCAGAAAGAAACUUUGAACAUAAUUCAACAGCCUCCUCACAUAUUUGUGCUUCUGCAAUGCAUCCUUCCGGUCCAGUUCUAUUACCAACAUAACUUUUCAAGACUUUCAUGCAUUGUUUAAAUGGGUACAUCCACCUCAAAUAUACAGGUUCACAAAGCUUUAUUUCUCUCACGAGGUGAACGACAAAAUGAACCAUAAUUGUAAAAAAUGAUGGUGGAAAGUACUUCUCAAUAUUGUACAAAGUCAUAACUAUAUCUUCUUGCAAUGCAUCAAGCUCUGAGACAAAAAAAAUUUUAGUGCAAAUUGCAUUGAAGAAGAACAAUCUACUGAUAGUGUACUUCAUAUUCUUCGGUAGGACUGAGCGAUUGCAAUUGGAAGCAGUUGUUGCAUUAAAACAUGAUAGUCAUGUGAUUUAAGGCCGGACAAUUUUAAAUCAUCCAAAGAGAGACACGACUUCUAAUAUUUGAUAAAUACCCUUCUGGAACUUUAAUAUCAUACAAAGUCUUACAAAAACUGAUACUUCUCUUGUCUUGACAAUAUAUAGCAUGUUGUGGGAAUGUAAGUUCUAUUACCUGUAAACGUUGGUGUCAAUUCUGGUCUAAUUUUUAUUUCAACUAAAUCUAGUCUAAUAUUCAUCCCAUCUUUACAUUUUCCUGGUAUAUCAAGCAACGUGUCUGCUAUGUUCAUGCAUACAUUCUUUUCAGUAUGCAUUACAUCUAGACAAUGACAUAUGUGCAAGUGUUUCCAAUAUGGUAGUUCAAAAAAUUCAGAUCUUCUUUUCCAAUAGUCAUUGCUACAUUGAUUAUGCAAUUUCUUACCACACUUAUUCCCACAUGAAAAUACCAUGUCUUUCAAUUUAAAGUACAUGACCUCUCCCAACAGAGGUUCUGGCAAAUACUUCUUGUCUCUCAUGUAUGAGUUUUUUUUCCCAUAUUGUAGUCUUAUUGAAAUAGUCUCCUCUCCACAUAUUGGACAAGCCAUUUAUCCUUGCACACUACAACCGCAUAGAUUACCGUAUGCUGAAAAAUUAAUGAUCGUCCACAAUAAGAUAGGUUGCAAUGUGAAAUAUUCUUUUUUAUAUGCAUCAAAACAUUGAACUCCAACUUCCCACAACAUUUUGAGGUCACCAAUCAAAUGUGUUAAGUACGUGUUGUUAUCGUAUCCCGGUUGCUUUGAACCUGAUAUUAUCAUUGUCAACAUUAAAUAUUUCCUUUUCAUACACAACCAUGAUGGAAGGUUGUAUAUUGUAGUAAUAAUAGACUAACAACUCUAGGUCCUCAAUAGACUUCCAAAUGGGUUAAUUCCAUCAGUGGACAAACUCAAACGAAGAUUGGCCACAUGUGAUCAAUCAACCUCAAUUAUGGUGCGUCAGUCGAGUGUCUCAAAAUACCAUCAAUUUUUCUAUUGAUUGCAUGUCAAUGAAAGUUCUUAGCAUUCUCAAAUCUCUGGAACAUUCUUACAAAUCUUGGAACUAUUGAGAAGUACCACAUAUGCUUGGCAGCCACUCCAAUUUUUUCAUUGUUUGAGUUUUUAGCAAUCUUCCAUCUUGACAAACCACACUUAGGGCAUUUUUUCAUGUUUUCAUACUCUUUUCUAUACAAACAACAGUCAUUAGCACAUGCAUCGAUCUUUUGGUAACUCAUUCCUGAGACACCUAGUGUUUUCUUCGCUUCGUUUAAGGAACUUGAAAUUUCAUUGUUUUCAGGUAAGAGAUCGCUUAUUAUGGACAAUAAUUCUGAGAAGCUGGAAUUACUCUAACCAUACCCAACAUUUAAGUUGUACAAUCUCAUGAGUGAUAACAACUUGAUGAAUUUCUUAAAUCCUAGGUAUAAGGGUUUCUUUGCAUCAUCAAACAUAGUAUAAAAGGUAUUGGAUGCAUUAGAAGAUUGUUCGUGAACGGAAUGAAUCAUAUUAACUAUAUUAAAUAAAUCAUCAUUUUCGUCAUGUUCGUUCACUGUAUUUUCCAUUAUGUUGGUAACGUUCUCUGAGUUCAAAUCUUUACCAUGUCAAAACCAUACCUUGUAACUUUUAUCAAUGUCGUGGGCAUACAAAUGAUACCGAACUGUUUGAGACCGAAUUGUUUGAGACAUCCUUAAGUAAACGAUUCACGCAAUUCAAACAUGAACAUCUAAUUAAAUUAGAACCUUUGGCAUGACUCAAACCAAAUUGAAUGAACCUUUCAACUCCUAAAUCAUAUUCUCUAGACAUCAUGUUUUCUAUCAUCCAUGACUUGUCCAUUAUAUAGAUGUAUAAAGAUUCAAUCUUCUAUACUAGCUACUAAAUAAACUUGAUUACAAAAAAGAUAUUCGCCAACAGCUUAAGGAAAUCAAUGUGUAAUUACAUCCUAUAGUACACUGAUUUCAUAUACAAACAUGAGAAUUUCUUAACCCUUUGCUUCAUUAAGGUUUCAAAAAACAUGGAAAAAAGAAUUCAAAUCAAAUAAGUCCAUCCAUAUGCUUAAUAAAUGAACUUGAUGUAUUUUACACUUUCGUUUUUAUAAGUUUGUCGUAAAUUACUAUGCGUCUAUUUAGCAUGGAACAAGUUAUAAGUGAAUAUAGCUUUUGAAUAUAGGUGAAAAAAGACUACUUUGACAAUUCAAACACUUCAUUUGCAACAACUUAUAAAGAUGUAUUUGAAAAUUAUAAAACCAAUUCAAAUGAGAAUUACACUUUUGUGAUGAAAACUAUUUGUAAGGUGCUUUAGUCUAAUAACUUUGAUUAAAUAUUUCAAACAUAUAUAUUUUGAAGGUUGCUGAUAGAAUAUCAAAAUCAAAUCAAACACAUACUAUGAAAACAACAGACUCAACCUUAAAGAAAAUCAAUUUAAUUGUUACUAAGAGUAAAGUUUAGAAAGCUUCAUUAGACAUAUACAUUCUAAAAACAAAUCAAACAUACCAUUAACAAUAACAGUAACAAAUUUUUAAACUAAACAAUUAUUUGAUUAAACCAUUUUUUUCUUCACAUACAAAUUCAGUAGCUAUGGCUUCUUUUAUGAACAAAUAAACGUAGACGAUAAGAAAUUUCAGCUCAACCCAUAUUUCAAAUAAAGGUAAUGACCCAAUGUACACUAUCUAAAACUCCUCAACCCUGUCAGAAAUUUCAAGAGAAAUUCACCGUUUCUUUUAGGAAUUUUACUUACCCAGAUAACAGAAAAUCAAAAAUUAAAAAAGAAAAAAUGGGAAGAACUUAAACUCACAAAACAAACCCAGAAAAUAGAAAGACACCUAGUUUGGGACAUGAAGUUGCAGAAAGAGUUAGAGAGAACAACAUCACAAAGAGAGAAAAAGAGAGAAGGAACAUAAGCUUACCGACAAAUGAGGUAACGACCACAAUUUGAACUUUAAAGAGAUUAAAGAGGUUUGGAGAUGACAGGCACGAAUUGAAAAGGUUGAGGCAAAGGAUGUUUCAUCGUUCGAAAGAGAAGGUUGUGGCAGCGCUGGAUUGAAGCACGAGGGGGUGGUAAUGGUGAUGAGGUCGAAAGAUGAUCGGAUUGGAGAUACCUUUCUUUGUGAGAGAAUUGGAAAAAUGAAGGGUUUUAGAUUUGGGGAAAGUGUUAUCUUUUUUAUAUUAAAAAUUUGUAAUUUUAAUAAAAAAUAAUAAAUUAUUUUAUGUUUUUUCUAUGACAUCAAAUAACUGUCACAAAAAGUGUUAUUCGAAAAAUUCCAUCUUUUUUCGCCAAAAACGCAAAUUUUUUCUAAUUUGUGAAAACUUUUUCUUUUCCCUCUCAUUUUGUGAGAUACACAACUAUCAUAGUAGACGAUUUUUGUUGUAAUGAACACAUGUGAUAAAAUACCUCAUACAUGUGUUUUAUGGUGCGGAAUGUCUUAUAUUUAUUAUGUGAUAUAGAAUAAGAUAUUCUAUUCUUGUUGUGUGAUCUGGAAUAGAAUGUCUCAUACUUAUUGUGUGAUCUGGUAAGAAAUGUUCUUUACUUACUAUGAGAUUCGAUAUUGGAAGACAAGUUAUGUAUCAUGAAAAUGAUGAAAACUUGUCAAAUGCUUUGGGACUACUCCGCAUAACUACAACUUGACAAAAAAAGUGUGGUAAACGCUUGAGCUAAAGAAAUGAUACAAAGGUUUAAUUAAUAUGCAGAAUGAUUCUGCGAGACAAUGAUGAGAUUAUAGGAAUGAAUGUAUUAGAGGGUACAAAGUUAUGCAUGUGAGACAAUGUAAGCUUUGGAGAACAAAAGUUGUUUCACUUAUGCGUGUUAGAGUCUUUUAUGUUGAUAUAUAUAUAUAUAUAUAUAUAUGUUAUAACAUUUUACGUAGAAACUCAUUGAUGGCUUUGACAACAUAUAUAUCAAUAGCUUGGUAAACGUAGGCAUGGUAACAUUGAAAUUAGUCAAUUUGACGUAAUGGAAUAUUAAAGUUAGAACCUACCUUCUUAUUUUAGGAGUAGGCAUAUAACGUGAGAAGUCAAUAGCAAACAAAACAGCGUACCAACAAAAAGAUAACUCAAGAUCUAUAUUAGGAUAAGCUUGCCUCAAACUGGCAUUAGUGUACUAUUAAGAUAGACUAUUACGGAUACAUAUAUACAUAUUGUAAGGCUUUAAUUUUCAUGUAUGCCCAAAUUAAAUGGAGGAACCCUUACGGAGAAGAUUGGGCAAAGAAGCCACACCUUCUUUGAUGGUGGUCCUACACAUGAUAAAAGUAAGUUCUCUUCUUUCUUUUACUUUCACUUUACAAAAUGUAAAAGAAAAUAAAGAUAAAAAAAUAAAUAUUACAUUUGUUUUUCUUUUUCUUUACUCCUCAUGCAUAUAUUGUACAUGAAGAAGAAGAAUGCAAAAUGUACUUGGUUCGACCAAAUAUGCUUACAUCCACAUGAAAAAUCUCUUUUCUUGAACAUUCUUAAGAUGAGUACUAUAUUUUCUUUUAGAUUUUUUUCCCUUUUAUUUUUGUAUGAGAUGUAAAGAAAGUAAAAUUAUAUAUUUUAUGAUAUACUUUAUAUAAAUGUAUUUACAUCAAAGAAAAUAACAGAUUUAAACCUAAAACAUUAGAGUUUUAAAGGGACACAGCCACUAUACCAAAUCUAGAAUUUAGUAAAGAAAACGCAUUAUUUGGAUAUAUUGUAAUUUCACACUUCAAAACUAAUAUUAAAAUACAAAAACUGCGAAUGUGAAAGUGCCCCGACCCCUUAAUAGAUCCGCCCAUGAAUGUAUGUAGUUAUAUAUAUUAUAUACAAUGUAUAUAUUAUAUACACUGUAUAUAUGUUUGCCAUAGAUUAUUUACCUUUGUUUUCUUUACCAGAAUACCUUUGAAUACAAUGAUUAAAAAGGUGCGACACAAGGUGAAUGACCUCAUUUAGAGGUCAAAAAUAUUGUUGUGAGUAUAACUUCUAAUAAACAAUUGAUCUUAGAACAAUUACUCAAAUUAUUCGUGGAAAACUGAAAAUCUAAUACAAUACUUGCUUAAAAUGAUAUUGUUUCAACUAUUCUUUAGAAAAUAGAUAAAAUGUGCUCAUAUAUAGAUUUCAUCAUAAAACCUAAACUUGGGACUAUGGCUUGAAAUCAUUCAUAGAAAUCAUGUAUUAUUCAUAAAAUUAGAUUCAAACAUAAAAACAUAAUCAUAUACAGAUAAAAGUUUAUAAAUAUAUUUUGUCAUUCACAACCUUAAGCUAAUUUCAUGAUGUGUAAACUAAACCUAUUUUCUCUUGGUCGGUCAAACAAACCAAAACAGAAGGUUAGAACCUUAUAUAGUCUUUUUGUAUGUUUAUACUAAACUCAAUAUGACAGAUGAAGGAUGACCUUCAUCAAUUCUAAACUUAGGUAUAAAAGAGCAUUUCACAGUUUUCCAACAUUUGUAGGUUUCACAAUCUAACUUUAAAUCAUCAUAAAUUUCACAAUGCAUGACCAAAAUUAAUGUUCUUUAUAGCAAACUCUUUAUUGAUAAAUCCUCUACAACUUACUUGAAUAAAGAAAAACCAAAAUUCUCAACAAAUUGUUACAAAAAUCGUCCGUAACCGAGAUAGUUCAAAAUCGGGUCUUUGCUAACCCCUAACCUUUUUUUAGACUUACUUCUAAGUCAUUUUUGCCUCCGAAUUUUUUCAUGAAAUGUUUAGAAAAUUUAAUAAGAUUUUCAACCAUACUUAAUAGAGCUUCUAACUCGCUCUGUACAAUCUGAAAAACUCAAAAACCCAAAGGCUUCACAAUUUCGCACAUCAAACUGUGACCUGAACGAGGUACACGACUUCGCCUAUUUUUAAAACCCUAAAAUCCAUUCAUUCUGCCUUCAUUUUCAUUUCGAAACCUUUUUUUCCUUCCUCUCUUAAUUUUUCCUCUUCCUCUUUUUCGUUCUGCCUUCAUCUUUCUUUCCUCUUCCUUCAUCUUUCCUUUCCUCUUCCUUCAUCUUUCCUUUCCUCUUCCUUCAUCUUUUCUCUUCCUAUUUCAUUCUCACUCCCAAUUUCAAAUUUUCUCUUCCUCUCUUCACUUUUCCUCUUCUAUUUUGUUCAUCCAUUUUUCCUUUUCGUUAUAAAGGUUUGUUUUUUUAAAAAUCGUGGACCGGUUACACGAUUUUGUUGUUAAAAUUAUUUUAUUUUAUUAUUGUUUGAUAAAAUAAUUUAAUUUUUGUUGUAGGCUUCUUAAAUCCUUCAUUGUCUCCUUCAUCUUCAUAAGGUAUGUUUAUUCUAACCCUAAUUUUAUUCAGAUUUUUUAUUUUAUUUUCUUAUUUUGUGGAAAAAAAUUGUUUGAAUUUAGUUAUAUUUUUUUAAUUUAGUUAUUUUUUUAUUUAUGUUAUAUUUCUUGAAUUUUGUUAUAUUUUUUUAAUUUUGUUAUAUAUUUUUUAAUUUAGUUAUUUUUUUUAAUUUAGUUAUUUUUUUAAUUAAUUUAUUUUUUUAACCUUAAUAAUAAUAAUAAUAAUAAUAAUAAUAAAAUUUUUAUUAAAAAAAUAAUUAUUAAUAAAAAUAAAAAAGGAAAACCUAAUUAAUGAACAUUUAAUGUACUUUUUUUCUUUCUUUAAUUUUAACGAUUAUUUGACUAAUAAUAAUAAUAAUGAUUUGACUAAUAAUAAAAUAAUAAAAAAAAUAACAAUAAUAAUAAUAAUAAUUUGACUAAUAAUAAUAAUCAUGAUAUAAAAAUAACAAAAAUAAUAAUGACUUGACUAAUAAGAAUAAUAAUAAAAAUAAUAAUAAUAAAAUAAUAAUGAUUUAACUAAUAAUAAUAAUAAUAAUAAUAUGACUAAUACGAAUAAUCGAAAUAAUAAAAAUAAUAAAAAUAAAAAUAAUAAUGAUUUGAUUAAUAAAAAUAAUAAAAAAUAUUAAUGAAUUGAUCAAUAAAAAUAAAAAUAAUAAUGAUUUAAUUAAUAAAAAUAAUAAAAAAUAAUAAUGAUUUGAUCAAUAAAAAUAAAAAUAAUAAUGAUUUGAUCAAUAAAAAUAAAAAUAAUAAUGAUUUGAUUAAUAAAAAUAAUAAAAAAAUAAUAAUGAUUUGAUUAAUAAAAAAUAAAAUAAUAAUAAUAAUAAUAAUAAUAAUAAUAAAAUAAUAAUGAGAAUAAAAAAGUUAUAAUAAUAGUGAAUAAGAAUAAAAAUAAAAAUAAUAAAAACAAAAAAUAAUAAUAAUAAGAAAAAAAAUAAAUAAUAAUGAUUUGAUUAAUAAUAAUAAGAAAAAUAAUAAUAAAACUAAUAAAUAAUAAAAAUAAUAAUUGUAAUAAUAAUAAGAAUAAAAAUAAAAAUAAAAAUAAUAAUAAUUAUUUGAAAAUAUAAUAAUUAAUAAAACCUAAAAAAAAAAAAAAACCAAAACCAAAUCAUAUUUAACUAAAUAAAAAUUCAAAAGUAAACCCUACAUUACUAAUAAAAUAAAUAGAUACAUUAAACUGAUGAUCGUUUUCAUAUUUAACAGCUAAUUAAAUAUGUCGUUACGACCUGAAGAUUUAGUUAUUCUUGAACCUGGUAAUGAUGGAGAGUGAUAUAGAUGUAGAAGUCGAUGAACUAUUUGGUAAUGAAGAAAUUAUAGAGGAAGAGAAUGAAAUGAUCUCGUCCGAUAUAUUUACACAAAUAGAUUGAGACAUUGCGAAUUCUGUUUGUGAACAAGGCUCUACAAUGACAAAUAGAAAUGUAUCUGUUGACACAUCUUGUUUAAUACAGAAGGGAGUGAUCUUUGACUCUAAGGAAGAUCUUCUGUUGGCUGUUAAGAGGUAUUGUGUGACAAAACACUAUAAAAUUGUUGUAGUCGAAUCAAACCAACAUUUAUGGAAUAUUCGAUGCAAACAGUUGGGUAAUGGCUGCAACUGGAGGUUACGUGCUAUGAAGCGUAAGAGCCACGAAUUGUUUGAAAUAACCAAGCUCCAAGGAGAGCACUCGUGUCUGUACUCAAAUUUAACACAAGGUCACUCAUAGCUAGAUUCAAAUUUCAUGAGUGUUCAAAUUCAAAACAUGGUGAAAGCUAAUCCUAUUAUUACUGUGCCUGUGCUUGUGGAAAUCAUAAAACAACAAUACGGUUACAGUGUUAAGUAUGGACGAGUUUGGCAAGCGAAGAAAAAAGCUUUGAUAAUAGUUUUUGGUGAUUGGGAGAAAUCAUAUAAUGAGCUUCCAUACUGGUUGAGUGUCGUACAUUAUAAUCCAAGAACUCGAGUUGAUUGGUUUUUUCUUCCAUCCGAUGUACCAAGUACAACCAUUUUUGGAAAGGUUUUCUAGUCAUUUGGUUCUGUAAUAGAAGGGACAUGUUCUUGCAAUAAGUGGCAGUCGUUUAAGAUUUCGUGUUCGCAUGUAAUUGCAGUUUGUAAUUAUAUGCACUUGACAUACGUACCAUACAUUGAUGAAUGCUACUUGUUAUCGACAUUCAAACGUUGUUAUGACAGUCACUUCCAUCCAAUCUAACACUCAGAUUAUUGGCCAGAGAUAUCAUUCACUGAAGUUCGCCCCAAUGCAGACUUACUUAAAGGACCCGGUCGACCAAGAACUACAAGGAUCCAAAAUGAAAUGGAUUGGAAAGAGUCUAAUGGGAAGAUUCCCACUGCGAGAGAAAAGGAGUCAAUCAAUCAGAUGCACGGUCUGUAAAGUAGAAGGACAUAACAAACGUACUUGUCCUCAACGUGCUUCUUCUUCUUCAAGACACUAAUAUGUAAUUAUUAAUGCAUGACUUCUGUGUAAUUGUUUGAUGUAUAUCUUAGUCUUUGAUGAAUAAGUUUAAUUAUAAUAUAUUGAUAUGUAAAAUUAACAACUUAAAUUUAUAAUAUUGUAAUCAUGUAAUGAAAUUUGGGUCAAUUGAUCCUCAUAGUAUUUCGAUAUUUUUUAGGUUAUUUGCAUAAUGGAACCUGGGCCGAGUGAUCCUACACAGCUAUAUCUACAACCAUCAUUCACAGUCUAUAUAGGAGGCCUCCUCCACAGUUGUUUUGAGUUGUCGACGAAGAGAGGCAGCAUCUCAGCGCACGAUCCCAUUCAAUGAGCGUAUUGUACCAUAUUUAGAGGCUGCUGGAUUUCUAGGGGCUUCCCAGAUAGGAUUUAUGCAGUUGGACUAGCAUUUGAUUACUGCUCUAGUCGAGCGUUGGAGACGAGAGACCCACGAAUUUCAUAUGCCUUGUGGGGAAUGCACGAUCACCCUACAAGAUGUUGAAGUUCAGUUAGGGUUGCCUGUGGAUGGUGAGCCUGUGGUAGGGUCGUUAUUAUAUGACUGGAAGGCACUCUGUGAGGAUUACUUGGGAGUUCGUCCACCUGAAAUGAAAGGUCAACGGUUGAGCCUUCCUUGGUUGGCAGAACAGUUCAUAGAAUUGCCACCGGAUGCUGAUGUAGUGAGCGUUCAAAGAUACGCUCGUGCAUACAUUAUGCAGUUAAUUGGAGGCUUUCUAUUUGCAGACAAAUCAAACACCCUGGUCCACUGUAUGUUCCUCUCGCUUUUAAUUAAUUUUGACCAGGCUGGUACGUAUGCUUGGGGCGCUGCAUGCCUCGCAUGGUUGUAUAGGGAAUUGUGUCGAGCGAGUAAUGCACGAUCUUUGAUGGAGUGGCCCAUUAAUAUUGUUACAAGUAUGGGCGUAUGACAGAUUUCCUAUUAUGGCACCACAAGUACCAAUUGAGGUGUCAGUUGGUCGACCUUUGAGUUUCAGGUAUUUUAUUUUAUAUAUAUAUAUAUAUAUAUAUAUAUAUAUUAUUUUAGUAAAUUUUGCAGGGUUUAUAACUUAUUAAUGAUUCAUUUCUCACAUUAGAUGGAGCAGUGUUAUACCAUUGUCAGAACUGUCAGCAAAUAUGUUGAUCACCUAUCUAAUGUUUUUUGAUCGGUUGAUCAACUCUCAGAUAGUAAAAUAUUAUACCAAUAUUGCGUACACAUGUUUUUUGUUGUUUCCUUAUGUUCGUUUUUUUUAACAGAUUAAUUGGACACCAUACACGUCCCACAUUAUGACAUUGCUUCCACAUCAAUGUCAUAACGGUUAAGCGAUGUGGACAUAUGUGGGUCCUAUGAUUUGCUUUCAUCUCGUUGAGAAGCAUCAAGCAGAUCGUGUAUUGCGACAGUUCCAUAUGCUACAAAUGCCACCAGAGAUUUGCUUCACGGAUCAGGGCCUACACCAAAUUGAUUUAAGAGGCAAGCAUGGUCAAAAUUGGAGUAGGAUUCAUGUGGAGCAUAUACCAAUGUGGCAUUCACGAAAUAAUUUUUCUGUCGAAGCAGAAGCAACACAGGAGCCGACAGUAUUAGAUAACUAUUUUUCCUAGUACACGUCGAUUACCAGAUGCUUCAUGACACCUGAUGGUGCUUACUGUUAUCGCAUGGUAAUAAUUUUAAUAUGAUUUAUAAAUUUAAUACAAGCAUGAACAUUUUUUAAUUAUAUUAUUUACAAUCGUUCAUAAUAAUUUUGUUGAAGACGUACGUCGAGUCUCCAUGGAAAACAAUUUUGAAAUUUUUAGACCAGUGUAUGACGAAGUCAUGGGAGAUAUAGACCAACAUUUUCAGCGGACUCGACGUUUAAAUAUUGCCGACACAAAUCGUAGACGCAUUCGACGGCGACGACGACGACAAGGUGAUGAUGUCGUAGAGGGAGAUGAGGAAAAUUCUUAAGUUGUAUAAUUUAAGUGUUUUUAAAUUUUGCUAGAACUUAUUCAAGUUGUAUAAAUUAAAAAUUGGACUUUUUAAAAUUAAUUAUAAAUUAGAAGUUGCUAAUACGUGAUUUAGACGUAGGAGUACUCUUAACAAUAUGAAAAUAAAAUAUUCUUUUUAAAAAUAGAGAACCAAGUAUUAAAAAAAAUGUUCAGAACAUUUUUUCUCGAUCUAUCUUAAUUCAAAAGAUUUCCGUAAACCAUCAGCUUAAGAACCUCGAGCCUUAGUCAUCUUAUCUGACUUGUUGACAAGAUUGAACCAGGUGAGCCUCUUGUAACAAGUUUUACAAGAUAUCGACCUAUUUCUAUGAAAAAUGUAAGAUAUGUUUAACCUAAGUGAGCAUGCAUUUAAUCUUCGUUAUUGAUUUUAAAAGUCUAAUUUAUUUUAUAACACUUAUAAAAACUUUUAGACAUAAUCAAUCAUUUUAUCAAUAUAUAACCUUAGUGGGAGGGUUGUUCAUUAGCCUGAUCGCUAUUUGGGUUUAAUUGAAACUCAAGUCGUCAUACCUGACGAUGGCAUAGAGGAUCCAUUAACCUAUAAACUGGCAAUGAAAGAUGUAGAUCGUGACCAAUGGAUCAAAGCCAUGGACCUUGAAAUGGAGUCUAUGUACUUUAAUUCUGUCUGGACUCUAGUAGAUCAACCAAAUGAUGUAAGACCUAUUGGUUGUAAAUGGAUCUACAAGAGAAAACGAGACCAAGCCGGUAAAGUACAGACUUUUCAAGCUCGACUUGUGGCAAAGGGUUAUACCCAGAGAGAGGGAGUAGACUAUGAGAAAACUUUCUCUCCCGUUGCCAUGUUAAAGUCAAUUAGAAUACUCUUAUCCAUCGCCACUUUUUAUGAUUAUGAAAUUUGGCAGAUGGAUGUCAAGACAACUUUUUUGAAUGGUAAUCUUGAAGAGAGUAUCUAUAUGUCUCAACCAGAGGGGUUUAUAGAACAAGAUCAAGAACAAAAGGUUUGUAAGCUUAAAAAAUCCAUUUAUGGAUUAAAACAAGCUUCUAGAUCCUGGAAUAUAAGAUUUGAUACUGCGAUCAAAUCUUAUGGCUUUGAACAAAAUGUUGACGAGCCUUGUGUUUACAAAAAGGUCGUCAAUUCCAUUAUAGCAUUUUUAGUCUUAUAUGUAGAUGAUAUUCUACUUAUUGGAAAUGACGUAGGAUAUCUUACUGAUAUCAAGAAAUGGCUAGCUAUGCAAUUUCAAAUGAAAGAUCUGGGAGAUGCACAAUACGUUCUCGGAAUCCAAAUUGUUCGAAACCGUAAGAACAAAACACUAGCCAUGUCUCAAGCAUCUUACAUAGACAAAAUGUUGUCUAGAUAUAAAAUGCAGAAUUCCAAAAAGGGUCUGCUGUCGUACAGAUAUGGAAUUCAUUUGUCAAAGGAACAAUGUCCUAAGACACCUCAAGAAGUUGAGGAUAUGAGAAAUAUUCCCUAUGCUUCCGCUGUUGGAAGUUUAAUGUAUGCAAUGUUAUGUACUAGACCUGACAUUUGCUACUCAGUAGGGAUGGUCAGUAGGUAUCAAUCCAAUCCUGGACGUGAUCACUGGACAGCCGUUAAAAACAUUCUAAAAUAUCUUCGAAGAACAAAAGACUACAUGCUCAUGUAUGGUACAAAGGAUCUGAUCCUUACUGGAUACACUGAUUCAGAUUUCCAAACUGAUAAAGAUGCUAGAAAGUCUACAUCAGGAUCAAUAUUUACUCUAAAUGGAGGAGCAGUAGUUUGGAGAAGCAUAAAGCAAACUUGUAUAGCUGAUUCCACAAUGGAAGCUGAAUACGUAGCGGCUUGUGAAGCAGCAAAAGAAGUAGUAUGGCUAAGAAAAUUCUUGACAGAUUUGGAAGUCGUUCCAAAUAUGCAUCUACCAAUCACUUUAUACUGUGACAACAGUGGUGCAGUUGCAAAUUCAAGAGAACCUAGAAGCCAUAAAAGAGGAAAGCAUAUUGAACGCAAGUACCAUCUUAUCAGGGAAAUUGUACAUCGUGGUGACGUUGUAGUAACCCAGAUUUCUUCUCAGCAAAACAUUGCUGAUCCUUUUACAAAAGCCCUCACGGCUAAAGUGUUUGAGGGUCACCUACACAGUUUAGGUCUACGAUGUUUGUAAACUAGGACAAGUGGGAGACUUAUUGGCCAUGUGCCCUAGUUAUAUUCUCUCAUAUACCACUAGGAAUUUUAGUCCAAGUGGGAGUUUGUUGGAAUUUUUUGUCCUAAAACUCGUAGUUUGUAAAUCAUAUUCUGUUUCAAUAAAGUUGUUAUUGAGAAAUUAAAUAUUAUAAUCCUAAAUCCAAUAAACCAAAUUCCAAGUCUAUGUUUUGAAUAAACUUAAACUUUACGUGUAAACAUAAACAUGGAUCAAGUUCGAGUAUAUAUAGCCUAAAUAGUCUAUAGUAUAUGAAUAAAGGUUGGGCGCCUUAUUUAGAGAAACUAUGAAUGCGGCCCACUUUGUAGUACAAACGAGGUGAUCCUGAAUCGUUCAUGUAGAGACAUGAAAGUGGGGGCAUCCUAUGUAAAAUGUUUACAUAAGACUGAACCAUGAAUUAGUCAUUUUUACGUUAUAACACCGUUUACUGUUUAAAACUGAUGAUCUCGAUUAUUGAUGACCUAGGUAACUUAAUCUUAAUCCUGAGUUAACUGUGAACUCCUGUUCACACCAGAUUAUCCUUAGAUCUGCAUAGGUGAGGGCAAGUCAUCAGCGUUGGCCCAAUAAGCCUCCCAUUUCAGGAGUAAGAUCGGGUGGAUAGCUGGGAACAUAGGGUACAAGAUGAAAUCCACUCCUACCCGCUUUAGUGUUAGUAGAUAGGUUGUUCUCUUAAGCACUAAAUCCAAGUCUUGAACAAGGGGCCCCAGCCUCUCAUUGACCCGAGAAGGAUUAAGUUUAUAGGUUGAAACUUAAACCAAUUGUUCAAUAGUGGAUUAGUGGGACUUAAGGAGCAAGAUGUAAUCUUGGGGGUAAAACGGUAUUUUGACCCAACCAAGAUUACGAGCAACCUGUGAAGGAUUAACUUACUGAUUAUGGUUUUAUCAAAUGGACACAAAUAUAUCUAUAGUGAGGGGAGUGCAACUACGAGACUUUAGUGGAAUGACCCGUUAGUUAACGAAUGUUGAUUAACUCGGUCUAAAAGAGUUCAGCUAGUUAAUCUUGAAUCGUUGGAGCCCAUGAUCUAUAGGUCCAUUAGGUUCCGCUGCUAACUCAUAUGGAUUAAACUUAGAACAGUGUGAUGAAAUAAGUCGAAUUGGGAGAAGAAAGAGAAACCGACAAAUAUAGUGAUAUAUUCGUCAGUCUUCUAAUUAGAAAUAGAGCUUUAUGUUUUACAUACUAUAAGUAUGAUUGCGGAUUCAUGCUCGGGAGGUUGGAAUUAGUCAAGACGGACAAAAUGGUAAAAAGUCAAAAUAUUGACUUUUGACUAAGAAAAGUCAAAGUUUGACUUUUGACUUGAAAUAUCUAAUGACCAUUUUACCCUUGGGCUAAGUUAGUGUGAAAAUCCAACAUUUUGUUAGAUAAUCCCACUAACUCUUAGUGGGAUAUGUGGCUAUAUGAGAUACAGACACCUAGCCCACUAAGUUCCACUAAUUGUUAGUGGAACAUUAAGUGUUGAGAUUUGGCAAAUUAAUUACAUGCAUUUUUGCAUGUAAUUAGGUUAUAAAUAGGAGAGUUUUCAAAUGGUUGAAGACUUUUGCCUUUUUUUUAUUAUCCUCCAACAUCUCAACAAAAGAAAAAAAUUUCUACCUUCCAAUUCCAUUUUAUCUCCAUUUUAUCUCCAUUUCUUUCUACACCAAAUUGGGUCCCACAACCCGGUUCUUUGUCCAAGAGGAUAGUAGUUGAGUACUAGUGGUGGUCUCGGUUUGAAUUGACAAGAAGGUAUCAAAGUUUUUUGAAAGCUUCAAAGGUAAUAUUUCCUAAAACCCUAACUUGAUUAGUUUAGGGUCACAUGUUAAUUGUGGCAAUUAGAGUAGAAAUUCAAUUCUUUUUUCCGCUGUGCAUGUCUUAGUUCUAUCAAAAUAAUAAUAAUAAACUCUUAUUUUUCUUCUUAUUUAGCCUCACAUUUAAAAUUUAGAUAAAAGGUUGCUAAAAUUCUAAUAUACCAACAAAUCAAAAUACAGACCGGAAACUUAAAAUAAAUAUAAGAUUUUCUAAAAUUGAAAAAGUUAUUAAGAAUUAAAAUGUAAGAUUUUCUAAACUUCACGUGAGGAAGAGAUUUAUAAAAAUCCAAAAUUUAUUUGUAAAAAAAUCAAAUACACGUUAGAAGAGAUUUCUUUAAAAUAUAUAUAUAUAUCAAAUUUUAUAACAAAGAUCUUUUUUAAAAAAAACAUCAUAUUUUAUUUCUAACUUAUAUGUACUUCACAUUAAUAAAAAAAAAGUAUUUAAAAAGUCAUCCACCUUAAAUAAAAGGAACAUUUUUUAAAAAUCACACACCACUAUUUAAAAAAAAAAAAAAACAAAAUCACACUUUAAUCUAACUACCAUAUAACUUAACAAAGAAAUCACUAUGGUAAACCAUGACAAAGUGACAAAUUUAUAUCUUUUUUUUGUUUGAUUUUAGGUAUAACUUUUGUACUACUUCACUUUUUUUUUAGUUUUCUUCGUUGAUAAUUAAAAGUGCAAUUAAAAGUGCUAGGUAUCGCACUUCCUUUUUAAUUUUUUUUUGCUAAAGAUUGUUAUUUCUGGUAAAAAAAAAUUUGUACUAGUUAUAAACUUUUAUUAGAAAUAUGUUUUUGUUUUUUAUAAAAGUAAAUUUUUUUUUAAUAUAUAUAAUAUAAAGAAAUAAAUUAUUACACUCCGAUUGAACUUAUAUAUUUACAUUUUAAUUUUCAACUAUGAAAACAUGCCAUUUAGGUAGUUUAAAUUCUUUUGUUAAUGUGUUGUAAACAUAGAUUUUACAAUUUGUCAUUAUUAUAUAAUAUUAGAUAUAUGUUUACAAAAAGACUAAAUGUAAAAGUCCACAAGUAAAAAGUAUAUACUAUUUAACAACUUAAAUCUACAAUUGUUCAAAUAUAUUUGAAAUUUAGGUUAAAUUUUGUAAAACAAUUUUUUAAGACAAAUUAGGAAAGAAAUUAAUUCUCUAAUAGUUUUUUUUUAUGGAUUUUAAAAUUUUUGAAAAUGGGAAACUAUUUGAUACUUUUGAAGAUUUACAUUUUUUUGUAAUGUUAGAAAUUAUGAAAAAUUUUAACUUGAUUUUUAUGUAGUAUCGUAAAUAUAUUAAAUCAUUCGUGAAAACCUUUUGAAUUAGGUCCAAUUUUUUAAUUUUUAAUUUUAGAUUUUUUCUUAGGUUGUCAAGGAGAAUAGCAAAAUAUAAGUUGUACUUUGGAAAAAUAGCAAAAAUAAUUUUAAAUUGUUAGAAUAACAAAACAUAAAAGUUAAAAAAAUAAAUAAAUGAAACAAUCUCUCAAAUGUCUCUAUCCAAUAUGAAAAGUACAAUUAUUCACCUAAACCCCAUAUACACGGUAAUUAAAAUAACAUAUGUUACAUAAAAAAUUUUCUCCAACAAACAUAAAGAUUAGCAAAGUUGUCAUUAGUGGGAAGCUCCACCUCAUGCCUGAAAAAUUUAAAAUUUAUUUUAAAGUCCAAAAGAUGCAAUUUAUUUGAAAUGGAUAAUUGCAAAAUUGAGAUACAUUCAAUCAAAGAGUUUGGCUCUACACCUUGGAACAACCAUAACCGAAAGCUUCUAGUUGAAAAGGGAAGCAUUGUUGAUUUUAUAAUAAAGAUGAAAUUAUGAAAUUAUACCAUAGAAUUCAAAACUUAUAUACAUCUUAGCUACGCAUCAUUUGAGAUUCAUUUGAGUCAUUCUCUCCUGUUUACAAGAAAAAAUUUUUGUGUUACACCGUGUUUGUCUCUUGUCGGCUGCCCCUCUCUUAAUCUGUUUUUCUUUUCUCUAAAACCUAAAAAAAGAAGAUUAAACUAAUUGCAAAAAUGGCAUAAUUAAAUCCUAAAAUUUAAAUUCAAAUUGUUAUUAAAAAUAUAUAUUAAAUUUUAAAUUCAAAUUGUUAUUAGAGAUAAAUAUUAUGUAUUAUUUAAUAAAUUGUUUUAAAUAUAACAAUUUUGAAAAUCUUGUAUAUAUAUUUGUCAUUAUUAGAAAUUGUUGCAAUCUUGUCUACUAACAAAAUAGCUUUAGUUAAGAUUUACCAAAUUUGAAGGUUGUUUGCAAAAUGUUUUAAUAAAAGAGGCACAAUAAAUUAAUUUUUAAACAAAAAUCAAUCAAAAUAAGUGUAGAAUUUGAAAUAUAAAUUAAAAUAAUGAUCUAUUAUCUAAUAAAUUUUUUAAAAAUAAUUUAAAAUAUAAAUGAAUGAUUAGAUUUCAUGAUAUUUUAAUUCAAAAUAUUAUGAAAUCCAAUAAAUGAGAAAAACAGUUGAAAAUUUUUAACAAGUGGAAAUCUUUAUUAAACCUAAGUUUUAUGAAUUAAAUAAAUAAAUGUUAAUUAAUUUAAUUUAAAUACUAAAAAUCUGAAAAUUUAUUAUGAAUUAUAGACAUAUAUUUAGGAGAUAUUGGAAAAAUUUUGUCAAUCCCGUAAAUAUGAUAAAUUAGUUAAUAUUUUCUAAAAAGUUUGUAAAUACAAUGUGACGGUGUGAUAUUUGGGAAAUAUGGGUAUAAACGGCUAAAAAAUUGUGUAACAGGUUUUGGCAAAAAUUUUAAUAAUUUUCAGAUUGGAUAUUUUUGGUUUGUGAUACUAAAUUUGAUCCUUUAUGAUUUUAUGAUUGUUAUCUAUUUUUUCUUUAAUUGUAGAGUUAAGAAAAGAUUGGGCCAUGAGGAAGCCCAUCUAACAUUAGCAUUUGCAAGCAAAGCAGCGAUCUCGUAUUGAGUUGCUGCAUAGUUGGCUGUAUUUGUCGUUUAAGGCAAUUUUUCAUGCAUAUCAACAUCGUAUCUAAACUUAGCAAUUCCACAAUUACGAUUCACUCUCUUUCUUUUUUGUCACCAUUUUCAUUAAAACACAAUUCAUUCUCUACAAUCUUCUUCGUCUUCCUCUUCUUCUUCAGAGAAAAAGAGAUUCAAUAAUCAAACCCGAUGCCAUGCAAAGCCGAGAAAUGCAGAGCCACACAAACAACUACCAAACACUUCCCAAGAAACAAGAAGUAAUCAUCACUGUCUACGUUGAAUCUCCCAAAUUACAAAACAGUAAUCCCCAUAAAACCCCAAUUGUUCCCCACAACAAUAACAACAACAGCAAUCCAAAGCCUUCUCUUCGCAAAACCCCCAAUUCUACGGGCUACGACCGCCGGGCUCAGCUUCUCGCUUACUCUCGCCACCUCAGAAAUGUUCAUUCCUCUAACACCCAAUCUCCCAAACCCAAAUCCAAGGCAACAUUUCCUUACCCUUUUGUUUAUUUGUGAAUUGUGAUUUGUGAAAGUUUUUCAAAAAAAAAAAAAAAAAUGAAAAUCGUUGUUACUUGCUGACAGAAAUGGAAAUGGAAGGUCCGAUCAGAAGCGCCAACAGUGCGGCGGAUGCCAUCGAGACGGGCGUUGCAACGGUGGAGAUAUGAACGAGUUGGGAUGAUGAGAGAAGAGAGAACAGAGGUUGUGGAUCAGCCAUGCCGGCCCAAGUGCUUAGGUGGAAGAAGCAACAAGAAAAGCACUUCAAGAUCGGGUUCUUCCAUAUUUGUAAGUUUUUCAUUGCAUUGAACAUGUGAUUCAAUAUGAAUUGAGUACCCAUUUGAUUGUUCUUAAUUAAAUAUUACAUAUAUGCUUUGUUAGUAUGGUUAUUAUUGAUUAAUGUGUGUUUCUGUUUUCAGAGGAAAUUGAAGAGUUUACUGGGAGAGUUAUCAAAGGGCUGUAAACGCAGUGGUGAGGAUUGAGGAUGAAAAUGGCUGAUGGUGAGAUAGUCAGAUCCGCCAUUUGUGUUCAGUCCCUUGUUUUUCUCCACGCCUUCAAUUCUGUUAGAAUGUACACUUGCUGUGUGUCGAUUGGACCUUGAUUGUGAAGGACCAAAAUGAAGUGUUUUGUGUAUGUGGAUGAUUUGGGUGGAAGGAAAAAGUGUUUCUUUUACAACUCCUUAUGGGGUGGUUGUGUAUCUUUUGACUUCUGACGUUUAAUACUAAAGAGUGGUUAUGUGGGUUUUGUUUUUGCUGCUUGUUUUUUCCACCAUCAAACAUAACUUCUUUUUCAUUGGCGGAGUGUUUUCUAUCAAAUGGUAAGGGAUUAUAUCUCUACUACCUUCCAAGUCUCUUUUACCACGUAAGAAAUGCAUGUCGCAAAAUUUUCACUCGCUAACUUUAUAUAAGCAGUCUCAAUUAGUUAGCACAACAUUUUAUCACUCUUCUAUUCACUCCAAUCCAACUAGAUGGAGUUGCAAAUACAAAUCUUGCAACUGUCUAUAUUGGUACAAACUACUUGAACCACACAUGACUUAAACUAGAAGUCACAUGAAUAAAACCUAAUGAGUAAUGAGGCUUGUGUCGUACUGCCAACUUAGAGACAUGCAUUCAUGUCUGUAAUAUUUGGAUUAGUCUGCCAAGUUAGUCGACUAUAGAUUUAGUACAUGAAUCCAUGUUAUGAUAUUAACAUACAAUGUUACACGAAUACAACUUAGAUUUGUGCUUUCACACACCUGUCCAAGAAAUAAAAUUCCAUGCUAACUGUUGAGGUCAUGAUAAUGGGGUUUAUAUAUUUACACAAAUAUAAGAUACCUAACAUAAUUUACAAGCGAAGUACAAACAAAGAUUUGAUGAAAAAUUUACACUAAAAAAUAAUUCUGAAGUAUGAAUAAAAAGGCUGCACUCGUCUUCUUGCAACUAAAUCAAACUAUAAAACAGAAAAAAAUCUUAAAAAAUUAAAAUUGAAGAGUUUACCACAAGACACGAACCAAGUGGGUUACAAAAAGGAUAAAUGCAGUCAAAUAUUUUUGAAUCGGGAUUUAGUGGUGGAAUGAAUGUGAAUGGCAAGGCCAUGCCACAAUGGGGUAUAGUUCAAGUGCAAAGCAGAGCAUGGAAUCAAGGAAAACAAAAAUGGAACAUCCAAAGAACCAUAAAAAUAUUAAAUGUUAUUUAACAACACAAGGGAUCAGAAAAAAAAAUAAUAAUAAAUUGUUCCAUUGUCGUGAUCUGUUUGGUCGGUCAAUGUCAAUCUUCAAAUGACGAUAACAAAUCAAAGCAGCUCAGGAGUAGCUUCACUGCUGAUAUACCUUCUUUCCUGAUUUCCAAGCUAAAAUCUCUAACAAUCCCAAUGCCUAUUCCCCCGAAAGCCGGCGGAGAAAAGAACACUCAAGACUUGGCUGUUAAAACCAAAUUCUUGACUAUUAAUAAGGAAAAAGAAGAAAAAAACACUACAAAAGAGCUAUGCACCGUGAACAGAGUGGGUAUACGACUUCUAACCGAAGAAAUAAUGCGGACAGACCUCCAUUACAAGAAUAGUUUUAAGAGAAUAUACAUGCCCUAUAUCAAUAAAAGCUUGCUUCCUUGUCCCCUAACUCCCACUCUUUCCACUUUCUUUCCUACAUAAUAAGUUAUGGAAGUCUGUUAAGUCCUCCUCUUUGUCUUGGCCGCCUUGACCUCCCAAAUAUAAUUCUGCGGAAACCACGCCCUGGCCCACCAGUUGCGGUAGAACCAAGACCUGCAGCACGAUGCAUCCCAAAAUCAAUCUCAUCUGCCCUGUUGUAGUCCCUAUGAUAUCUAUUGCGAGAAAACAAACCACCAUCCCGUCCUAAACCAAAUGCGUCCAUGGAAAAGAAAGCAUCAUCAUCCAAAUUAUCGUCCAUAUCAGAAUCGUACUCACUAUAAAAACCACUUUGGUUAGGUUCUAACACGUAAUCCCCUAAAACAACAGCCCCAGGGAUUGAUGAUCUAAUCGUGCUGAUCACAUCACUACGCUCCCUCUCAUGCUCAAAUCUCUUCCACUUCUCUUCAAGCACAGGGUCCACUUGGCGGGGUCGUGCUAAUGGAUGCUUUGCUCUAACGUGCUUCUUCAGCUCCUUGUAACGUCCAACAAAUGAGCAAUUAUCCUGCAUGCAACUUCUCUUCUUAGAAUUAAGAUACUUCCGUGCUGGUUCCACCACUGUCCAGCCUUUAACCUGUCCCCUACAAAGAGGACAUAACAGCUCUGGCACAUUAACCUUUUCACUUGGCUGCCCUGCGUCCAAAUUGAAGCUUACAUUUUCAACCGGCAAAUUCAAUAGUUCUGAACUUUGAGUUGAUGUUGAUUUUGUGUAGGCUUUCUUGUAUUGAUCGAGACAAUUUGAAUAUCGGCGGCCAGUUGCACACAUAUAAGGCCGGCAACCCUUAUUAUAUGAUGCACAAAGAAGAAGUACAGCAUUGUGAGGGAACUCCAUACAGACUGAGCAAGUAGCAUCUUCCCACUCUUUUUUCUCUGACCCUUUGCAGUUCUUUUUCUUGAGGUAAACAUUUUUAGCAACUUUCAAUGUACUAGAUGGCAAUGUAUAUGAGUUUGCCCUAGAACGUCUAGAGUCAGAGUUGCUCUGCAUCUUUUUCAUAGCCAUUCACAAAUUGUACCUGAAAUCAUUUGGGGAGGGGGAAUGGGGGCAUCAAAAUGGAAAAUCAGUACCAUAAAAUUUCUAAGUCUUGAUAAGCAUUUACUAGUAAAUUCAGCUUUUGGACUUAAAUUGCAUACCAAAUAAAUAAUAGCACUGGAAGAAAAACAAAUAAUAGAAUGACAUGGAAUGCAACAGGAAGGAAAAACCAUAGUCAAGCACAAGAUGAAGCAGGUGCGACUGAAACAAGAGAACAUCAAACCUUACAUGCACAAUAUCCAUUCCUCAUAAAAUAAAAUUAAAAAAAUUCUCCAAAAACAAGUUAUGGAACUGAACCAACUAAAAAAGAUUCAAUUUUUACAGUCUUGAGAAAAAUGCCUCAACCUAAUGACCUGCGAAGAUAAUUAAAACGUUUGAACUUUUAGAAGAAUAAUUGUCUAAUUCCAGUCCCUUUCCAUCUGAGUGGCCAACCCCCUAAACUAAAAGAGACUUCGAAUUCACGCCAUCUAUGAAUCACCAUUUCCAGAAAAACAAAACAAUAAAUAAAAUUUUUGCCACAUUCAAUCUUUUAGUCUCAACUAUCUCAAUAACCAUCCUCGGUUGCCUUAGUGGUAAAAAAUAUGACAAAGUCUUAAUAAAUGAUUAAAACGUCGUGAGUUCAAUCCAUGAUAACCACCAUCUACCAAGGAAUUAAUUUCCUAUGAGUUUUCUUGACAGAAAAAUGUGGUAGGUCAGAAAAGUUGUCCCGUGAGAUUAGUCAAGGUGCACGAAAGUUGACACACAGUAACGAAUAUCAAAAGAAGAAAAAAUUAUACCUCAAUAGUCCUGCCACAAUAAACUCCAUCAAAUAUAACAUAUAUAGCACAAUUGCUUAUUCAAACACAAUAAUCAGUCACCUAUGGAGCAAAGAUUUGUUAAGUGAGUGAGAGAACUAGUAUCGGAUACGUAUAUGAUAAGGAUUCGUCCAAAUACGCCUUGAAAUGUGUCGGAUACGUGACUGUGUAUCUCGCUUUUUCUUUCUUUUCUUUUUUGAAUUUCAGAUACACGAAUCUUUAAAAGAUUUGUUGAGGGACAAUGCUAUCUCCCAUCAACUCAGCUCAUAUCAAAAUUCAAAUGGAUUUUUUAAGUUAGAAUUUUAAAAAAUAAAGAUGAAACACUUAAAAAAAGAUUAAAAAAAAAAAAAAAAACCCGAAAAAAACCACAAUAUUGUGUUUAGGGUUGUCACAAUAUUGAAGUUCAGUAAGGAAGAAAACGAAAGGACAUGAAUCCCAAAUGUACCCAUAUGUUAGUUUUCCAGAAAUUGGCAUCGCCAAGAUCCUAUCAUAUUCAUAUCUCGUAUCCGUAACUGUGUCCAUGUUUAUACUUCAUAGUCACACUGUCUCAUUUUUCUUCUUUUAUUUUUUAUUUUGACGGUAAACCAAACUUCCAUUGAGAACAGAUAAAAAAAAUACAAGGGUAUCCAAAAACAUUAAGCCCACUAAAGGGAGCUUUACUAAAGAAUUAUCUCAAAUGAAGCAAAAUAAGUCCGAACGAAUAAUUACAAAAAGAUUUCACCCACUGAUCUCAACAGACAAAAUGAGACCUGACACUGGGAUCCUUCUCUCCUCUAAAGAUUUUAUUCCCUCACCCCCAAAACAAAGCAAGCAUCCUAGCUUGUCACAAAAGUCUCCAUUUGUUCUGAAAGGGUGCAUGGAGAAGGAACUCCUCAAUCAUCUCAUUGUAAGCUCUGUGCCAGUGAACUCAAAUAUAAACACCUCAAAGGGAAAAAUAACUCCAAACAAACCAUGGAAAAUCAUACUCCAAAGUACAUGAUCUAGGUGGUGUUCCUCUGCCACUAACAACACUAACUCUAACUCUUCGAAACUCCCAUACGUAGGCAAAGAUCAAAAACCUAGUUACCAAUGAACUAAUAAUCUAAAAGGAGAAAUCCAUGAUGACAGAGUUUGAAAUUAAUGUUUAUUACCAAGUUAACAAAACCAUGUUAUAUAAUCUGAAAUGUUUACUUGGCUUGAUAAUUUAUUUGUUUAACCAAAAAUUUUAUGAUACUAAUAUUGUCAUGUAAUCAAGAUCUACAUCUCCAAAACACCUAUAUAGAUGGAAAAACAAGUUCCAGUGCAUUAAAAUAAAGUACUUCAAUACCCUAAGAAAUGCAUUAGAUGUGAGUAGCUUCCUUAGAUAUUUGAGGGAGCAGUUACAAACAUUUCUGAAACACGAAAUGUUGUGUAAUUUUUCAUCAUUAAAGUAUUAUCAAACUCACGAUAAUGAUAGCAUGUUUUUCUCACCAUGUCCUCAACUUCAUUCUAAUCAAGAGAAAAAGUAAAUUGAAAAAAAAAAAAAAGGAACUAAACAAACCUGUAUUAAUUUAUAACUUAACACAUAAAUCCUACACACUUUCCCAAUAAAAAAGAAUAUUAUUACCGGAUCAUCAAUAUACCUGAAGAACACUAUAGACUAUAGUAGUAUAGUAUACAUUCAUACCAUACAUUGCAAAAAAUAUACAAAAAUGGCAUAAGUUAUCUCACAUAUCGUCUAUAUGCAAUGUCAUUUUUAACUAGGAGAAAGCUUCUGAGAAUGAGAUCAUAACUUUCUUAUUGUAGUGUUGGAAACAAAGUUCUUUGGUCAUGGAAGAGAGAAAAUCAAUCUAUUCAUCAUUUUUUUCUUUCUUGGAUAGAAACAACCUUCCUUGAGAAAGAUGAAAGAAUAUAAGAGUAUGCAUCGAAUUAAACUCUCAUCCAGUGGGCCUUCACUUACCUUCACUUCAAUGAACAAUAUUAUAUGAAAGAACUUCUUUAGACAGGCUCUAACCUUUUUGAGCAUUUACUUAAUUUUGAAAUUAAAAUAUGUUUGAAUCAUAUAGUUUAUAUAUUUCUUCACAAAACAAUAUAUUUACAUCACAUUUCAUCUAGGUUAAAUGACAUAUUUAGUCUCUAUGCUUUCAUGGUUGUAUCAAAUAGGUUCUUGAACUUUAAAAGGUAUUUAGUUUAAACAAGAUCUUUCAAAUCUGUGUGCUAUAUAUCCUUGAACUUAAAAAAUGUCAAAUCCUGAACUUUCAUAUUUGUAAUCAAUAGAUCACUGACAUAUUCAACAUUUUAAAAAAAAAUUAACAAAUCUAUUAGAGAAAAUUGAAUUUUGUGUCUAAUAGAACAUUAAACUUUCAACUUUGUAUCCAAUAGGUUAAGAAACUAUUUAGCAUAAAAUUACUUAAUCCUUGUUAAACACAAAAUCAAAAGUUUAGGGUCAUUUAUAAUAAAGGAUAAAGGUCCGGGAAUUUAUAAUUGAAGUAAUGGGACCUAUCAGACAAGUAUAUAACAUUCAAGAAUCUAUUUCCCGCAAACCUAAAAAUUCAUUGACUAAAUUUAUAAUUUAAUUUUUUAUUUCUUAAUUUCAUUGACGUUUUUAUUUGUAUAAAAACGAGUUUUGAUUAAAAAACAUUAAUAAAAAUAAUAAGAAAUAAUAAAAAAAAGGGAAAAAAAACAGCCUACGUAUCAGGGGUGAAGAGACCCCCCUCCCACAAGAAUGGUAAAAAAGUUCUCCAGUUGUUAACAAUCGUGAAAAGGUUGCAGUCACAAAAGAGUUUCUUGUGAGUAUAACUCCACCCAGAGUAAGUUAACAAGAAAAUCUCUAGAAUAGAAGACUUAUCUUAAAAAGCUCUCUGGUUUCUUUCCAACCAAAUAAGACAAAUAAAGCUCUAGCCCCACAAGUCCAAAAACUUCAGGCCUAUUUGUACCUUACAAAUUAAAAAAGAAGAAGACCUCCACUAACCAACCAAUCAUCAGUACAUUAACUUAAUCAGUAUGAUUCUAUAAUCUCAUAACAGGAGCAAGUAUUCAUUAAACAAAAUUUAAUAUUGAAAGACUAUGGUACAGUAUUUCUCACUCUAAUUGUCAGAAGAUCGGAUCUUUGAGUUGUCUCACUAUGUCGAAUAAAAUCUGCAUAAACUACGUACCUCUCUAAAUUUUCAGGCCAGAAUAGGAAAAGCUAAUCCGGCAGAAUAAAAAAUAUCCAAAACUUCCUAGAAAUCAGGGUGCCAGUAGUCAAGUAAAGACUUGGAAUUGUUGUUGGUCGGUAAACAAUUGUUUAAAUGUAUGUUAGCACCAAGCAAUUAGCACAACCAAAAAUGCAAGACACCAACCUUUUGGGAUUAUAAAAGUAAUCAUAAUAAUAAAACCAACAAUGAGAGGUAUUGAGAGAAUGUUCAUUCAAAACUGAAAGCAGAUAUGGGAUUAUGAUGCCCAAUCAAAUGAUUUCGAUUAGACCUCGAAUCGUGGGAGGGGGGAAACAGAGAGUAAAUAAACCAAUAAUAAGAAACCCUAAAAAAGGGGAAACGUGGAAUUCAACACAAGUGAGUAAGAAACACAGUGUGGCGAAUAAUGGCAGAACCCAAGAAGUAACAGGCAUCGGAGACAAUGAGAAAAAGGAUCCAGAAACCAGAAAAAAGGAAUUGAAAAACAAAUGAGAGGGAGAAACAGAAGAAUGAGAUCGGGCAAAAGAGAAUUGGAAGGAAGCGUACCUGGAUGGGUAAGUGAUUCCCCGGGAAUUGAAGGCGCGGUGAAGGAUAGAGAGAAGUGAAAUUGAAAUCAAAGGAAUAAUAAGUAAAUUGUGAAGUUAAGAAGAAGAGACGAUGAAGAAGGAGAAGAAGGAGGAGAAGGAAAAGGAGAAGGAGAAGGCGGAGAAGGAGAGCGGAGGAUCGAGGCCAAGCGCUCUCGCUUUUCCGGAGGGAUAUGUUGGCCUGCUGAGACUUGCGUGGAGUCGCUUCGGGGAAUUUCUCUCUUUUUCCUUUUUUCUUUUUUCUUUUUUUCUUUUUCUUUUUGCUUCUGUUAAAUAUAAAAUUCCAUUUGGUAGUUCUUUUCUAACUAUCGACACUAUGAACUCACCAUGUGGAUACGCAACUUGGGCCUUAAUACCUCAUUCAUAUAUUAUGGAUCAUUCAUUUAUGGAUUUAUUGGGUCCUGGCCCUAUUCUUCAAUCCCCUUCACGUGCAAGGCUGCCUCAAACAUAUUGCCUUUCGUAUAUCCACGUAUUACAAUCUUCUUCUUUCUCUAAACACUUUUAGGUGCGCUUGUUCACAUUUCGUAUUUAUCCAAAUAUUAAAUAAGGUCAUAAACUUGAUUAACAACUACUCUUUGAUUUCACUCGGUAAUGAAUGCAUUUGACUAGAUUGUUGUGUUGAUGAGUAAGUGAGUUAGAGAAGGUUCAUUUCUCUUUAUGUUAUUGUGUUGAGAAUCGAGUUGUUCACUGGAUAGUCUGUUAUGUUGUUAAAUUUAUCUCAUUUUAGUUCUUUUUCUAUUCAAUUCUCAAGAUAGACUUUGACCUCUUAUUUCAUUCCUUGUUUUUGUCCUUUUAUUUUUGUUGGAGGUUUUAAAAGGAUUUUUUUUAAAAAAAAAAAUAAAAAUCAAGUGUGCAAUAGGUUAGGUUAGGGUUAGGUACCCAAAUUUAUGUCUAGUAAAGUGAAUUAUUGGUUUAAAACACUCCAUUCCAGAUUUUAAAAUUGGUCAAUCUAAGUAUAUUCUUUUUGGGUAUUAAAAAACAUUUUCAUAUAAUUUAAAUAUUGUUUCUUGGCAUUUAAAGGUUUAAAUUUAACAUUAACAUGAGUGUACUCAACUAAGUCAUAUAGCAUCAACAAAGCAAAAAAAGAUUAGUGUUCCAAUAUAGUUUUUUAAUUGUUUUUUUUGUGCAAAUCUAUCUACUUAUCUGUAUGUUUGAAGCAUUCCUGUGACCACUUUUAUAAGCCGAUGAAAACCUAAAUUCUCUGAAAUCUAACAAUAAUAAUAAUAAUACUUUGCAUAUGGAAAUAUUAAAUUUUAAAGAUGGAAGACGACGCAACAUUCAAAAAUUAAUAACAAAAUGCAAGAAAGCAAAUUUGAAAGUCCAAGUUUGACCAAAAUUCAAGUCUCGAUAUAGAAGAUGGUCAAACCGGAUUAAAAAGAAAAAUUGGACAAAGUUCAAAGUUGAGGAACGAACGUACGGCACAUAAAUAUUUUUUUAAAAUGAAAAGAAGGAAAGAAGGAAAGAAAUGAAGUGACUUAGCCUAAUAUCAGGCGUAGUAGCUAUAUUAUAAUUUUUACAAGUAGUGUCAAUGUUUCUUCUUUUGUACAGUUACACACACCUUAGCCUAAAUUAGGCAAAGUAGCUAAGCAAAUUAACAAAACCAACUUAAAAUAAACAAUCAUAAGCUAAAUCAUCAAAAUUACAUUCUUCUUGUUCUCUGUUAUCAGCCAAGAAACUAACGAACAAUAACUAGAAGCACUUCCAUUUAACUAUUCUUGCAUCAAUGCCAGCCUGCCCUCCCUUGUAUUGUAUAGAUCAACCUCUACACUUGAAUUCCAAUAAUUACAGAAAAAAAUGUCUCAAGUCAAGCUUUUACAGCCGAGAUUGUGCAAAGAACCAGAACUGGAUCCUGAUUCCUCAGCAAGCCAUUCAACUAAACGAGACAUAACCAUGUCGGUUGGACGUAUAUGUCUAUUUUCAGCAAUUGAAACUGAGAGAAUAGGAAAUAAUAUAUAUAUUUCAACCCAAUGAAAUAGAGAACAAAUAACAAACAUGCAAAUAUGGUAAUUUUUAGUGUCAGACGAAGUCAGAAUUUCUACCUUGUAAAUUCAAUUCUUCACAAGUUUAAAUCCUCCUGCCUGGCCUGUUAUAAGGAGAUGCCAACCCUGAUAAACUGGAGACUGGUCUUUUCACAAACGAGUGAUUUAAAAGAUCAGCAGCAGUAGGACGGUCCUUUGGAUUAACUUGUAGGCACUGCAGAAUGAAAUCCUGUGCAUCUUUUGGGAGAGACUCAGGAACUGCAGGCGGUUUGCCUUUUCCGAUCCUAAAUAGUGCCUGCAUAUGCUGAAUUCAAAAGAAAGCAGUUUAGAAACAAAAUAAUGGCUGUCCUAUCUCCAACCAUACCAUACAAAAUAGUUUGAAAUCACUGAUGAACAAGAGAAAGCUGAGCGUGGCAAGUUUUCGGCCACCUUCAAACCAUUUAGCUUGUAUUAUCUCAGUUUCAGUUCAAACUGUGAGCUUAGAAAUACAGCCAACAGCAAAAACAAAGUUUGUAGACAGAGGAGAAUAGAGGUAACACGUACAGAUUCAAAUUCUGAAUAUGGAAGCUUUCGGGUUAACAUUUCCAAUACUGUGCACCCAAGGCUCCAGAUAUCGGCAGGUAGACCAUAUCCUUGACCCUUCCCAUUAACCACCUGAACAAAUCACAAUAAUAACAGAUGGGCGAUGAAUGAGAAUACUAGAACGUGUAUUAAGAAUAUUUCUGAUGCAUGAGACUUCAAGGAAGAAGGCAAACCUCAGGUGCCAUCCAAUACGCAGUUCCCUUACAAGAUUUAACAUCGUUCAAUUUUGUUGCCUGAAAUGUAUAAAAACAAUGAUUUUAAGGGAAGAAACUCACGAAAAAAACACCAAAAACAGAUAUAGUAAAGUGGAUUGGGGAAAACCUUUGCCAAACCAAAAUCUGCAAGCUUCACAGAUCCAUUCACGUCCACCAAUAUAUUAGCACAUUUAAUAUCCCUUUAUGAAAAAAGUAAAUAAAUCGACCGAUCAAAAAAAUAAAAUAGUUAUACAUUAAGAGGAGAGCAAUAAAUAUGAGGUUUUUCUCAAUAAAAAAAUUAAAUACUCAAAAAGAAAAAGGGAAUGAAAAAAAAAACACAUUUGAAAUAAUUAAGUUUUGAGAUAUAUUAUUUUGACACAAACAGAAAAAAUCUACAUGUAAUCUCAUCAAGAAGAAUUUUACAGAUUUUCAAUACAGGGCAUAUAUUUGUUGCAUAUGCUUUAAGAUCAAGGAAUUCUUUUUAAAAAAAACUGAAAAUAUGAUAGAGGGGGAUGACAUCCCCACAGGACUAAAUGGCUACAAAAGAAGAUGUCCGAUUGGUCAAAAUACAUUUGGUGUCAUUAUUACAAGAAAAAAAUCACCAGAAAUUACCCCAUAAGCCCAUAAGUGGGCCAAUGUUAUUCUCUCACACCCCUCAUUUCCCCCAAAAAUGUUUGAUUUCAUCUAUAUGACGACUAAGAAAAUGUUUUAAUUUUAAACAUUGGGAACAUUGAUGGAUAAAGGACAUUAUGUUAUGCUGUUUUACAGACUCUUAAAUCUCCAAAAUUAAUUUAGAAAAUUGGGUAGACUGGGAUGUUAAGAAAUAAGAACACUGUUGAGUUAAUUAUAUUUCAGAAGGAAUUUGAACUGUUGGAGGAUUGAAUUCAGCUUCUUCCAAUAUGACCAACUGAAGAUCAAAUAAUGCUAAAAAUCAGAGGGCGCAAGAAAUGGUGAAGAGUUUUCUUCUUUCACUAGGAAAACUAAAAAAAAUGUAGCAUGGAGUUGACAACUGAAGAUUUAUUUCCCCUUCCUAUCCACAGCAAUGGUAUUAAAGAUGAACACAAUGAAUGCAGACUGAUCCAUAGAAGUCUCAGGCUACGAUCAUAGUAUAUAAUGAUAUGUGUACUGAACCAAAUAAAUUAUUAAAAAAAAGUACAUAAAAAUGUCUAGUAUUGGUAAGUGGUAGAUAGGAUAGGAUGUCGAACAACUUCAUUCACAAGCAUAAUUCAUAAACAAUUACAUAAUAGAUUCAUUUGUAUACCUGUGAAUCACAUUUCGCUCGUGAAGAUACUUUAAACCCGAUAGGAUCUGCCUUGUGUAGGCAGAAACAAUGGAAUCCAUAAGGCUUGUCCUCUGAUAUAGACUCAUAAGGGAGCCUUGAGAUACAAGCUCGAGGAAGAUAUAUAGUUUUGACCCAUCCUGCAAAUAAAAUCAAUAAAUUAUUAACUAUUGAAUAUUCAAAUUUUUAUUAGUCAAUUAGCCCAAAGAGAGGAAACCUAAAGUAAAUUAAUUGCCCAUUAGCUAAAAUUGAUGAAUGAAAAUUCUAGAUAGCCAUGCAAGGAUCCGUAAUAUAUCUUGAUUUAAAGCUCAAAUCUAAAGAGAGCAGGAAAGUUGGUUAGAUUAAUGUGUGCUCCAACAUGUGGUUUUUCAUUUUCAGUCAUGAUAAUACACGUUCCAAAUGCCCAUCAGUGCAACUACCAACACACUUCCAAUAAUAUGGAAAAUUAAAAUAAGACGAGGCCGGACAAUUGGUAUGUCAAGUUAGUAUAACAAACCACUUUACACAUGCUGGCAGAAAAAAGUAUCAAACAAUGUAAAAUUUGUAUGUUGAUGGUUUAGAUCACGAUAGCCAAGUAACUUUCGAAUUUGGACUCUACAUGUGGUUAUGUUUUGCGUGCGCACUCAGGUUCAUUGAAAAGCAUAUAUCGGCAUGCACUAAAAGUAAGUUUUAUCAUUGAAUAAACUGACUUCAGACAAGUUUGUAAAGAAUUGUAGAAACUUAACUUUAGGCAAUGGAAGAUAAAUUAUAUAAAAUUACAUGAGGCUUUUGAAGCAUAUACAAUUGAUUGGAGAUCCUGAGUUUAAUAUUAUGGCCAAAGAAGAUGCAAUGAGAAGGGGGGAAUUGUGGUGAAAAGUAAACAAAGAAAACAUAAGCAUCAUGGUACAAAUAAUAAUUUAGGCAAGUAUCAAAUCCGUUUGUGAUUCCAGUGGAGACUAACAUUGAUUUGAACACUCCAUGUGUCUACUCAACCGUAAUUAAAAAUGAAUUGGGUUAUCAAAGAGCCAGGAGAAAGAUCAGAAUUGGAGGAAAUGGAUUUCAUUUCAAAUGAAGAAUAUGCUAAAAGACUACAACCAAGAUACUAGAGAGUUUAUAAAUACUAAAAGUAAAUCUAACUAAAUUCAUCAAGCAUAUUUUUUUUCGGACCAUCCAAAGAUGAUAUAUAAAUGCGUAAUAAUUUCAAUUCUUUAGGAUCAAGGCCAAUACCGAAUGUGUGCCAUAGUACUGAACUAUGUUCUCAUGCUCAAACUCACUUAGAAGAGCUAUCUCCUGGAAGACAAAUCAAAUGAAGUGAGAAAAGCAGAUUAAGAAUAAGAUCAUAAAGACUUCAUUCAUUAAAAGAUGAUGAGAAUAUCAAAUCAUAACAAGGACCCAUUUGGUAACAACUUCGUUUUUAGUUUUCAGUUUUUGAAUUAACUACUUCUUUAGUAUACUUUUUUCGCCGUCAUCAAAGAAAUGUUUGAAUUCUUAGUCCAAUUCCCAAAACAAAAAAAAAAGACAAAAAAAGAAAACAAGUUUUCAAAAACUAAAAAUAGUAGUUUUUAAAAAACCUAAUUUCAUUUUCUAAAUAUGGCCAAGAAUUUAAGUGUUUACUUAACAAAGAUAAAAAUAAAACAUAAAGUUGCUAUCAAACAGAACCUGAACUUUACAGCAUAACAAAAAUAUUGUCAUGAACAAGUGUAAAUCACCUGCUGAAGUUGAUAGAUACUUUGUCUUCCCUGACUAUCUUCAUCGAGCAGUGAAACUUCUUUGAGUGCAAAAAAUGUCCCAUCCCUGAAAAUGAGAAAUAAAAACAGAUGAAUUUUCCAACUAAUAAAAAAUUCAGACCCGUUUAGGAUGAGUCCCAUUCCCAUCAGCAAAAACAAUAUCAGAUCAGCCACCAGAAAAUUCCCAGGUCAGAUAUGCCAGAGUCAUAUUAGUCGUGCGACAAGUUUAUCCUAUAUACAAGAACCCCAUAGAAAAUCAAACAAACAUUGCCGACAAAAAUAAGGUAGAAGAAACACUACGUACUCUGAAAUUGCUUCGUAUACUGAUCCAAAUGAACCGCGCCCAAGAAGCCUGCCUAAAACCCAGGAUGUGAUAAUGGGAUUAACUCUCAUAUUGGGUGAAAUAUUUGCAGGCUCCGUAGUACUGCUUGAAGAAUCAUCAUCAUUCGAUGUCGUGAAGGAACCCCAAGACCCUAUGAGCGAUGCGUUCUCCACAGGCCUUACUGUAUUUCCUUCUCCUUCUCCUUCUACUUCAACUAAAGGUUCCACACGUUCUCCUACUUCCUCUUGAUGUUCAUCCUCAACUAAUGGAGCAAAACCUUUCAAAAUGUCCCAAGUAGAGUAAGCAUUAUCAAAAUUUGGUAGCCGCAUGGACGGCGGCGGCUUAAGUAAAGGAGGCCGGGCACCAUUGAUUCCACUUCUCGAACUACAUCCAGUAGCAGUAGCCAUCCGGCGUUCAUUCAACUCUGCAAAUUCGGUCUUUGUCUUGGAAAGGUCGACGCUAAUUCGAACUGAAUCCUUAACCCUCCGACAUAAUUCAUCUUGAAUUUCUUUAUCUUCCUUAUCCUCACUAAUCUCCUCUGUCUUCGGAGAGGUAUCCAUAGGAUACAGCCUCGACCUCGGUAGAAGCUCGGAAGAUGAACGAACCUUUCUAGCCUCCCAAGCCUCCAUCGGAAUAGCAAAGUCGUCAGGGCCAGCUAGCCCUAGGGUCCGACAUAUGAGAUCAACUUCACCGUCAAGCCCUUUAAUCCGAAAACUGGAGGGAUCGGGGUUUUCCAUGGAACGAGUGUAAAGAGACCCAGAAGAAUCUUCGAGCGAAGAAGACGAGGAAGGAGCAUCAUAAUCAAUAUUCUUGGCCGCAUUAAGUCGGCCAAGCUUGGGUUUCCCUGGAAUUUUCCUGGGAUCCAUGGGUUUUCUUUUGUUCCUAGGAGAGAAAAACUGAGGGAGACGAUUCAUCGAGACUCAAGCCCAUUAAAACAUCCCACCGGCAACGGCAAGAAGAAUUUCCCGAUGAAAUCAAGAGAAUCCCACAAUAAAAUUACCAAAUUGAAAAAGGGAAAAAGAGAUGUUUAGCGAAUGAAUCAGCCUCCAAGUUUGAGGAAAGGAAGCUGGGAAGAGAGAGGGAGAGGGGGAGAGAGAGAGAGAAGAAAAGGGUUGAAAGAUGGGAGUGAAUUGGACUGGUAAACGCCGGAGAGAGAGAAAAACGCGGUGCUACGUGGAAGUAAAAGUAGCCGAAAGAACAGCCGAGCCGAGGGCGACGGCGAUUGGCUGGCGAAUUGGAUUGGGAAUUUGGGGGAAAUGGAGGGACCUUCCCUUUUUGUUGUUUGCUUGUCAGAUACCAAGUCCAGUAUAUUUCUUCUUCCUCCUCUCCAUGACGUAUUCACUCACUCACCCGCUUCGAUCAUUCCUACGUUCUUUCUUUCUUUCUUUCUUUCUUUUAAUUUCCAUUUCUAAAUCGGUGAAGUGAAGUUGGAUCAAUAGGAAAUAACACUACUUUCCUUUUCUCUUUUUAACCAUCCUCUCUUAUUUAUCAUUAUCUUCCUCCCAAUUUCAAACCCCACUUCCCCACUCCCUCCAUACACUCACCCACACAAACUUUCCUCCUUGCUUCCUCACGUUUUCCACACAAUAAAUUACUUUUUAAAUAAUAAUAACAAUAAUUUAUGAAAAUUUCAAUUGAUAACUCAUAACAGAAUUAUUGUCUCACAACUAAACAAAAACUUUACCUAAUCUUCUAUAACAAAAACUAAAAUCACCUGUUAUUAAUUAUGUGGCAAAGCUAAGCUAGUGUGAAAUUGGUACUGUCAAAGUUAAAUGUUUGGUUUUCUUGAAUAACAUUUUGUACCACAAAAUCAUUGUUAUGCAUUUCAUUUCAAAAUUGUUCAAAAUUCAAUUUUCAUGUUAUUUUAACCAAACAAAAAAAUGUCUUAUUCUUUUAAUCAAUUUUGAAGCUAAUUUUGAAAAAUAUAGUUACAUAAGUCUCUUCUCUUCAAAGUUUGAGGAAUAUUUUGUAUGAUGUAACUUCAAUUAUUUGGGUCAGAUAACAUUGUCCUCAUCUACUUUUUAAAUCAGUAACAACUUGUUUCAUUGCACUACAUUAUUGCAACAUUAACUUGGUCUUUAUAACAAUUUUAUUACAACUAUCACAUUGCAAAGGAUCUUAUUGAUUAUAAUUAUCCCACUAAGUAAAGAUUAGGCCCGUUUCCAAACCAUUUUUAUUUUUCCUUUUAUGUUUUUAAUUCUAUUUUAUUUUUUUAUUAAAAACAAAAAUCACAUAAAGUUUGGUAAGUAAAUUUAUUUUGUGUUUUUGAAAACAAAAUGUAUUUUUUAAAAGGAUAUUUUUAAAAAUAGUAAAAUAUUUACACGUUAUACCAAAAUUUUAGAUUAUAUUGAUAAUAAAAACUUAUAGACUUUUAUCAUUGUUAUUGAUAGAAGCAUAUAUGUGUCUCUCAAUUAUUGAUAGAAUAUGAAAUUUUUACUAUAUGUUGUAAAUAUUUUUAAAAAAAUUAAAAUGUUUUUUCUUUUCAAAUUCCUUCGUAAUUUUAAAGCAAAUGUCUUGUUUAAAAAACAAAAAGAGCAAGUUUCUUGUUCAUUAAAAAAUAAUUUUCAAAAAUGAAAUAAAUAGGUUACCAAACACGCCCAAACUAUUUCAAAAUUUAGCUUGGGUUGGUAGCUCACAUUUAGAAAUUCCAUUGCGAUGCAUCAUGUAAAGAUGGGAAGGGAGUUGCAAGCUUUGGAAUCGGUUUAUAUAGAGUUAAUGAUGGUUGAUAUUACUUUAUGAUUUUUUGGAGAGUCUUUAUUUGUCAAUUUGCAUAUAAUAUUUUUGAAAAUUUUCUGGAGGAGUACGAUAAGUAAAAAGUGUUCAAUCGUGAGAACUAGAGGUACGAUGAAUCAUAGUUGAGUAAUAGUGGAAUUGAAUAUGUUGCAAACCAACCCAGAGGGCUUGUUUUAACCCAUAAAGAGCAUGGCGAAGAAGACAAGCUUUCGGGGUUAGAGGAAAGGUGUCAGGUGUCACAAUCGCAACCUUUCAACCUUGGGACAGCGAUUGUGUGACACUUGUUUGAUCCAAUCAACAAGUCAGUCGAUCAAAAUUCAAAAAUAGUAGACAAACUCACGGUACGAUUCAACCUCCCGUCACGUUUUUUAGAAAAAAAAUUAGAAAACGUGAGAGAAAUAAUUCAUUGAAAUCAUUGUUAAAACAAGCAUUGGAGACUGUUAAUUGCCACGACAAGCUUAGAUUGCAAAGAGUGCGACAAGGCUUGGGUGAGGAUUCAACUACUAUGCCUCCCCUAUAGUACAUAUUAGACUUUUUCAGCUUUAGUAGGCUUGCAUAUGAAAAAGACCGAAACGUCACACUCUAGAUUUAUUACAUAAAAAGGAAAGCAACUGUCUAAACUAAAUAUAAGACAUAAAGAUAAGAUAAAUCGAGGGUUGGGCAUACAACCAUAGGCAAACAUCACCCUAGACAAGUAUGCUCUCGUUACAUUCUCUCCCACUUAAAUAGUUGAUGUCUCUGUCGACUAGUGGAGCUUGAAUUCUUUGAUCUUCUACGUCCAGGCUUCUAGGUCUUUGAACAUUCCCAAUUAGUUUCUUUCAUAGGAAGGUUCUUCCACUUCACCAAGUAUUCUUGGAUCCUUGUUGUGGGCCUUCGGGCCUUCUUCACUCACUCAGUCAGUAUUUCUUUAACUUCUUUAUUCUCUUUCUGACUGAGGUCGAUGGUCAGUCGGACUAUGACAUUGCGUUGCAUGUCAUUGGAAUCUUGAUGGUAGGGCUUUAAGUUAUUCACAUGAAUUACUGGGUGAAUUUUCAUCCAUGUAGGCAACACCACUCUGUAAGAUGUACUCCCUACCCUUUUCAUCACUUUUACUGGUCCCUCGUAUUUCCUCACGAGCAUUGGUCUUUGCGUCUCCAGAAUCAAACCUGUUCCGAUCGCAGUUUGAUGAGGACCUAAUCUCUUGUCCAAAGCUCAAGGGGGCAGUGCUUCUUAUCUACCCAUUUCUUCAUCCACUUCGAGGCUUUCUCCAGAUAGGCUCGCACGAUGUCCGUUGUUUGUUUCAAUUUUCUGGUAAAAUUGUGAGCCUGGGGAUUCUUUCUUGCAUAGGAAUGAUCAACAAGGUGUGGCAAUAUAAGUUGUCUACCAUAAACAAUCUCAAACGGGCUUUUCCCAGUUGACGAGCUCGUCUGAGCAUUAAAACAAAAUUAGGCUACCAUCCAAUAGUUAAACCCAAUUCUUCUGCCUUGCAUCGACAAAAUGGUAGCUUAAGGAUACAUUUAGACUUGUCCCCAAGAAAGUGAAUAGUUCUGUCCAAAAAGUGUCAAUGAAUCUACCAUCUCGAUCACUCGCAAUGCUUGUCGGUACACCUCAUAACUUAACAAUAUAUUUGAAGAACAACUGGGUUGUCAAUUCUGCUGUAUACAACUUGGUAGUGGGAAUGAAGGUGACAUAUUUUGAAAAUCGAUCGAUGAUGACCAAGAUGGUCUCGUAAUCGCCUACUUUAGGGAGAUGAAUUAUGAAGUCCAUAGAAAUACUCUCCCACGGUCUUGUUGGAAUUGACAGAAGUUCGAGAAGUCAAGCAACUUUCGCUUUCUUGAUUUUAUCAUGUUAGCAAACGAGAAAUAUAUUUGUAUAUUACAUGAUGUCAUCCCUCAUAUUAGGUCAAAAGUAGCCCUUCUUUAGUAAGACGUAUAUUCUCUGCCAUCCGGGGUGGCCAGCCCAUAGAGUGUCAUAACACUCGUGUAGUAAUUUCUUUCUCAUAUCCAUCUCUAAAACCUUUCUAGUUUUCAACUUGGUAUUCUUGCACCGAGAUGCCCUUGCCAUAACACUGAGAUUUUCUCUCUACCUUCAAUCUCACUUGAGAUUUCUCAAGCUGGUCUAUAGAAUUCUUACUUUCAACUCUUCUUUGCCUUUUCUUUUGGUCAGACAAGACCAAGUUUGCACACUUCUGCCUUGAGAUCCUUACAUAAAAAGCAUUUCGCUUUUCCUUUUGGCCGAGCAAAAUCGAGUUUUACCCUAAAAUCAACCUUCUAUCUUAAAUCUCAAUUGAGAUCUCACAAAACUACCCCAGGAUUCCCUUUUCAAGACACUUACUUUGGCUUCCAACCAUCUUUUCCUCAAAUUUUCUUCUAUCAUCCAUUUCCCAACUUCAACCUCAAUUUCUCCAUCCUUAGUUUUUCUUCUUCCCACCUACCAUGACAUACUUAAAAUGACUUUUCUAUUCCAGACACGGAUCUUACAUUUUACUUUUCUACUUGCUAUUUACUUUUAUGCAAUCAAUUUCUACUUGAACUCCCCCUCUUCAGUUAUGUGGUUGGAAAUUAAUUUGUUUGAGGAAUUAGUGUGUAUAUUGUGAUCGACCUGGACUUACCAUUAAAACUAGAUCUUGGUGUGUGAUUUAAUUUAUUAUUUGGCAUAGAUUUGGGUGAAAAAUUCCAUCAGCCAACGAGGUUCAACUAAAGACAUGAUAGUUGAAAAACAAUGACAUUCCUUUAGAUGAUGGGGAGUUUCUAUUAUCUGGGUGAAGCGACACGUUGUUGCACAUCGGAGGCAGACAACAUAUUUGGGAGCUCAAUAAUAGAAGUAGAUUAAACGAGCUCAAAUAUAGGCGAUGUAGGAAACUUAAGGUCGAGCAAAAGAUCACAAGCAGGAAAUAUAUUAGAGGAAGGAUCAAUGAAAAAUGAGUUUGAACUAGACAAAGAGGAAUGAAAUGGUGAAAGACUAGAAAACAUACUAUGAUAUCAAAAAGUGAUAUAACGAGAGAUACUUAAUUGUUUAGAGAUAGAAUUCCAACAAUGAAAACAUUUAUCUUUAGUACCGUAUAAUCUAGAAAAUAGCAUUCAUGUUUUGUUCUUUAAGUUCUCUAGUCGUUCAACGAACUUACCAUUUUUUUUAGUGGCACCUUUGACAGGUUUGACUAGGGGUGUAAUCGGGUUGGGUUGGGAGACAUUCUCAACCCAACCCAUAUUUUUGGGUUAUAUGGGUUGUCAACCCGAAUAACUCGAAUUUAAUUUACAACCCAACCCGUCAAAUAUGGGUUGGGUUGUCGAGUUGUGUUGUUUUUUUUUUUUUUCUACUUUCUAAUGAAAACGGAGGUGGACGAUGAGAUUGAGAGGGAGAAGAUCAAAUACUAAGGUGAGAUGGAAGAGAAGAAUCAAACACAAUGAAGACGGGUGAGUGGGACAUGAAGAGAUGAAAAUUGAAGAGGAAGGAAGACCUAAUUUUUAGAUUUUAUUUACAACCUAUAACAAAUUCUAUCAUGGAUAGUCACUGAUAUGCUAUAGUGAUAAAAGACUAUCAGUGAUAGAAUCCAAAAUUUUGCUAUAGUUUGUAAAUAUUUUAGUUGAUUUUUCUAUUUUUAAAAAUGUCUCAUAUAUAUAUAUAUAUACAUAUUAUAUUAAUUCGGGUUGGGUUGGGUUGACCCGAAUUUUUCAACCUUCUAACCUGAGACCCAAUCCAACCCGAAAAAAUUCAAUUUCUUUUAACCCAACCCAACCCACAUUUUAACCUAACCCAACUCAACUCUUAUAACCCAAUCCUAGGGGUGUAAGAAUAUGGGUUGAACCCAAAUAAUCCAGACUACCCAACCCAUAUUAUAAGGGUUGGUUUGGGUAUUUUGGGUUAUUAAGAUUCAACCCAUAUUCUUACAUCCCUAGGUUUGACAACAUCUUUAGUAACAAUCUGCCAGAACUUAUGACCAAUAAAAAAACUUCUCAUUGAUGAACCCAAGUGAUAUAAUUGGUGUCAUUAAUUAUGGUGCUGAUAGGACGAAAGACAUUAAGUUUCUCCAUUUAAAAUGACAAAAAAGUUGUCAAACAGAAAUAAAUUGGAUAGACUUAAAAAAAAAUUACAAAUCUCAGAAUCCCAUAGUCAAGAAGUCGACAACCUAAUAACACUAGAUCUGCCUAUCCCAUGGUCUAAAUGAAUAAAGAAAUCCACAUAUAAGAAUGAUUGAUUCUAGUCGAAAAAACAAGAAGAUGUGCAGUUGAAUUAUGAACCUCGACGUAGAUUUGAUUAACUAUGAAUGAAGAAACUCAAACUUGUAAUAGAGAUGAACGAAAGAUCCAAAUAGAGGUUGGAGAUUCAAAGUUUACUGAUCUUGAACUGCGGGAGGUGGAGGUGGGGAUCUAGGCGGUCGACGAAGCAAAUUGGUCUUGAACGAACUAAUUUUAAACAACGAGAGGCAAAUGUGGAGAUUCAGAUGGUGGCUGAUAUUCUUACAUGAUAUACGGAUGGAGGCGAUUGUCUUAAUAUUGUUAUAUGACAAACAAAAGAAUUUGCAUAAUAUUCUUUUCUUGUUUGACAUUAGGAUUUUUUGGAUUUUGAUAUAUGCUGUAUUUUUUGUUUGCAAAGUUGAUUUAUUCUUUCUUGAAUAUUCUCAAUCAUACCAAAAUAUAUAUGAUGACAUUGUUGAUAUCAAGUGAUUCCCUAGAUCUUAUUGAUUUGUUUAAAACAAGCAUUAUUUUUAUAUUGGUUGAACUUUGAUUCAAAACCCUUGUUAAUCUUGAAGUUGUGUCGUUGUUCGUUGUUGAAGCGUGCUUCAAAGAAGAUUGGCUGGUCCUAGGGAGAACCUAAUACAUUAUCUCUUGAGAAGAGAUUCUCUAAUUCAGAGGAGCCUAAAUUCAUAACGUGAAGUGAUAUUCACAAGAAAGGUGGAAAGGUAAGAAGAGAAAAAAUCUUACACUUGGGAGAGCCUAAGGGCAUGUUUGGGGUUAAGAGAGGAGUGGAGUGGACUAUAAUAGUUCAUUCCUUUGUUUGGGACAAUGUUUUAUUUUAGGUUUUAGGGUUUAAGACUAUAUAUAUCAAAUAAAAUUCACAUACAUAUAAGCUUUCCUUAUAUAUAUAAUUAAGUAUAUUUAUUUAAGCUAUAUGUGUAGAAAUCCCUAAUUUAGUUUAAUAAUAUUUUUUAUUUGCUGUUGGUCAAUUUAACUGGCUCCAAGACAUAGAAUUAUCUUUUAAACUUAAAAUCACAGUAUUGGAAAAAACUUUAGUGGCCAAAUACAAAUAAAAGUUCAAAACUUUAUGAUUUUUUUAUUCUUCAAAUAUAAUUGAUAAAAAAAUAUGAAAAAAUGCAUUAAAUGACAAAAGAAUUUAGUAGAAGAAAAACAGCUCAUACCAUCACUUUUUUACAUAUAUUGCGAAUAUGAAAAAUAUAAUAAUAAUUAAUAAUAUCAUAGGGUUAUCUGCUUUUAAAUUUGCUACUUUUACAAUUUAGAAAAUGUAGUGACAUGGGUCAUAUUAUCAUAAUUGUGUUUGCUAUUUUUGCAAAUGCCCCAAAAAAUAUUAUAAUUUUCCAAUUAUUGAAUUCAAUAUUAAAAUACUAGUUAUUGCAAUUUGAAGUUAGCAUUUUAUGGUUUUUAAAAAAAAAACAUGAUACUUUUGAGAUUAGUUAAAGUGGCAAAAGUCUAUGUAAUUUUAUUUCGAAAUCAAGUAAAAUCUAAAUAUCAUAUUAAAUUUAUUAAAUGAACAACAUAAUUAACAAGAUUUAAUAAAAUCACCGAUCAAUUUUUAUAAAAGAUGUUAUAUUAUAAAAUUUUAUAACAAGUACAUCCCAGGCGUAGUAAUAAACUUGUUUGCAUAAAUUUGUGGAAGGUAUAUUUUUUAACUAUGUUUUUCAAAAAUAGUAUUUCACAUACCUAAAUAAAUGUAUGACAAAAAAUAAUAGUACAAAAAAACACGAUCUAAGAUAACCAAUAUUUAUUUUACAGACUCCUAUAAUUUGGACUAUAGUAAUCUACAUCUCAAACAUAAAUUAUAAUAACUAAGACUAUAAUACUAUGCACCCCAAAUACAAACUAGAAUAAUUCAUAUUAUAAUACUUUGUACCUCAAACAUAGACUAUAAUAAUACGACUAUAUAUAAUAACCACAUACUAUACUAACCCAUUAUGCACGCCCAAACGUCCGUGUUCAUUCACUGAGCCUAAGUAUGUUGAAGGUGUGAGGGGAUCUCACAUUUAUGGAAGCAAAAGUUUCAUAGAGUUUGAUUCUCACAGUUAGAAGAAGUCUAAGUGAUCGUUCUUAAGUCGAGUUAUUCGAGUGCGCAAUUGUUAUUUAUUCAUAGAUAAAUAGACAUCGAUUUUCCUAUUUCAAUUUAGUUAUUUAAUAUAUAACAUUUUGUUUGACAAUAUUCUAUUGAAUUUUAGAUCACAAAACUAAAAAAGAUGUGUCAUUGACUAUUUUUUUCUAAAUGUUUUUGUCAUCUUAUGUAAUUUUUCUUGUAAACAAUGUACUUGAUAUAAUUGUGUAGGCAAAGGAGUUGUUUGAAGAUGACCUUUGGAGAUGGGUUUUGGAGAGAUUACAUUUUUUUUUUCUUUAUGUAUUUAUCAAUUCAAAAAUACAUUGUAAAUCAUUAUAUGAACCUUUAUAUAAUUUUUGUUAUGAAACACAUUCCAAUUUUGUAGACAACUUUCCUAUUUCAAAUUCAUUAUUUAAUAUAUAUAACAUUUUGUUUGACAAUAUUUUAUUGAAUUUUAGAUCACAAAACUAAAAAAUCAAAAUCAAAAUAAUAAUAGCAAAAAGAAAAAGAAGCAGAAGAAUUCUCGAAAACACUAUCGAGAGUUUAGGCUCUCUCGACAGUAAGAUCCAUGGCAAAUAGAAUAACACUCCCAUAGCCUUAUGAUAACGCUUCGGGAGUUGAUUCUAACUCUCAACGUGCUAUGACAUCAUCAGAAGAUCAGAUCUCUCCACAUCUUAUCAAGCCCAUCGGGAGUUACCUCUCUCAAAGAAACAGAAAGGAAUAAAAAACCCAACAUAUAUUGAUAUAUAUUAUGACGAAAUUGGUCGUCAUCGAGAGAGACAAUCUUCGUUAGUACUAUACAAGUUUACAAUAAAAAUCUAUUAUUGAUAAAUUUUUUGUAUGUUUACCGUUUUUAAAAAACAUUACUGUAGAUUCGAUUAAUAUAACUAAAAUUGGUAUAGAUUACAGUUAUCCAUUAUAAACAUGUAUGAAAGUAAAGUAAAUUAAUUAAUGAUGACUCCCCUCAAGAUGAGAUGAAUCAACGGUGGACCAAUGUAGUUGCUAAAGAUCAUCCAUACAUCUUCAUUUUCUUUGAAUGAAUAGAUAAUUGUAAUAAAAUAAAAUCUAGAAAGAUCAUAUGUUAUCACCGGUGGCUAUGUCCGUACGGAUUUUCUUUUUCCACAAUUUGAUUUUAAACUCUUUUGUUAUCAUGUGUGACCCAUAUCUUUAUUUUAUUUGCUUUUCAUUAUUUAUCCUUUUUAUUUACCUACCAUCUUUUAAUUAAUUACAAAUAUAAUACGACACGAUUGCAAUCCCAUCUAUAUUUUAUUAUCUUUUGUACUAAAAAUAGGUAUUUAAAUAUUGUAUCACCCUAAAUUAUAUCGAGGUAAUAUUGUUCUAAUGAAAGAUUCUUAAAAUUACAUUUUCCUAACAGAUGUAGGAACACUAUUGGUUCUUUGGUGACAGAUUCGGGCGAGACCAUCAGCAAUGACAAGAAGAUUGAAGAGGAGCUUAAUUAUCUCCUUUUUCUCUAGCCGGGUUGAUCAACCCUUUUACAUGGUUAUUAUCAAAAGCAAUCUAUUUCUACAAUAAAAAGUAAUUCAAUUUUCUUUGACAAAACUCCAAUGUUUAAGUGUUGCUGAAAUUGUAGGAAGAUUCAAAGUUGAUGAAGGUUAGAGAGAGUAAUUUAGUUGGCAACCAUGACACAAAUGUGUGGACGAUGGAAGAUAAGUUUUUCAUUAGUUGGCUUUGAGAAAGAAAUGAAGAGGUGGUUGAAAUUAAAAUUUUGGACUAUGCAUGAAAAUAAAAGAAUAACCCAACUAGGUACUGUGAGAUAUAGGUGAAAAUUAAAAAGAGAGUUAGAAGUACAAAAAUAAUGAUUUAGUUGUGAAGGAAUGGUUAAUAUGAUUACCAUUAGUAUAAUUGAUUUAUGAAUAAAAGAAAGUAAUUAGAAGUCAACUAAUUUUAAUUAGAAAGUUAAUAAAGAUAAUGUAAUCCCAUUUGGGAGUUAAAAAGUCAAUAAAACAUCUUUAUACAAAUUAGCUCCCAAUUAAGUAUCUCCCACUUUGUAAGUGCAAAGGCCUUUUGUGAAGUCAAUAAAACGCACACACUACUGUGUACUUAUCUGCUGUACCACUCUUGUCUCUUCCUACAAUACAAUACCUAAAUAAAACCCCCUCUUUGGUGGUGUUCUAAUCAUUUUUAUUAUAUUCAAAUUUCCCCCUUUUUCAAUUAUUAUUAUUAGUCUCAUCCACAUUUUUUAAUACAAAUUUGUCACAAAUAUUUCUCUCUUUCAAUAUUAACACCUAUUCUUUUAAACUGGUUAAAAUAAUUUUUGUUCAUUCAUCUUCCUAGAGAUCCACAACCACCAUUUAUAUAAAAAUUUAUUUUUUUCUAUCUUAUCCAUUCUUUUGGAAACUUUGGAUAGAGAUUAACACCAAAAAUCUAUAUAUUUUCACUUUCAUCAUAAAAUUGUAAAAUCACAUAUUAAAACUAAGAUAUAUUUUGUAUUUUUCAAAUAUUACUUAAUCCUUUUAGCAAUUAUAUUCUUUUCUGUAGAUAUGAUUAUUAGGAAUUAUAUUAUUCAUCAAAUCUGGAAAUAAAUAAUAUAAAUUGGAAAAAAGAAGAAUAGUUUAUACUCUUUUUAGUAGUCACAUGGAAGAUUGAACCUUCUACCCAUAAGGAAAGAAAAGUGUGGUGGUAAAUUAUGAUGGUUCCUCCGUACAUAUACUUACUUCCAUAAAUUUAUUUUUGUAUUUCCCCCUUUUUUUUUUAAUUCAUAUUUUAUUUACUAUUUAAAUUAGCACUACAUUUAUUUUGUAAAGAUUUUAAUUAAGGUGAAUCGGAUAUAAUAUAAUUUAUUUUUGAAGUCAGGAAGCUAAAUUCCUCUAUUUAUGUCAUAGUAAAAUAUAUGAUAAUAAGAAGGAUGAGUAUCCAACAAAGAAUAGAGGAAUUGAAGUAAUUUAAUAAAAGGUUGGAGAGAGUUGGAGAGGUGCACCAAAACGUUGGUGUGUACUUCAAUAAUAAACGUAAUAAAAUUAUAGGGAAAACAACACAUGCAUAUUGUGUUGGAAACGGGGCCUGGGGUGCACUGCAACUAAGAAUUGUUCAAACUUGUUAAUGGGGCCAUUAAAUACAUAAUUACGUCCAAUACAUUUCCAUUUCUUUCUUAUAUAUUUCAUUUCACUCUUUUCUCUCUUAAUAUAUUAAAUAUAAAAUAAAAAUCACUAUUAAAUACAGGUUUUCUCAGUUAAUUGAGUGUUUAAUCUGCACAUUUACUCCUAAUUCUCGUUACAAAAUCACUUUAAAUUAACACUAGAAUCAGAUAUAACACCCCACUACCAUUUCUUAAUUUUGAAUAUAUUACAGUCAUAGUAACCAUCAUAAAUUGGUCUAGUCGUAGAAAGGGAAACAUAGUCACAAUAUAUAAAUUAAUUAUAGGAGUUUGUAUAAGCUAGUUGAGACAUCCAAUUUUUAAAAGAUUUGUUGUCAAACAUAAAUUUGAUUUUCUAGAAAUCAAUUUUACAAACUCAAUCGCAUCUAAAUUUUUUUUCUAAAAUUACUACUCUAACUAUCACUUCCAAACACACUUGAAUACUUAAUUUAAUUACUUUUUAGUUUUUAUUUUUUAUCCUAAUGGUUCGUAUCUUCUUUUUAAGUUUGAGUUAAAAGAGUCAGACAAGACAACAUAGAGUUUGAUGUUUUUUCUAAAAAAAAGUGAAUUAGAUAUUUAGAAGUUUUGUUUACGGAUACCUCAAUAAUUUAAAACUUUUAUUGUUCUCGAAAUACUUUUUUACCACCUUAAAAUUUAAACUAGGUUUAUAUACAAUAUGCUUUCUUAGUUUUAUUCAUGUUGAGUCUGAUAAUAGAUGUUUGAUAUUCAAAUUCAUUUUGAUCAUUUAUAUUAUAUAUAUGAUAUUUAUGUAUUAAAAGUUGGAUGGAGCCACAUACUUUCUGGCUUAAGCGAUUAUGAGUUGAUUUACACUGUCAAAUUCUAAAAACUAAAAAUGUAUUGAAAAAGAUUAAAUAUCUAACCUAAUAGGAUAUCUUUUUUAAAAAUAAUGUAAAAUUUGAAACAUAUGUCAAAAAUAAGUUGUUGUAAAACUAUUUUUAAAAAUAUGUGAGUUGAGAUGAAGUCGUGUACGGGUUGUUCCAUGAAGUGGACCCCACCCCUUCUAUUACUAAUGAAGGGAUAAUAGUUAAUAUUUGCAACUAAUUUCUAAAUUUUGGAUAAUUAUAUUAAAUUAGAAUCUAAUUUCUAAAUUAUGUCAUGAAUGCAUUAAAAAGCACAAAAUGCAAUUAUUUUUAAAAAGUAUAUAUAUAAUUUUGAUUAAGUAAUAAUUAAAUAAAAUUAGAAAAAAUGAAUUUAAUAAGAAAAUUGAAGAUCGAGAUAUUUAAAUAUAAAUAAAGAAAAAUAAAAAAUAAAUUAAUUUAAUAAAGAAAUAUAUUUUUAGAAUUUGAAUGUUUAAUAUAUAUUAUUAUUAUAUGUGAGUAUAUAUAUAUAAAAAUAAUGAGAAAAAAUGAAAUGUGUGAGACUCACGUAUAUAAAUAAUGAAAAAAUAAAAAAAUGUGAGACAAGUGUAGUAUAUAUAUAAAAAUAAGAAAAAAGUAGAAAAUGUGAGAUCCACUUCAUAGAAGUACUUUACCUCGACUCACCUAUUUUUAAAAGUAGUUUUUCAACAACCUAUUUUUUAUAUAUGUUUCAAAUUUUACAUUAUUUUAAAAAAAGAUCCCUAAUAGGGUUAAUAAUGAAAAUAUCUAAGACUUUUCACCUUGUAGUAAGGGUCGUUUGGCUUAAGAUUUUAAAUAAGACUCGGAAUUACAGACGUAUGUAAGUAGAUAACCUGAAAAUAGGAUGUCUAAGAAUAAAAAAUGACUUGUGUGUUGGUUGUGAUGAAAAAUAUUAUUAAAAAUUUAUGAAUAAAAACUUAGCUGGUAUGUAAAUUAUGAAAUUAAGCAUGAAAAUCUAAUAGAUUUUACCAUAAAUAUCCUUCAAUAUUAUUGAUAAAAAUUAAUUAAUUAAUUAAAAUCAUCAAUAAUUUUAAUUCUAAAUAUUUUAAAAAUAAAUUAAUUUAUAACUUAAAUUAACCAAUAGUAUAUUUAAUUAACAUCAACUAGGUAUGAUACAAUAUUUAAUAUUUUUAUAAUUAAUUCAGUUCAACAUUAGUAAUUUCUAUUUUAAAAAAGCCCCAAAAUAUAUUUUAAUAAAUAGUAUAUUAUAUAAAAAUUGAAAAAAUUAAGUUAAAAAUAUGAUACAUUAAUAAAUAAUGCUAAAAGGUUUAUAAAUAUGACAUGUUAGUAAAGAAUGAAGUAAUAUAAAUUAAUCAACAAACAAUUAACUUAUUAUAAAUAAUCAAUAACUGUAGCGUUAUUUAUGAGAAAUAAUCAAAUAAAUAUUUAUUUUAAUAAAAAAAUAAAGUAAUAAAAAAAAAUAAUAUUACGAAAUAAACUAAAAUAUUUACUAACUAUACCAAAAUUUUGGAUUCUACCCGUAAUAAAAAUCGAUAAACUUCUAUAAUUGUCUAUAAAUGUCACUUAUGUUUAUGAAUGUCUAAUAUUGAUAAAAUUUAAAAUUUUAUUAAUAUUUUAUGGGAUUUAUGAUUUUUACCAUUCUUCUGUCAAAAAUGAAGUUUUUACCCACUAACUAAUCAAAUUUAUUUAAAACAUUUGUAACUAAUUAAUUAAUACUAUGUAAAAAUGUAAUUUCAGUCCUCUAAUAAUUUUUAUUGGAAAGUUGAGUUAACAUUUACAUAUAUUACUAUUUAUUUAUUAAAAUGAAUAUUUUUAUUAAUUUUAUAAAAUUAAUAUUAAUUAAUUAUCUAUAUUCCAAACGAAAUGACAUAUAAAUUAAAAAAGAAUAGACAAAAAUGGAAAAAAAGGAAAACCCACAGUUUUGUAAAGGAAUAGAAAUUCCUGCCUGUGGAGAGUAGCUUUCUCUCUCGGGUGACAUGUUGAGAAAGGUAAAGGAAGUAGGAGAAUUAGAUGUUUGUGGCAAUUCCCAUGCAAAAUCCUCAAACCAAACAACUCCAAAAAGUAUUCUCAAAUUUUGGAAAGUUUUAUCACACCCUCCAAAGGCGGAUCUAAUUUCUGUAUUAACAAAAACAUGAGUGGUUCUAUAUUUAUUUAGAUGAUUAAGUUGUCAAAUAAAAUAAUUUAGGAUUUUAAUUUUCAAUAAGACUACAUGGUAAAUAUUUUAUGGAAGAGGUGUUUGGAUAAAAGAUUGAUAUAGUUGAGUUGUGGGAUAUUUGGGUUGCAUGAGUAGUUUAAAGCCAUAAAUGUGUAAUAACCUACAAAACUAAAAUUAGAAUUGGCUAUGUAAUGGACAAUUUUGGACCCAGUUUCUUGAAAUAUUCUUAGCAACUAUCUCUAGAAAACGAUUUUUAUUAUUAUAGAAGAGUGAAGAUUCAUAAAAAUUACGAUAUUUAUUGAUUUUCGUCUUUAUACUUCUUAUUUAUUAAUUUAUUUAAAAAAAGUAUUUAUUGAUCAAAUAACUACAUAUAGACCACUAAUGUUGACUCAUGAUACCGUCCCAUUCACAACCAGACGCGGUCUUUGUAAUUAAUAUUUUUAUUUCUUUUCUUUUUUAAUAAAUAUUUUCAUACUUUUCCACUUUAUUCCAAUCUUCGUUUUUUUAAAUUUUCAAUCCACAAUUACUCUAAAACGCAUAAAAACUUUAAUGAAAUUCUUUUAAAAAUAGCCAAUUUUAUAAAAUAUUUACUAACAUAAUCAUAUAAUGCUGGAGUGAUAGAAGACAAUCAACGAUAGAAUCCAAAAAAUUUUUACUUUUAAAUUGUGUCAACUUUAAUAACUAUAUUAUUAAUCAAUUAAUUAUUGUCCUAAACUCAUUUCAUUUUUUAGGGUAAAAUUUUCCUACUUCAAAUCCAUUUUAAAUUAUAAAAUAAUAAUCACCCUAAAAAAAUCUUUUACUAAUGAAUUGAUAAUAGUUAAUACUUGCAACUCAUUUCUAAAUUUUGGAUAAUUAUAUUAAAUUAGAAUCUAAUUUCUAAAUUAUGCCAUGAAUGCAUUAAAAAGCAUAAAAUGCAAUUAAUUUUCCAUCUAAUCUUUGUUUUCAAAUUUAUAUUUUCACAUCCCUAAUGAAAUCAUCUAUCAAUAUCGAUCCCUACCUAAUUUUCUACCAUGUUGCUAUUCUUCCAUUUAAAUCAAUAAUUUAAAUUCUUGCAUUUAUUUCUUUCAAAGGGAAAAAAAAGGUAAAUCUUGAAUGUGAUGUGUAAUAAAUCAAAUUAUUCUUUUUUCCAUCCAAUUUGUUUGACAAUACAUACAGAGUUGAGAAAUUUAACUAUCAAAGAUAUAAUAUCUAAACCAAUUAAUGUAUGAUCAAUUUAGAAUAACAUAUGAAAUUUAUAUUUAAAUGAGAAGAACUUGUCCAAAUAACCAGUGAUUGGAUAAAUCACUAACGUUAGUCAACAACAAUUCACUUAUACUAUAUUAAAUAUUUGUAGAGUGAGAGAAUUAAACGUUAAAAUCUUUAGAUUGACAAUAGAAGUUCAUUUAAGUUGAGUAAUUAUGUUAAUAUUGAUGUGAAUGAAUCUAAUUCUUCACUCAAAACUAAUAAAAUAAUAUAAAGAGGGAAUUGUAAAAAAUGACAAAGUCUACCAAAUAUUUACACUUAAAUUCAAGUAUAAUUGGUUUCUAUACUUUAGUGGCUUGUUGCUAGUUUUUUUGUUUUUCUUAAAAAAAUUCGUAAAUAAAUAAAUAUAACACAAUUAUAGCAUAGCUAACAUAAAAGACACGUAAAUUCAAUAACAAAAUUAGAGAUUUAAAUUCUUUUCAUACCACGUGUCCAAGACGAUGCGAAACGACUAGCAUCUUAUAAAAGAAUUAUUUAAAAAAGAAUCUUUAAAAACAAUGUGUAUUUAAGAAAGAGAAUUAAAACUUAAUUAAAAAAGAUUCAAAAUGAGUAAAUUUAAAAGAUUGGAAAAUAGACUUAAAAAGUGUUGAAACACAUUCAUAAAAAGUUGAACAUUUAUUUAAUAUGUAAAUUUAAAUAGACAAAAUAUACAACUUAAUAAUAUAUUUAAAGAAAUAAAGAACAAACAAUACUAUUUACAAGGGUGUUAAUAGAACAUAUUGGAGGUCGAUAUGAUAGUACUAGAAAUGUAUGCAUGAUUGGCUAUUGUAACUGUAGGAUAACCACACAUAAUAUUUAAACAAGCUUUAACAAUGUAAUUCUUUAAAUUUUAGUUUAGAAAAAUACCUAAGUGUUUGAAGGUGCAUCUUCCUCUUUCUCUCCUAGAUCCAACUUUUUUUUUAUAUCAGACCACAUUUAUUCGAAUUUUGCAAGUUCAUUGGUUGACAUUUCAUUUGCUUCUUUAAGGUAUGUCAUCUCAUUCUUUUCUUUCUCAUGUGUAGAUGACACAUUACUGUCUAACGAUUCACCACUUUUUGGGUUGACAGUUUGCAUUGAGUGACUCCCUAAUACAAUUUGGCAUGUCUUUGCACUAGAGAUCCUCUUAACACCAGUAUCAAUUCACUUUGCAAUGAUUUAUUGCAUUUCCAACUAUCACUAGUACAAAAGUGGUCUACGACGACAGUUAUUUACUGUCGUCAACGAAUUUCGCGACAGUUAUUUUCAGUCAUAGAAGCGGGAGUCAUGGAAAGUCCUUCGACGACAGUUUUCAAAACUGUCGCAAUAGGUUAUUUUAUGACAUGAAAUAAAUGUCGUUAAUCAACGUUCAACGACUUCAAAUAACUGUCAUAAUCUAUUUUAUGACAUUUAAUAACUAUCAUCAUUUCUUUAUUAACGACAGUUAAAUAAAUGUCACGAAUUCAUUUAUUGUGACAUUUAUUAAUUGUCAUGAAUAUGUUAUUCGCGACAGUUUUCUUUUUGUAAAAAUGUCAUUGUUUAGUUAUUGACGACAUUUCUUUCCAGUCAACGAUUGUGCAAUCGUGACAGCUUUUCGAUAACAUUAAAUGUCAUUGUUUUGCUAUUGACGACAUUUUUUUCCAGUCAAAUAUAUUGCAAUCGUGACAGUUUUUUUUGAAAAAAAAUUGUCAUUGUUUAUCUAUUGACGACAUGUUAUUCCUGUCACAUAUAGAGCAAUCGUGACAAUUUAUUUUGUUAAAUAACUGUCAUCGUUCUCCAAUUUACAACAACUAAUAACUAUCACAAAUUCUUUUGUUACGUCAUUUAUUUCCUGUUCCACAUUUCUCAAUUUCCUAUAGUUUUUUCCUGUUCUCCAUGCAGCUCCACCAUUACACGAAACCAUUUGAAAUGACAAUAAUGUAGCUGAGAAUGACAAAUUUGAAAUUAUACAAGUUUCACACCAAUGUACACAAAAAUAGCCAACACUUUAAUAUAUAUACACUAUAAUACGAUUUAUAAUAUUUGUACAUCUUAAUACAAGUUUCAAUAAUCCACAUGUACGGAAUACUAGCCCUUAAUCAAAAAAUAUUUUAAAUAGCAUUAGAAUAUAUUUGACAAGAUUUUCUGCAGAAGCAUAAACGACCAACCGAGAAUGUUCGUCUCUGGAAAUGUUCUUUGAAAGAAAAACUCAUGAAGUUGUGGACUCCAGUUGAACCUACAAAGACAACAUGAAUAUAAGUAUCCAUAACACAUACGUACAGUCAAUGAAUAACUAAAGAUGACUACAAGAAAGAAACAUAAUAUUUAAAUCAAGAAUAACAAAAAGGGGUCUAGCUUAAGCCCUAGUCCAAGCCAGCAUGAUCAACCUCAAUUAGAGCUAAGAUCAAGUAAAAAAAAGUUCCUAACUUUACAUCUUAAACUAAAAAAAAAAGGUGUACUUGGCCUCGACCUUGGUCAAGAUUGACCCUAGAAAAGGGGUACAUAGUACAUCAUAGCUAAAUGAACAAUAGAAAGACACUUGUACAAAUUUAAAAUGUUCAAUAGAUGAAAUAAAAGUUGCAUGAUUAUUAAAAAACGACACCUGAUAAAUUGGCAUGAAGAACAAAUUGGUCAAAUAACAAGAACCAAAUAAAAGAACGAACAAAAUUCUUGAAAACAAAUUGGCAUGAAGAACAAAUUGGUCAAAUAACAAGAACCAAAUAAAAAACGACACCUGUAAGCAGCUCCCACAACACUAUCCCAAAGCUAUAAACAUCAGCUUUAUGAUCGUACGGUUUGUGCUCAAUAACCUUGCAUUCACCAACAACAAACAUUCAGAAGACAAACAAGGAGGAAAAACUACCAUCCCAAUAAGGAAUAGCAAUGCAUCUACAAACAAAGCACCUAAAUGCAGGAUAAUAUUUUAGUAUUGGUGAAUGAUAUGCCAAUAUCAUUUCCUCUUGAAAUAGAGAGCUAUCAAGACUGUGAAAACUUGCCUUCAAAAAGUUCUAUGAUUCCAAGUCCAAAGUUAUAUAAAUAACUACUCUGAAGUAUAUUAACGACAAUAAAUCAUCAAUGACAAUCCAGAUGAAGAAACAAGUUUCUUCUUCUUUCUUAGUUCCUUUCCAGAAUUCUUAAUACAACUAUUGCACAUCUGAAAAACUUCCUAGGAAUGGAUUGAUGUUCGAGCCAUAUUAGUGCUGUGUGAAACUGAACGUGUACCAUAUAUGACCAUGAAAAUAUGAAAAUAUGAGGUACAUAGAAAUCUGAUCCAUUACACAUUGGUUGAAAUCUAAUAUCUACACUUUUCAUGAAUGCCAACGCAGCACCUGAUGUCCAUAGGGUGAAUAGUAUAUAUUUGCAUGAUACUAACCUCCGGAGCCAUCCAACGAUAUGUUCCAGUUUCGGCAGUCAUCACACCAGAUUGAGCUAGCACUCUAGCAACACCAAAAUCAGCUACCUUGAUAACCUGUCAAACAUUUUGGUUUAAUAUCGGUCUGGAAUAGAGAACAAACUGAUGAAAAUUUAAUUAAAUGAAAAUAAAAAAGAUAAAGGAAGCACACUUAAGAAAGCAACCCCGGGAAUAACUUAGUUAGAAUUGAUAUUAGCUACUCUGCAAAAUCAAAUAAUGAUUGUGCCUAUAGAUAUUUAUUGUAUAAAAAGAAAAAUCAUUGGAAUCAAAAAGUACUUCAGAGCCUACAGUGGAGAGCAAUGACAUUAAAAUUUUAAUGUGUCAACUUUUAAAUAUUUAACGGCUCAAUCUUGCACCUACCCUACUUUUACCCAAAAUAACUUCCUAAAAUUGAUGAGUUUUACAGUGACUGUACUUUUAAUGCUCGUGUAACAUUACAUUUUAGUGUUGAAAGGAUUCAGGGUUGACCAAGAAAAACAAUAAUUGGUUACAUUACACUGUUCACUCUCAAUUACGCAUAGCUGCAAAGAUUGGUACAGUACUUUUCAUUAUUCUGUUAUCGACAUUAAAAGGGUCAUAUUCAUAUAAAUCAUUGAGAAUUAGACAGGUAUAUGGUAUUGAUCAUAAAGAUAAAAGUGGCCAAUAAAGACAAAGUAUUGCAUGGAAAAGACUAGAAGUAUUGUCUUUAGAUCUAUCCAGAAAUCAACAUGAUUCUGUAAGCAGCAGAUCAAUGGUUAUGAAAUGAAGAUACAUAAUAUUGCCAUCAAAUUGAAUACCAGUAAGCAUGCUUUUAAAACUAAUAGGAAACAGAAGAGCGUGUCAAAAUGACUUCGGUAAGUUUAAUAAGCACGUCUUAUUGAUCAACUCACGAAGUAAAUGCAAAAGUUUUAUUUCUUCUUACCCCAAUAUUCAUCCAUCAAUAAGAUUUGCAGCUUU
rnacentral:lncRNA from 1 species